AUCGAUUCCCCAAUUUGGUAAUUUUUUGGAAUUAUAAACUGAUUGAAGAAAGAUACGCAAAGCAAUUAACAUAGAAAAGCAAAAUAAAAGAAAAUUGUUGUCAAAAGGGGUUUAAAGUUAUGGGAUUUCAAUCAAUUUUUCCCCCUCUUCUUUUUCUUUUUCCUGGUAAAAAUUUCCUCAUGCCCAGUUUUAUUUUCAAUCUUAAAAAAUUCUUUUUUUUACUGUAAAAUAUGGGUCUUUUUUUAAUUGAUUUUAUCUACUGUCUUUACAGUGACACUAUAAUUCGAGAGCUGGAGCAAUUGCAGCAAAUUUUUGGACACCCAACAUCGGCAAGGGCAGAGUAUUUGAUUUUUUUUUUUAAUUUCUUCUUUCUAUGAUCUUUGUUGGACUUUCACUGUGUAGAACGAAUUCUAUUUUUAGCUAGGCAUAACUUCUUUUUUUCUUAUUUUUGUUACUCAGGCUUUAUUGUAUGUUGGUUCUGUUCUGUUUUACCCAUAUUUCAUCAAUUUUUAUGAUUUAAAUUGAACUACUAUGUGAAAAGGAAUAUCGAGUAUUGCCAAGUAGUAUUUUCUUUGACUAUUACUGUACAUAAUUGUCAAUUUUGUUGUUCAAUUGCUAGCUGUUAAAUUUGCUGCAAAAGAAUGAUUAUUGCAGUUUGAAUCUCUUGUUUUUAUGGGGAAGAAUGGGAGGGUUGAAAAAGGGAAAUAAAAUGAAAUAGUUGGGUGGAAAGUGUUACCUUUUAUGGAGUUCUAGCUUAAUCAUCAUUUGUUUAAUUGUACAUUUUACACUUUCCAACAAUUGAAUGGAGCGAGUUUUUUGGAUUUCCAUUUCAUUGCUUUCAAGUAUCUUGGUCUAGAUAAGUUCCGUCCGUGUUUUCUGUUUUCAAAAUGAAUUAAUAUAUAUGACAUAACAGGUUCUUCUUGCAAAUUGGGAAUUGAAUGUUUAUAUGAAAAGGUGUUUAAAAUCUGAUCUUUUCUUUGUGGCAUCCAUAUUCUGCAAAGAUCUUUUGCCCUGUCUUUGUCCACCUCCUAGGUCUCAGUAUUUUGUCGGUUUGCUUAUGGUAGAGUUUGAUCUCCUUCUCUCCCAUUUUCCCUUUGUCCCCACUUUUCCUCUCCUUCCGCUUUAGCUCUUGAAAUUGCAUUUUAGAUCCUUGGUUGUUAUAGUGGAUUACAAGCAUACUUAACACUACGUUCAAGCUGUUGAAUUUUAGGUUCAACUUUCAAGUGUUAAAGUUUUAUUAAAGUUUUGAUUUCUUAUGUAAGCUUGUUUUACCCCCUUUUUUAGAGGGAGAGGGGGUUUGAGAGAGAUAAAAAUAGCACUUAUAUUAGUGUAUAUGGAUGUAUGUAUGUAUGUAUGUAUAUGGUAUACAUAAACAUAGGUUUAAAAAGUAUGCUACAUACGAUGUUUCUAUAAUACAAAAUUGUGUAAUUGCAAAAUAAAAUGUAAAUUUCAAGUACUGUGCACACUUAAAUUAUUUCUUAAAAAAUUCUAAAAAUUAAAUUCAAUAAAAUUAGAGUAUAACUUAAUGACCAAUAACAAAUAAAACUAAAAAAGGGAACCAUCAAGAACAUAAAAUUACUUGUGCAAAAUUAAUGCAUUAGCGAACCAUAUGAGGUUCUUGGUUGUUUUGCCUUAUUUAGAGGCUGUUUGAUUGGGUUUUUGCUAUUUGCUUUUUGCUUCCGAAAGUAAAAAAGCAAAAAUUGCAUUCCCAUAAGCAAUAAAAUAUUGAAGAGUUAAACACAAAAUAUGUAAAUUUUUUAUGAUUAACUACAUGAUUCUACUUCUAUAUAUACUAAUUGUGUUAUAACUGAUUUUAUAUUUUAAUUAUUUUUUCUGUUUCAGAUCAGUUAUGAUAUAUUUAUUGUUUACCUUUUGCUUUUCCUUUCUAGUAAAAUAUAUACGUUUUAUUCAUGUUCAUUUGUAACUUACCAGACUUCUUGACCAUGUUCUAGAAAUGCUAGUAUGUAACGAGUUUGCUUUGAAUAUGGCAGCUAACAAUAUCAGUGAAUCUUAGGUUUGUUGAUGCAAAUCAUGGCUAAUAGAUUCACUUGAAGCCUACUUAUCUAAAGAUCUUUAGAUUUUUGGAGGAUGAAAUACAGAGGUGGUGCUGAUGUUAAUAAUAUUGGACACUGAACACUGUCAAACAACAUAGAGGUGGAAAUAUACUGACUUUUUCAGGUUUCAGGGUUGGUUUUAUUUGUUGACUUCAUUCUACUACUUUUUUUUUUUUUUUUUUGGAAAGAUAUAUACCAACAUCUUAUGUAAAUAUGUAACUUGAUAUAGAUAAUUUGUAAUUUUGGGGAAGAGAGAGAAGGAAUGAAAUUGAGAAGAUAGUGGUUUUUCUUUGAAAUUUUGCCAUGAUGUAAAGUUGUUCUAGUCAGAGUUUUUUGAUGUUAUGAUGCUUAAGAAAUCCAGAUACUAGUGAUAUCUUUCCCCAAAAUAGUUCAUUCUUCAACUCCAUCUAUUUCAUCUGGUUUGUUUCUGGGAAUAAAAGCAUAUUCCUUAUUGGUUGCAAAAUUUUCAUUCAUUUUAGCUUCAAAUUUAUUGAUCAAUUAAAUUAUUAAUUGACUUGGUUAGUAUUUGUUGAAUCAUAUAACUUAGAAAAUGCAAUCAGUUAGUGGAGUUUUUAGAUUAUACAAGUUAGAGGGCUGUCACAAACCCUUUUACAAAUGUAUUAAAAAAUUAUAUAAAAAAAUUAAGAUAUGUGAUUUUUUUUAAUAUUGUUUAUAAAAUUUAAAAGUUUCUAUUAAACAUAUGUAAAGAAAUAAAAAUAUAUAAAAAUUAUCUCGUAUACAUGAAAUUUGCGAAAGAAGAAGAUUUUUUUUUUUUUUUAUGUGAGGUUGUUAGGAUUUAAACUUAAACUAUUGAAACUAAGAGUUUUACAUUUUACUAACAGGUUACAUGGUUAUUGUCUCAUUGAAUUUUUAAAUUCAGAGGAACUCUUUUAAAUAUAUUAACAAUAAAAAACUAAAAAGAUGCACAUACCAUGAAAUCUAAUAGUACAUUAGGAACAAAAACAUGAGAAACAAGUUGCUCAAUCAACAAAUUGAUUGGCCAAAAAAUCAACAAAUUAAAAACCCUCGUUUUAUUUUUGCUCAAAAGUUUGAAAAAAAAAAAAUCAAAAGAACACAUUCAUUCCCACUUCUCAAACUUGUCUGUUUUAGAAAUUGUGAUUUUAUAAUAGUGGAAUAAGAAAGAAAAUGAUAGGUACCAUGGGAAUGUAUUGGUCUAAGUCUUAGUCUUUGCUUUAUACUUAAUUUUUUCAUCAAGCAUGCAGAUGUAUUAAUCUUUUUGGCCCCAUCUUUACUUCACAAAAAUAAUAAUUUUAGCAGUUGCUUCAAUCUAAAUCAUUAAAAAGACUAAAAUAUAACAAUAAUAAUUAAUAUACUUAAAAUCCAUUCCCUGUAUGCUAAUUUAAUUGAAAGACAAAAGACAACCUUUAUUGAAAAAAUUGUUAUAUAUAUUUUAUCUUUUUUAAAAGACAAACUUGACUUAAGCGAACUAUUAAGAAGAUUAUUUUUAACAGAGUAAUGAUAGGGUAAGAAGACUUAAACAUUUGUAUGAUUGGAAGAUGUAAAAGUAUAAAGCAAACAAAAGACUAAAUACCAAUAAAAAAAAUCUCAUACUAUCAUUUUCUUUGUGAGUCCAAAAUUAGAAUAUCAAUUUUUUUUAUAAACUAUAAUUUUAUGAUGGGUGAAUCAAAAUACAUCAUCAUUUUGUUUAUCUACAUCCACUUUUUAAAAAAUUUUUAAGUGAAAUUACUUAUUUACCUAUCUCAUUUUAAUUUUAAAACUUCUAGAUAUGCAUUUCUGAUAAAUUAUAUAAUUUUUUAGAUUUUCAUAUCUAAUAAGUUAAAAAAGAUAUAUUUAGGUUUGGAAAAAAAAAUUCAAAGAAAAUAUCUUACAAAAAGUAAGAGAUUCUAAUACUGUUUAAAAAAUUUUAAAACUCUAUUAAUCAUGUGUAAAGAAAUCGAAAUAUAUAAAAAUUAUCUUGUAUACAUGAAAUUUGUGAAAAUAGAAGAUUGUCUUUUUUUUUCUGCUUGUAUAUGAGAUUGUCUAGAUUUGAACUUUAAACUAUUAAAAGUAAGAGUUCAAUAUUUUAUUAACAAAUUACAUGGUUAUUGGCUCAUUCAAUUUUUAAAUCAGUGCAUCACUUUAAAAUAUAGUAACAAUAAAAAACUAAAAAAGAUACACAUAUCAUGAAAUCUAAUAAUACAUUAGGAACAAAAGCAUAAGAAACAAGUUGCUUAAUCAACAAAUUGAUUGGCAAAAAAAAUCAACAAAUUAAAAACCUAUCUUUUAUUUUUGCUGAAAAGAUUGAAACAAAAAAAAAAAAAUCUAAACAACACAUUCACUCCUAUUUCUCAAACUUGUCUAUUUUUGGAAAUUGUGAUUUUAUAAUGGUGGAAUAAGAAAGAAAAAGAUAGAUCCUAUCGAAAUGCAUGGCAUCAAGCAUGCAAAUGUGUCAGUCUUUUCACCCCCAUUUUUACUUCAAAAAAAAAAUGAUGUUAGCAAUUGCUUCAAUCUAAGUCAUUGAAAAGACUAAAAUAUAACAAUAUUAAUUACUAUAUUUAAAAUCCAUCUCCAGUCUACCAAUUUAAUUGGAAGACAAAAGACAACCACCAUUGAGAAAAUUGCUAUUUUUUUGUCUUUUUUAAAAGAUAGACUUGGCUUAAACAAACAACUAAGAAGAUUAUUUUUCAUAAAGUAAUGAUGGGACAAGAAGACUUAGACAUUUGCAUGAUGGAAAGACUUAAAAGUAUAAAGUAAAGAAAAUACUAAAUACCAAUAAAAAAAAUCUCAUAUUAUCAUUUUCUUUGUUAGUCCAAAAUUAGAAUAUCAAUUUUUUUUGUAAAGUAUAAUUUUGUGAUGGGUGAUUCAAAAUACACCAUCAUUUUUUCUCUACAUCCACCUUGUUUAAAUUUUUUUUAAGUGAAAUUACUUAUUUACUUAUCUUGUUUUAAUUUUAAAACUUCUAAAUAUGUAUUUCUGAUGAGUUAUAUAACUUACAAAAUUUUCAUAUCUGGUAAGUUAGAAAAAGUUACAUUUAAGUUUUGAAAAAAAAUAGUUAAGAGAAAAUAUCUUACAAAAAGUAUGAGAUUAUAAUACUAUUUAUAAAAUUUAAAAACUCUAUUAAUCAUUUGUGAAGAAAUUAAAAAAAUAUAUAAAUUAUCUUGUAUACAUGAAAUUUUUUCAUUUGAAGAUUGUCUUUUUUUUAUUUUUUUUAUAUGUGAGAUUGUUAGGAUUUGAAUUUUAAAUUAUUGAAACUAAGAGUUUAGCAUUUUACUAACAGAAUAUAUAGUUAUUAGCUCAUCGAAUUUUUAAAUUAGAGGAUAUCUUUAAAAUAUAUUAACAAUAAAAAAUUAAAAAAAAAUGCACAUACCAUGAAAUCUAACAAUACAUUAGGAACAAAAGCAUGAGAAAGAAGUUGCUUAAUCAACAAAUUGAUGGGCCAAAAAAAAUCAACAAAUUAAAAACUUGUGUUUUACUUUUGCUGAAAGGUUUGAAAAAAACAUCUACAUAAUAUAUUCAUUCUCACUUCUCAAACUUGUGUAUUUUGGAAAUUGUGAUUUUAUAAUGGUGGAAUGAGAAAGAAAAAGAUAGAUCCUAUCAGAAUGCAUGGGUCUAAAUCAUAGUCUUUGCUUCAUACUUAGUCUUGGCAUCAGGCAUGCAAAUGUGUCAAUCUUUUCACCCCCAUUUUUACUUCAAAAAAAUAAUGAUGUUAGCAAUUGCUUCAGUCUAAGUUAUUGAAAAAACUAAAAUAUAACAAUAUUAAUUAAUAUACUUAAAAUCCAUCCCUUGUGUGUCAAUUUAACUAGAAGAAAAAAGACAACUUUCAUUGAGAAAAUUGUUGUUUUUUAUUUUUUUGUCUUUUUUAAAAGGCAGACUUAACUUAAGCAAAUUGAUAAGAAGAUUAUUUUCACAGAGUAAUGAUGGGGCAAGAAGACUUAGAUGUUUGCAUGAUGGGAGGACUUAUAAAAUAAAGAAAAGAUUAAAUACCAAUAAAAAGAUCUCAUACUAUCAUUUUCUUUGUGAGUCCAAAAUUAAAAUAUCAAAUUUUUUAUAAAAUAUAAUUUUCUGAUGGGUGAUUCUAAAUAUAUCAUCAUUUUUUUCUCUACAUCAAAAUUUUUUAAAAUUUUUAAGUGAAAUUACUUAUUUACCCAUCUCGUUUUAAUUUUAAAGCAUCUAGAUAUAACUUAUUAGAUUUUCAUAUCCAGUAAGUUAAAAAGUUACAUUUAGGAAUGGAAAAAAAUAGUUAAGAGAAAAUAUCUUGCAUAAAGUAUGAGGUUCUAAUGCCAUUUAUAAAAUUUAAAAUCUCUAUUAAUCAUAUAUGAUGAAAUUGAUAUAUAUAUAUAUAUAUAUAUAAAUAAUCUUGUAUACAUGAAAUUUGUGAAAUUAGAAAAUUAUCUUUUUUUUUUUUUUUGUAUGUGAGGUUAUCAAGAUUUGCACUUUAAACUACUAAAAUUAAGAGUUCAACAUUUUACUAACAAACAAUAUGGUUAUUUGCUCAUUUAAUUUUAAAUCAAAGAAUCUCUUUAAAAUAUAUUAACAAUAAAAAAACUAAAAAAUAAAAAAAUGCACAUACCAUGAGAUCUAAUAGUACAUUAGGAACAAAAGCAUGAGAAAGAAGUUGCUUAAUUAACAAAUUGAUUGCCAAAAAAAAAAAAAUCAACAAAUUAAAAACUUGUCUUUUGUUUUUGUUGAAAAGUUUGAAAAAAAAAUCUAAAGAACACAUUCACUCCUAUUUCUCGAACUUGUCUAUUUUGAAAAUUGUGAUUUUAUAACAGUAGAAUGAGAAAGAAAAAGAUAAAUAGAUCCUAUCGGAAUGCAUGGGUCUAAAUCAUAGUCUUUGCUUCAUACUUAGUCUUGGCAUCAACCAUGCAAAUGUGUCAAUCUUUUUGCCCCCUUUUUUACUUCAAAACAAUAAUGAUGUUAGCAAUUGUUUCAGUCCAAGUCAUUGAAAAGACUAAAAUAUAAUGAUAUUAAUUAAUAUACUUAAAGUCCAUUUCCAGUUUGCCAAUUUAAUUAGAAGACAAAAGAUAACCAUCAUUGAAAAAAUUGCUAUUUUUUUGUCUUUUUCAAAAGAUAGACUUGACUUAAGCAAACUGCUAAGAAGAUUAUUUUUCACAAAGUAUGAUGGGGCAAGAAGACUUAGACAUUCUGUAAUGUGGGAAACUUAAAAAGUAUAAAUAAGAAAGACUAAAUACGCAAUAAAAAAAUCUCAUACUAUCAUUUUCUUUGUUAGUCCAAAAUUAGAAUAUCAAUUUUUUUUUUUUGUAAAUAAUAAUUUUGUGGUGGUGAUUCUAAAUACAACAUCAUUUUUUCUCUACAUCCACCUUUUUAAAAAAUUUUUAAGUGAAAUUACCUAUUUACUCAUCUUGUUUUAAUUUUAAAACUUCUAAAUAUACAUUCCUAAUGAGUUAUAUAACUUACAAAAUUUUCAUAUCCAGUACGUUAGAAAAAGUUACAUUGAAGUUUGAAAAAAAAAGUUAAGAGAAAAUAUCUUAUAAAAAGUAUAAGAUUUUAAUAAUGUUUAUAAAAUUUAAAAACUCUAUUAAUCAUAUGUGAAGAAAUUAAAAUAUAUAUAUACAUAAAUUAUCUUGUAUACAUGAAAUUUUUUUCAUUUGAAGAUUGUUUUUUUUCAUUAAUUUUUUUAUAGUGAGAUUGUCAUGAUUUGAAUUUUAAACUAUUGAAACUAAGAGUUUGGCAUUUUACUAAUAGACUAUAUGGUUAUUUGCUUAUUGAAUUUUUAAAGUAGAGGAUACCUUUAAAAUAUAUUAACAAUAGAAAACUAAAAAAAUGCACAUGCCAUGAAAUCUAAUAGUACAUUAGGAAUAAAAGCAUGAGAAAGAAGUUGCUUAAUCAAGAAAUUGAUUGGCAAAAAAAAACAACAAAUUAAAAAUCUGUGUUUUAUUUUUACUGAAAGGAUUGAAAAAAAAUCUAAAGAACACAUUCACUUUCAUUUCUCAAACUUGUCUAUUUUGGAAAUUGUGAUUUUAUAAUGGUGGAAUGAGAAAGAAAAAGAUAGAUCCUAUCGAAAUGCAUGGGUCUAAAUCAUAGUCUUUGCUUCAUACUUAGUCUUGGCAUCAACCAUGCAAAUGUGUCAAUCUUUUCGCACCCAUUUUUACUUCAAAAAAAUAAUGAUGUUAGCAAUUGCUUCAGUCUAAGUUAUUGAAAAAACUAAAAUAUAACAAUAUUAAUUAAUAUACUUAAAAUCCAUUCCUAGUUUGCCAAUUUAAUUAGAAGACAAAGACAACCACCACUGAGCAAAUUGCUUUUUUCUUUUUUUUUUGUUUUUUUUAAAUGAUAGACUUGACUUAAGCAAACUACUAAAAAUAUUAUUUUUCAUAGAGUAAUGAUAGGGCAAGAAGACUUAGACAUUUGCAUGAUGGGACGGCUUAAAAAUAUAAACUAAAGAAAAGACUAAAUACCAAUAAAAAAAAAUCUCAUACUAUCAUUUUUUUUGUGAGUCCAAAAUUAAAAUAUCAAUUUUUUUAUAAAGUAUAAUUAUGUGAUGGAUGAUUCUGAAUACCCCAUCAUAUUUUUCUUUACAUCCACUCUUUUUUUUUUAAUUUUUAAGUAAAAUUACUUAUUUAUCCAUCUCUUUUUAAUUUUAAAACAUCUGGAUAUAACUUAUUGGAUUUUCAUAUCUGGUAGGUUAAAAGUUACAUUUAGGUUUGGAAAAAAAUAGUUAAGAGACAAUAUCUUGUAUAAAGUAUGAGAUUCUAAUGCCAUUUAUAAAAUUUAAAAUCUCUAUUAAUUAUAUAUGAUGAAAUCAAAAAAUAUAUAAAUUAUCUCGUAUGCAUGAAAUUUUUGAAAUUAGAAAUUUAUCUUUUUCUUUUUUUUGUAUGUGAGGUUAUCAAGAUUUGAACUUUAAACUACUAAAAUUAAGAGUUCAACAUUUUACUAACAAACUACAUAAUUAUUUGCACAUUUAAUUUUAAAAACUAACAAUAAAAACAUUUUAAAAUAUAUUAACAAUCAAAAUCUAAAAAAUAAAAAAAUGCGUAUACCAUGGGAUCUAAAAGUACAUUAGGAACAAAAGCAUGAUAAAGAAGUUGCUUAAUCAACAAAUUGAUUAAAAAAAUCAACAAAUUAAAAACCUAUCUUUUAUUUUUUUCUGAAAAGUUUGAAAAAAAAAAAUCUAAAGAACACAUUCACUCUCAUUUCUCAAACUUGCCUAUUUUGGAAAUUGUGAUUUUAUAAUGGUGGAAUGAGAAAGAAAAAGAUAGAUCCUAUCAGAAUGCAUGGGUCUAAAUCAUAGUCUUUGCUUCAUACUUAGUCUUGGCAUCAAGCAUGCAAAUGUGUCAAUCUUUUUGCCCCCAUUUUUACUUCAAAAAAAUAAUGAUGUUAGCAAUUGCUUCAGUCUAAGUUAUUGAAAAAACUCAAAUAUAACAAUAUUAAUUAAUAUACUUAAAAACCAUUCCUAGUCUGCCAAUUUAAUUAGAAGACAAAGACAACCACCACUGAGAAAAUUACUUUUUUUUUGUCUUUUUUAAAUGAUAGACUUGACUUAAGCAAAUUGUUAAAAAUAUUAUUUUUCACAGAGUAAUGAUAGGGCAAGAAGACUUAGACAUUUGCAUGAUGGGAAGGCUUAAAAGUAUAAAGUAAAGCAAAGACUAAAUACCAAUAAAAAAAAUCUCAUACUAUUAUUUUUUUUGUGAGUCCAAAAUUAGAAUAUCAAUUUUUUUAUAAAGUAUAAUUUUGUGAUGGAUGAUUCUGAAUACCCCAUCAUAUUUUUCUUUACAUCCACUCUUUUUUUAAAAAAAUUUUUUAAGUGAAAUUAUUAAUGUACUUAUCUCAUUUUAAUUUAAAAGCUUCUAGAUAUGCGUUUCUUAAGUUAUAUAUCUUAUUGAAUUUUCAUAUUCGAUAAAUUGAAAAAGGUUAUAUUUAGGUUUGAAAAAAAAUAGAUAAGAGAAAAUAUCUUAUAGAAAUUACAAGAUUUAAGAAUGUUUAUAAAAAUGAAAAACUCUAUAUAAAUUAUCUCUCAUACAAGAAAUUUUUUUAAAUUAGAAGUUUUUUUUUUUUUUAUAUGAGGUUGCUAGGGUUUGAACUUUAAACUAUUAAAACUAAGAGUUAAGCAUUUUAUUAACAGAUUAUGUGGUUAUUAACUCAUUGAAUUUUUAAAUAAGAGGAUAUCUUUAAAAUAUAUUAACAAUAACAAUUAAAAAAUAAAAAAACUGCACAUACCCUAAAAUCAAAUAGUACAUUAGGAAUAAAAGCAUGAAAAAGAAGUUGCUUAACGAACAAAUUGAUUGGCCAAAAAAAUCAACAAAUUAAAAACUUGUGUUUUAUUUUUGCCAAAAAGUUUGAAAAAAAAUCUAAAGAACAUAUUCAUUCUCACUUAUCAAACUUGUCUAUUUUGGAAAUUGUAAUUUUUUAAUGGUGGAAUAAGAAACAAAAUGAUAGAUACUAUAGGAAUGUAUUGGUUUAAGUCUUAGACUUUGCUUUAUACGUAGUUUUGGCAACAAGCAUGCAAAUGUGUUAGUUUAUUUGCGUCCAUCUUUACUUUACAAAAAUAAUAAUCUUAGCAAUUGCUCCAAUCUAAGUCAUUAAAAAGACUAAAAUAUAACAAUAAUAAUUAAUAUACUUAAAAUCCAUUUUCAGUUUGUCAAUUUAACUGGAAGACAAAAGAUAACCUCCAUUAAGAAAAUUGCUAUGAUUUUUUUAUCUUUUUUAUAAGACAGACUUAACUUAAGCAAAUUGGUAAGCAGAUUAUUUUUCAUAGAGUAAUGAUGGGAUAAGAAGACUUAGAUAAUUGCAUGAUGAGAAGACUUAAAAGUAUAAAGUAAAGAAAAGACUAAAUGCCAACAAAAAAUCUCAUACUAUCAUUUUCUUUGUGAUUCCAAAAUUAGAAUAUCAAUUUUUUUAUAAAGUAUAAUUUUUUGAUGGGUGAUUCUAAAUACACCAUUUUUUCCUCUACAUUUACUUUUUUUUUAAAGUUAUAUUACUUAUUUACACAUCUCAUUUUAAUUUUAAAACUUUUGAAUAUACAUUUCUGAUAAGUUGUAUAACUUAUCGAAUUUUCAAUUCUGAUAAGUUAAAAAUGAUAAAUUUGAUUUGGAAAAAAAAAAGUUAAAAGAAAAUAUGUUACAAAAGUAUGAGAUGCUAAUAUUGUUUAUAAAAUUCAAAAAAUCUAUUAAUUGUAUGUGGAGAAAUCGAAUAUAUAAAAAUUAUCUCGUAUAUAUGAAAUUUGUGAAAUUGGAAGAUUGUCUUUUUUUUUCUUGUAUGUGAGGUUGUCAAGAUUUGAACUUUAAACUAUUGAAACUAAAAAUUUAGUAUUUUACUAAUAGACUACUUGGUUAUUGGAUCAUUGAAAUUUUAAAUUAGAGGAUCUCUUUAAAAUAUAGUUAAUCAUAAAAACUUGAAGAAAUAAAAAAUGCACAUACCAUGAAAUCUAGCAGUACAUUAGGAACAAAAUCAUGAAAAAAAAUUGUUUAAUCAACAAAUUGAUUGGCCAAAAAAAAUUAAUAAAUUAAAAAUCUGUGUUUUAUUUUUUUGAAAAGUUUGAAAAAAAAAUCUAAAGAACACAUUCAUUCUCUCACUUCUUAAACUUGUUAAUUUGGAAAUUAUGAUUUUAUAAUGGUAAAAUAAGAAAGAAAAUGAUAGAUACUAUGGUAAUGUAUGGGUUGAAGUCGUAGUCUUUGCUUUAUACUUAGUCUUGGCAUCAAGCAUGCAAAUGUGUUAGUCUUUUUGCCUCAUCUUUACUUUACAAAAGUAAUAAUAUUAGCAAUUGCUUUAGUCUAAGUUAUUAAAAAAAACCAAAAUAUAAAAAUAAUAAUUAAUAUACUUAAAAUCUUGUCCCAGUCUGUCAAUUUAACUAAAAGACAAAAGACAAUUUCAAUUGAGAAAAUUGUUCUUUGUUUUGUCUUUUUUAAACGAUAGACUUGACUUAAACAAAUUGCUAAGAAGAUUAUUUUUCAUAGAGGAAUGUUGGGGUAAGAAGACUUAGACAUUUGCAUGAUGAGAAGACUUAAAAGUAUAAAGUGAAUAGAAGACUAAAAACCAAUAAAAAAAUCUCAUACUAUCAUUUUCUUUGAGUCUAAAAUAAAAAAAUCAAUUUUUUUAUAAAGUAUAAUUUUGUGAUGGAGAUUGUAGAUACACUAUCAUUUUUUUCUCUACAUCUGGAUAUGAAAAUUAGGUAAUUUAUAUAACUUAUUAGAAAUACAUAUCUAGAAGCUUUAACAUUAAAAGGUGGAUCUCUAUAAAGUAUAAUUUCCAUUGAUUCAAGGACUUUGAAAAAAAAAAUAAAGACAAUUUUCAAAUCCUAAAGUUUUUCUUUCAUCCUAUUAUUUUCAAAUAAUUAAAAAUUUAGAUCCUAUUAUUUUCAAAUAAUUGAAUAUUUAGGUAUCUAUUGAAUACUACGAUCAACGUCUUGACUCUUUCAUUGUACGUUCUCAAAUCUUAUAGAUAAGAUUCCACCAAGUGAAUAAUUGCUAAUUAUUUAAGAUGAUUAAUUAUUACAUUCUUGAGAUUCAACUAAAAAAUAUAAUUUAGAUUUCAUUUGGUUUGUAUUUUUUUCUUUUACUAUUUUUUUUUCAAUUCAUUUAUUAAAAAAUAAAAACCAAAAGCAUCAAUUAAUUGGAGGAUUAAAAAGUGAGAAAAUUAUGUAAUCUCAUUGGUUAAUUUCCUUUUUUCGAUUAAAAAAUUUAUUCAGUUUAAAACAAUAUAAAGUAUGAGUGUAUUUGAUAUUAUAGAUAAAAUUUCUAAUGUUCUUUUUAUUUUUUAAAUUUUGUUGGGAUUUUAGAUUUUGAUUUAUUAUGAGUGUAUUUUAUAUUAAAAUCUUAAAUUUAUUAUAUAAAAUUUAUAUUUUGAGGUUUCAAAUAUAAAAAUGUAAUCAAAAUCAAAAUGAUUUUGGAAUAUACUCGUAUAGAAAAGUAAUAGAAUUUUGUGUUGGAAAAGCAAAGAUGAUAAUUUUGAAAUAUCCAAGUAGAGAAUGAUAGAUAAAGAAAAUGAGAUAGUGAGAGUAUAAUUAAUUAGUAAUUAGAAAAUGAAUUGAAAAAAAAAAAAAAAACUUAGAAGUGAUGAUUGAAGACAAUUGAAAAGAUCAAUAUAAUUACGUAAAGAUGGUAAUAUAUAGUCUAAUUAAAGAUUGAAGUUGAACAAUUAAUAUUUAAUUUUGAAUAAUUUAAAUUAAAUUCCCUUUUGAACAAUUAAAAAAAAAAGUUAGUAUUAAUUUCUUAUGUAGCGCGACAAUGAGAUUGAAACAAAAAUGCACCAAAUGACGUUCUUCUUCUGACUCCACUAGUGCCAAGUGUGCCAAAGUUCAUUCUCCAUUUUUGUCAUCUGAAUGACUUCGCCGGUAAGCAAUUCCGAAGGCUAUAAACUUUAAUUAGCAUAAAACAACACCAAUGCCAAGAUUACAUAUAAUAUUUUAUAGAAAAAAUUAUAAUAAUUUUUUUUAAAGGUUAGAUUUAAGAAGAGAGAAGGUGCUAUAGGUAAAAGAAUUUGAACUCUAAACCUGUUAGAUAUUAUCUUUUAAUGAUAAUUGUAUAAAUCAACUAGGAGCGUAACUAGGCUCAAAUUUUUUUUUUUAACCAUUGUAGCAUAAUACCUUAUCCAACAAAAAAUAAUAUUUGAUCCCUUCUUUCCUAAUCAAAUUAUAAUUUGACCUCUCAUUUCUUUUAUUUUUGGCUCUCCUUUCGAAAGUAACAAAUUCAAAAAAUUAUUUUAUUAUUAAUAUUCUUUUAUAUAAAUGUAUUUUAUUUAUUUAGUUUCUUAUGAGGUUGAUCAAGGAAGGAAGAAAGAAGCUUCUGACCUUAGACAAAGUAACUUUAGACCAAUUCUAAAGUUCUUUUAAAGAAAAGGAAACAAUUUUAGAUAAAGCAAAGCAAGAAACAUGUGUAUGAGGCAAGAACAAGAAAAACCCACGCGUCAUGAAUUGAAGACUAAUUCAUUAAUAGAAAAUCCCAUUAAUUAUUGUUCUAUGGAAAAAUAAUCGUUUUGUCACUUUCAUAUUUCUAAUGUUCAUAUUUGUAAUUUCACUCAUUCAUUAAUAUUAAGGUUCAUUCCCAUUAAAAUAAUAUUGGUUGAUAUUUUUAUUUGAAGUAUUGUAAAAUAUUAAAUAUGAAUCUAUAUGUUCUAAGUUCUUACAAUUCAAACCAAUAUUCUUUAAUAAUAUUAAAAACAAAAAUAAUAAAAAGUACUAUACAUAUGAUAAAUUCAAUAUUAAAUUAUUAAUAUGUUGUUUUGAAUUCUUAAUGAUUAAUAAAAAUAUUUUGCAAAUAAUAAUCCAAAAAUACAUUUCAAGACGAUUACAUAAAGUAAUAUAUUCACCUAAUGCAUUAAAAAUAAUAGAUAUAAAAUUAACUAUAUCAACCAUUACAUUUAAGAUUAAAUUAUUACAAUAAAUAGUAUAUUAACUAAUUUUAAAGAGUGGAUAAAUAAGUAUUACAAUAAGUAAUAUAUUAACUAAUUUUAAAUAGCAUAAAUAGUAUAUAUCAAAUAAUAUAUCAAAUAUUCAAUUAUUUACCAUCUAUCACCAUCCCUAAACAGAAUUUCAAGAGAGAAGCAAUCAAUCAAAUCUAAUGGAAUGGAUAGGAAGGUGAAGCACGGUCUAAAGCUAAGCUCCUGUGUCAGAUCCCAUUAUUUCCUCUGACUUGACAUCAAUAUACAAGCGAAAUCUGAAUGCUUGGAAACUCAGUUUCAGCAAUUUCACUUGGUUGCCUAGAUGUUUCCUGCAUGCUAUCAUCUUUUGCCUUCGUUUCCUUUCAUUCAUGCUUUUGCUUUAGAUUUUCAGGUUAGGUAGGCAAUAUUUUUACAACAUAUGAUACCAUAUUACAACAGGUUUUGCAACAAAAAAAGAAUAAAAAAUGCACUAAAUGGUAUCCAUAUGACUAAAUGAUAUCCUUUCUUUUUAAUUAUUAAUCUAAUGGUGCUAGGAUAAACUUUAUUAUAGACCAAAGAAUAAGGCAUACUAUUAUAAAGAAAGAAUUGUUAAAAUAAUUAUUCUUUUCUCUGAAUGCAUAUUUAGAAAAAAAAAAGAAAUUGAUACAUAUGAGGAAGUUGAUCAAGGAAACAAAAGGAGAUUCAAACGUUGAAUUGAAGAAGAAGAAGAAGAAACAAACUUAUUAAUUAGGAUUUAAAAAAAAAAAAAAAGAAGUGUUCCAUCUAAUUUCAUAAUAACAAAGUUGAGUUGACUCAUUAAUCUUUGCAAGUUUUACUUCUCUUCAGAUGUUAAACUUAGUGAAAAUUUUCAUUAUUUUUUAGUAGUGAAGAAAUUCCUUCCUACUGAUCUACAUGUAACACUGUUACCUAACAUUGAGAAAAUUAAUUUUUUUAUUUGUUUUUUUUUUUUUUUGCAUGAAUGCAUAAUAUGAAAUAAAAAGUAGGAAGAAAGGAAAAAAUAUAGUGACAAAGAUUAAUUUACAAAAGCAAAAUUAUCAGCCUUAUCACCAUUCAAAUCUGUUAUUCAUUCUUUAAAAUUCAAAAUGGACAAGCACUAAAUAUGUCUGUCAAUCUUCCACCUAUUUUGAUUCAACUCCUACAGAAAAAGCUCAAACUCAUGAUUUGUAGAAACACGUGAUUGGAAAAACGCAUGUGAACCUAUCUCUUGAUAUCUAGGGAGAUAUAUAGCUACAAUAACAGUAUAAUAAUGUGAAGUACUUGUCUAUAUAUACCAUGCAAGGAAAUCUCAAACUCCACAGUCUUCCCUUCAUUUUUUUAUAGAGAGCCAACAAAACAUGAAGAAUCCUCAUAUCCUAAUUUCACUCAUUUUUCCUAGCUUGUUUUUCUCCUCAUGCUUUGUAUCUCUUGUGCUAUCUUUUUCCCCUUCUUAUACUGAUCUCCAAAACCAGUGCCUUGAUGACCAGAGAUCUACUCUGUUGCAAUUGCAUCGUGAUCUUUACUAUGCUCCAAAUUUUACUUUCUCUACCGAAGUUGAGCUUUGGGAUCUCAACACUAAUUGUUGCUCUUGGAAAGGAAUUACAUGCGAUGCUCUUGGUCAUGUGAUUGGGAUUGAUCUCAGUUACAAAAAUCUUUCAGGCAGCUUUCACUCCAUUUUCAAUCUCCAUCAUCUUCAACGCCUUAAUCUUGCUGGAAACAAUUUUAAUUCCACUCUGUUUCAAUAUGAGUUUGACAAACUCCCAUAUUUAACUCAUCUCAACCUUUCAAACUCAUGUUUCCAUGGCCAAAUUCCUGUGGGGAUUUCAUACUUAACAAGGUUAGUCUCUCUUGAUCUAUCUAAUCAAGAUUCUUGCUAUCUACACAAUUACCAAAUUCUUGAUCCAAAUUUCUGGUAUGAUGUUUUUCCUUACAACCUUUAUCAACCUUUAAAACUAGAAAACCCAAACUUCAAGUCAUUCAUCCAAAAUUUGAAAUCUCUUACGGAGCUCUACUUGGAUAGUGUGAACAUUUCAACUCAAAGUACUAAAUGGUGUGAAGCCACAUCCAUAGUACUUCAUAACCUGCAUGUGUUAAGUCUGUCAUAUUGUGGUUUGAUAGGUCCAGUUUGUUCUUCACUCUCAAGACUUCCUUUUCUUUCCAAACUUUUCCUCAACGGGAAUUCGAUCUCUUAUUUGCCUCCUAAUUUCUUGGAAAUUUCCUCUCGUUUGCUUUCUCUCAGUUUAGUGAAUUGCAAUUUGAGUGGGCAUUUUCCAACUGAAGUUCUCUCAUUGCCAAAAAUUCGGAGCAUUGACAUUUCAGAAAAUCACUUUCUUGGAGGUCAGUUGCCAGAAUUUUCAUUAAACAAUGCUUUACAGAUCUUAACGAUUUAUUCUACAAAUUUCAGUGGAAAACUGCCAGAAACAAUUGGUAAUCUCAAGUUCUUGACAAAUUUAGAUCUCGAUAAUUGCAAUUUCUUUGGACAAAUUCCAUCAUCAAUUGCAAAUCUUACAAACCUUGUGGAACUGGAUCUAUCUGGUAACAAUUUCAGUGGUUUUAUCCCUGCAUUUCAUAGAUCUGGAGUUCCAAAUCUUGCAUAUCUUUAUUUGUCGUGGAACCACCUUUCUGGAUCAAUACAUUCUUCUUUAUUUACUCUCCCAUCAUUGCAGGCCUUGGAUCUUAGUGAAAAUCAAUUGAUUAGUGAAAUUGAAGAGUUCCUCAAUGAAUCUUCUUCAUUGAUUGAAACAUUGUAUUUAGGCUACAAUAGCUUUAGUUCCAUGAAGCUUGGCAUGUUCUCGCAACUCAAGAACUUACGGUUUCUUGACCUUUCCAAUACGAGCUUGUCAAUUGAAAGCAACAUCACAAGCCUUGCUUUUCCCCGAUUAGAGGAGCUAAACCUAAAUUCAUGUAACCUUACUGAAUUUCCAGAAUUCAUCAAAACUCAAGACAAGUUGACUAUUCUAUGUCUUUCUAACAACGAAAUCCAUGGUUUUGUGCCUAAUUGGUUGUGGAAGACCACUCUUUUAUGGUUAGACCUUUCUUUCAAUGCGAUUGAUUUUCCAAAAGACGUCCCUUUUGGUGAUGCAAACUCCUCUUUUCCAAUGUUGAGUCACUUGCGUUUACAAUUCUGUAACCUAAGCAUGUUUCCAGAGUUUUUAAAGAGUCAAACUAGUUUAGAAUAUCUUGUCCUUUCAAAUAACAAAAUAAGUGGUGCAGUGCCAAACUGGGUGUGGAAGAAAAGUUUGUGGUAUCUAAAUCUUUCUAACAAUUCUCUCUCAUCUUUGGACCAAUUUUCUUUGAACCAAUCUCUAACUUCUUCACAAGGCUCUUUAUCAAGACCUAUUUGCAAUUUGAGUCAACUUGCGACCUUUAAUGCAUCCUUUAACAAAUUAAGUGGGCCAAUCUCAAGUUGCUUGGGCAAUCUCAGUUCCCUCAGCUCUUUGGAUCUACAAAAAAAUAAUUUCAGCGGCAGCAUACCAGAUUUUGCAAAAGCGACCCACUUAUAUUGGCUUCAACUCAAUGAUAAUAAAUUGGAAGGGAAGUUGCCAAGGUCAUUAGCCAAUUGCACAAUGCUCCACGUUUUAAAUCUUGGAAACAAUACUCUGCAUGACACAUUCCCUUUGUGGUUGGGAAAAUUGCCUGCAUUGAUGGUUCUUGUAUUGCGUGCAAAUAAGUUUUAUGGUCCAAUUAAACAUAUGAAAAAUUGUUUUCAAGAUUUGGAUGUACUAGACAUUGCUUUCAAUAAUUUUUCUGGUCAAUUACCAAUUGAAUUCUUUCAAGCCCCUCAACUAAGGUCACUCAACAUUGGUGCGAAUAAACUGGAAGGAAAGUUGCCGAGGUCAUUAGCCUAUUGCAAAAAGCUUGAAGUUUUGGAUGUUGGAAAAAAUAUGAUACAAGACACAUUUCCUUUUUGGUUGGUGAAAUUGCCUUCUUUAAAGGUUCUUGUACUAAGAGCAAAUAGAUUUUAUGGUCCAAUUAAAAUUUCUGAGGAUGAAAAUGUUUUCCCAGAAUUACACAUAUUGGACCUCGCUUCCAAUAACUUUUCAGGUGUGUUAUCUGUUGGAUUUUUUCAAUCUUUGAAGGCAAUGAAGUCGAUGACUGAUCGCAACAAAGCUAAGCCAGAUUACAUUGGAGACAUGUACUACCAGGACUCUAUGACAAUUGUGAAUAAAGGGUUUGAAAUUUUUUACAAGAAAAUCUUAACCAUCUUUUCUUGUCUUGACCUUUCCAAUAAUAGUUUCCAUGGGAGAAUACAGGAGGAAAUACAAAACCUCAAGUCACUCAAAGCGCUAAACUUCUCCUACAACAGCUUCCUUGGCCCAAUCCCUUCAGCACUUGGAAACUUAACUGAGCUUGAGUCGUUGGACCUCUCCCAGAACAACCUCUCAGGAAAGAUUCCUCCACAGCUUGCAAGCCUAACUUUUCUUGAAGUAUUGAAUCUCUCUUACAACCAACUUGAGGGAAGCAUACCACAAAGCUACCAAUUUGGUACAUUUCAAAACGAUUCUUACAAAGGGAAUCCAAGAUUGUGUGGGCCGCCUUUGACAAAGAAAUGCAAUGAAGUUGGUCUUGGAAUGCAACCGCCUAAGGAAGAUGAGGAUUCAUGGGUAGACGGUAUAUCUGUUUGGAAAAUCGUUUUGACUGGGUAUGGAUGUGGUUUGGUAAUUGGGUUAUCUAUUGGAUAUACAAUGCUGAAUGAGAUGGGGAACAAAUGGAUGGAUAGGUUUACAUGGAAUCGAAAUCAAAAAUGGAGAAGAUCUUCUAGGUGACUCCAUCAAAAUUCAAGUUUCAAAUUCAUUUGGUAAGCAUUCUAGAAUACUCAAUAAUUCAAAAGUUUUCUUAUUGGUUCUUUCAGCUGUAGUUUAUUGCCUAAACAAAUAAAAUUAUUUAAAUACUCUGGUGCAUUAUAAGUGUGAUAUAUAUAUAUAUAUAUAUAUAUAUAUAUAUAUACUCAUUUCCCUUUUAAACUUGGCAUUGCUUUUAAAACUGAAAACAAAAAUUGCCUGCAACCGAGGAUAUGUCCUUUGAAUUCCUAACCUCAUGUUAUAAAUGACAAUCAUGAGUUUCCAAGUUAGUAAUUUGUAAAAGACAUGUGGGUGACUGGCAUUUUGAGUUAGAUUGGGCUGUCAACCAUCUUAACAGCAAAGCAAAGCUUUGGCAUCUAUUGUCCUUAAUUAGAUUGGCUUGGGAUGCUCAUAUAUAUUUUAUUUGGCAGGAGCACAAUCAAAGGAAGUUUGGCAGGCCAUCUAAAGAUAUAGAAGCUAUUGUUUCAACUAUCAGAAGUUACUUUUCGCUUAGUUCAAUAACAAGAUUGCAGUCUUCAGUUGCACUCUUCCUCUUCAACAACAGAAAUUGUGUCUGAAUGUUUUUAGCUUGGUGUUACGGUACUUGUGUCUUAGUUCUUUCUCUUCUGUUCACCUAAGAUGAUUGGCAGUAUGUCUGGUUGUAUUGUGCUUCUCUUCUGUUCUGUCUAUAAGGUGGCGUUUUACUGCUGAGUUAUGGGGUUCCCCUGUUGUUCACCCUAUUGUGUAACUCUGUUUUUAUUAAUAAUUUCUGGCUUAGCAAAAGAAAAAUGUGUCUGAAUUGGGGACAGGUUCCUUAAUGUUGCUUAGUUUGAUUACUUUGCAAAAGUUAGAUUGUUCUUGGACAUUUGUAAUGUUUUGAUAGCUUACUGUUUACUUGUAGCAAGUCUAAUGCUUUCUUUGCGUUAAUAAAAAUCAUUCACCCAAAGAAAUUCUUAACGAAAAUCUUAUUAUCUUUUAAGCUCUUCAUUAUUGUUAUACCUAAGUGAUCAUGUUAGCAGCCACAUAUUAGGUCUUACACAUGAAAACCCCGUUUGCGACAUCAUCAUCUAAAAGGUAUAAAAAGUAGAACCAAACCAGAGAGAUGAUUCGCUACUGAACUCUCUCUACUCUCUUUAACUGCUUCUUAUCAUUUACUUGCUUCUGGUAUACCUUACUAACUUAACUUGAGCGUCGGGGAAUGCCUCAAAAUAACAUUUUUGGCACACUGACUUUCUGCUCUGUGAUAGGUCACACAAACUCUCCUUCUCAACCUCCGGUAAAACUUUUGACUAUCAGACCAGGAAUUACAUUAACAAUAUCAAUUAUUCAACUCAACUAUUUGCGGUGCAGGAAUUUGAUAUAAGCCAUGGCAUGUACAACAAUGACUACGCCCACCACUUUAGCUGCCAAAACUAGAAGUUACAUCUCCUAACACAGAAAAAUCUUCACAGACCAAGCUCAAGCUAAGAUGCUUUAUUCCUGUAUUAACUGCUACAUCACUACAAAGAAGAAAACAUCGAAAAGAAAAUAACAAAGCUUCCGGUUCUAGGUAUCAAGCUCGACAAUUCCAAACUAACUUCGAUAGUAUUUUAUUGUCCCUAACAACUAUAGAUUUGACUAUGGCGAGAAAGAAUGAAAUAUUUCGCUUAUUAUUUUCUUCAACUUUAAUCCCAUAUCAUCCUUUGUUUCUUUGCUUCAGCACUCCCACAGACAAAAACAAAUGGCUUGUUGUAAGCUCUAUUGCUAUAUGAUUGAUUUGCAUGUAGAAUAGACCUUGACUAAACAAAAACAUGAGGGCAAUACAUUCAGUAACUUAUAUAUACUCACUUCACUAGAAUUCCAGUGAACCCUUUCAGUAACUUAUUCUCUAUCUAAUAGAAAUAAAGCGUCAUAACUAAAUAGGCAAUAUUCACAUUGAUGUGCUAAGUGUUCUGAUACAGCCACUAAUCCAUAAUUAAAAGAUGAAGUUAUAGAAGACAUGCUAUCUUUCAAGCACUGGUCAUUUUAUAGGUAGUUUUUUCUCUAGUAGUUACCUUGAUGCUGUAAACCAGAAAGGUUGUCAAGCCUUCUGACAUUUAGCCUAUUUUGAGUAUUAGCUCAGAAUUUAUGUUUAGAAGGUUGGUGGAGGUAAAAAGAUAUCUGAUGACUUUGGGGUUGACAAAAGCCACAUUGGGCAGAGUGAUCAUGCAUAUAUGAAGACUGUGCCCCUAGAGGCUUUCUCCUACAACUGUCCUCAUGCAGCCCUAAGUUCUUCCUCAUUUGAAUCCUUCUCUAACUAGAAAUGUAAGUAUCAACUAGAAAAAUAAUUUAAUCUUAUCAAUUCGGUCAUUUGAAAAUUUUACAGAGCAAAAAGAAAACAAAAACUCAUGCUAAAAAAGAAAAUUUUAGAGGGAAAAAAGGAAACCAAAAAAUAUUACUAUUUCUUGAGUUUAAGUUUAGGUUUGCUAGCUAAUUUCAUUUUUUUUUUAUUUAAUGCAGGACCUGUAUUUUUCCAGGAAGAAAACUGAUCAUUAAUGUUUUCUAUGCUUUGGACUUGGACAGCACAAAAAAUGACAGUUUCCAUUAGCCGCCCUACCCAAUUGAAACUACCUGCAAUCCAACAUUCUUAAACUCUUUGAAGUAACAUCCUAGAUCCUACCAGUAUGUGUCAUCGAGACCUGGAUUCUGAUCUGAUCAAGCUGAAUUCUUGGCCAUUAUGAAGGUUGUGAAGUUGGAUGCUGACCCUUGGAAAAUUAAUACUGGAUUGCAAUGCUAUCUCUAGGUAGAAGAAAUGCUACUUCGUGGGUAAAAGGCAGCAAUAGGGUUUGUUGGCAUCUUAGGAACGCCAAUUUUGUAUAUAAAUUACAAGUUUUACAAUUGUCUACUCAUUCAGCUGUUUUCGACGACUCUUGGAAUUUCAUGUAAAAACCUAAUUCUUGCUCUGCUUAAUACUAUCACUCAAUUCAUAAGUCUGUUGUGGAAUGACAGAAAAAAAUGCUUACCUAAAUAGUAAUGCACAUGCCUGCAGCAACAAUGAUUUUAAAGAGCUCAUCACUGCAUAAUCCAAAAUUCCCCCAAGCUCAAGCAGGGAAAUGAUUUCGUUUAAUAAGGUAUUCAGACAAGGGAAAUGAUUUUAAAGGGCGAUGAAUCGUCAUUGUCAUCAUCACUCUGGCCUACCCCUGCCUCAUCAUCAUCAUAAUCGCUACCCAAAACCAGAUUUCUCUUCCUUGCUUUCUCUGCUUCUUCCAGUCCUUCUCUAAUUGCCAUCCAGACUUGUAAUCUCCACUAUCAUGCAUAAACUUACAUGAAUCCUCUAACCACAGUAACCAGUUUCUUUGUAGUCUAUACAGAUGUCAGGUUGAUAAUCAAAUCUCUCUGAAACCCUGAUGUGGGCAGAAGCCCUAACGUGAGCCACCAGCUUUCUCACUGGCAACUGUCUGCUCCCUUCAAACGCAGCCUUAUGAUCCACAUAGCCAUGCUUUCCUUUAUACAACUUCUCUCCCACAGAGCUUUGGCUUUCCCCUUCAAAGCCUCCUCUGCUUGUUUAAGAACUUUCUCACCUAUAGCUCGAGCAUCUUAUAUAAACUCAGUCUCAGUUUCUAAGGUUGCGGUAGCUCUGCUAUCAUUUUGAACUUGAAGUUCCUUCGAAGACUCAAAUUGAAAAAUCGGUUUGUCAAAUUCUGUAUCUGAUUCAUUGAGAGCAGCACUCCUGGGGGAUCCAGUCGAAAAGUAUAACUUAUUGUCAGGCUUCAAAGCCCUCUUCUGAUUGUGUGACGGGGAUGUGCCAUUUCUGGAGUCUUCAUCUUCAUCUUCAUUUGUUUUCCUUUUCCUUAUGUUUUUGCCCUUUGUUAGCUUCCUAAAGAAAUUGCAGACUGAAAAAUCGAAGAGUUAACUAUAUAAGUAAAGAUACUGUCUGAAUUUGAUGCACACUAACAGAAACGGCCGGUUCUUUUUCAUUAUUAUUAUUUUUUUCAAAAAGAAAUGUCACAAUCACAGCGGCAAUGGGAGAACGCGACCACCGGUGCAGUGGCGGGCUUCGCCACCGUUGCAGCGAUUUACCCCCUGGACAUUGUCCGUACGAGAUUUCAAGGUAAUCCUCUUCUUCUUCUUCUUCUUCCGUCUCUUUCUUUAUAUAUACAUAGUUUCGACAAAAAAGUUUCAGUUUUUUUGGUGCUGAUUGGAUCGAGUUUUCAAAUAGUUAACGAUGGUCGACUCACCAAUUUCCCGACUUACAAGAACACCGCCCACGCCAUUUUUAUCAUUACUAGCUUAGAGGUUCACACCUUUUUUUUUCUUUCAUUUAAUUAGGCUUAGGCACUUUAUUUUUCUUUUCUCUCCAUGUAAAUUUGAGGUCUUUCUCGCUUUCAUUGGAGAUUAACGUUUCUCUUUUGUAUGCUGUUUUUCUUUUGAUAUAUGCUAAAAGUUUGGUGAGUUUGUCAUGCAGGGUUUGAAAGGGCUUUAUGCAGGCUUCUUUCCUGCAGUUUUAGCGUCCUCUGUUUCCUGGGGUUUAUAUUUCUUCUUGUAGGUGCCAUCAUCAAUUUACAUGUUACAACUUUUCCUUUGAUUACAGUACAUUUGUUGUCAAAUAUAUGUGCACAUUUGAAUUAUUAGCUGCAGCGGAAACGACUAAUUUGCUGAUUUUUUUUAAUGUAAAUAGAUUGAUUUUAAUAUGCAAUGGGGAAUAUAAAGAGUUAAUGUGUUUUGAUUUGUUGAAAAAUGUAGUGUGACAAUCAAUUAAUCUAAAGUGUCUGCUACUACUGUCUUAAUUUGAUGCAAGUUGCAAAUUAUCUCUGUUGAAACCCAGUUUUGAUGUUUAGAAACCAAAAUUCUGAGUAGAGUUUGAUAUGCAAUCAAACGGAAAAAGGGAAAAAAAACUCAACAAAAGAAAUGUGCUUCUGCAAUCUGCAAAAUUGGCUUGAAGAUCUUUCCUGAUUGAAGUGAAGCUUCAGAGAUGGAAAAUUGGCAAGUAAUAAUAAGUAAACACAUAUUAAUUACCUGCUUAAUCCAUUAAAUAAGAGAAAAAAACCUUAAUGACUUCAUAUCAAUAAUGAAAUGGGCCUACUGCAACAAUUCAGAAAAUGGAAUCAUACUUCAAAAACAUUCCAUUUGCUACAAUAUUGAUUGUACUGGUGACAAUGUCUAACCCACAAGCAUGAGCUCCAUGACCAAAGGUCCCUGCAAAUAGCUUCCACCAAUGCCGAGGAUUCUAAAGCUGUACAUAGCAAUUUGGUUGAAAGCAGAUUUGUGAAGCUUUCAUUUCAUAUAACUUGGCAGCAAGAAAAUGAUUGGGAGAAGCUAGUGAGUAUGGAGAAACGAUAUGGACAGGAUCACUAUCUUCAAUUUUGGACAGGAUGUUUUGAAGUCAAGAUCAGCUUGACGGGGUAAAGCAAAGACUUGGUGACUGGUGAGGAACUAAAUAAAAACUGAAAUAAUACCUUCAAUUUCCUUAAAAAUAUAAAUAAAACUCAAUGACAAUGAAGUUGAUGUAUUUUCAAAUUGUUCAAUGUUUAAAAACUGAAAACAAAAGAAGUAAUAGCAUCAUAUGUUGGCUGUUGGGUUCAGAAUAAUUUGUUGCUUACUUAACAUUAAAUCAUCUAUAAAGAAACUAUUUAGUCCCUUUUAGAUGCCAUCACAGACUCAGUGUGAUAGAAUUCAGGUCAAAAUAUGGAUUCAUCACCAUUUAUAUAUUUGUAUCUCACAUAUAUUUCAUUAUUGAUUUUAAUCUCUAUGCUAUUAUAUCUAAUCUCAUCAUAAUAAUAAUUAUUUUUUCUAUUAUCGUUAUUUUUAAUUUCACGGAAACUAAUUUUGCUUCUCAUCUAAAUUGUUAUCGAAAAAAAAGUGAGAUCUAGCACAAUACUUAUUACCCUUUUCAUUAUAUAUAUAUAUAUAUAUAUAUAUAUAUAUAAAACUUACAUAAUGCACAAUAGAUGGCACAAUUUUUAUGUAUAAAGAAGAACUCAUGAAUUUAAGUAUAAUCAUAUUUUGUUUUUAUUUUUUAAAAAAAUUUAUAUUAACAUUUGAAAUUUAUAUCCCUUUCUUUUGAAUUCAAAUUUCUAAACACAAAUUUAAUUAACAAAAGAAAUUCCUCUUUCAUUGAUCAAACAACAAAAAUUAAGAAACAAUCAUUGAGGAAAGAAAAACUAAUACCUCGAAAACAAAAAUAAGAAUUUAGGGCUUUAAUAAUGUUUGUUUUUCAAAAAAAAAAAAGAUUGUAAAAAAAAUUCAUACGUAUAAAUAAAAUUAAUAAUCAACCAAAAAGAGCAAAAUUAAUUACCCGAAUUAGUUUGGAUAAGCCUAUUGGGUCAAAAGACCUCUUUUUUUUACAUGGGCUGGGCCCAUUAAUACCGAAAUCGUGCUUCCCUUUGACUUCUUGCACUAAAAAUACAAUGAUGGAUUCCGAAUUUGGCAAUUGUUGUGAAUCAUAAAGUGUUUGAAGAAAAAUACGAAAAGCAAUUAACUGAGAAAAGCAAAAUUUAAAAAAAAUGUUGUCAAAAGGGAUUAAAGUUAGGGCGUUUUAAUCGAAUUUUCCUCUCCUUUUUUCAUUUUCCUGGUGAAAACUUCCUCAUGCCCAGUUUUAUUUUCAAUCUUAAAAUUUUUUUAAUUGAUUUUAUCUCCUGUUUUUGCAGUGACACUGUAAUUCGAGAGCUGGAGUCAUUGCAGGUAAUUUUUGGAAACCCCACAUUAGCAAAGGCAGAGUAUUUGAUUUUUUUUUUUUUUAAUUUCUUUUUUCUGUGAUCUUUUUUAGACUUUCACUGUGUAGAAAAGUUCUAUUUUUUGCUAAGCAUAACUUUUUUUUUUCUUAUUUGUGUUUCUCAGGCUUUAUUGUAUGUUGGUUUUGUUCUGUUUUAUCCAUAUUUCAUUUAUUUUUAUGAUUUGAAUUGAACUACUAUGUGAAAAGGAAUAUUGAGUAUUGCCAAGUAGUAUUUUCUUUGACUAUUACUGUACAUAAUUGUCAAUCUGUUAUUCAAUUGCUGGCUGUUAAAUUUGCUGGAAAAGAAUGAUUAUUGCAGUUUGAAUCUCUUGUUAUUAUGGGGAAGAGUGUGAGGGUUGAAAAAAGGGAAAGCAAAAUAAAAUGAAAUAGUUGGGUGGAAAGUGUUACCUUUUAUGGAGUUCUUGCUUGCAAUCAUCAUUUGUUUAAUUGUACAUUUUGCAUUUUCCAACAAUUGAAUGGAGGGAGUUUUUCGGAUUUCCAUUUCACUGCUUUCAAGUAUCUUGGUUUAGAUAAGUUUCGUCAGUGUUUUCUGUUUUCAAAAUGAAUUAAUAUACAUGACAUAACAGGUUCUUCUUGCAAAUCGGGAAUUGAAUGCUUAUGUGAAAAGGUGUUUAAAAUCUGAUCUUUUCUUUGUGGCAUCCAUAUUCUGCAAAGAUCUUUUGCCCUGUCUUUGUUCACCUCCUAGGUAUCAAUAUUUUAUCGGUUUGCUUAUGCUAGAGUUUGAUCUCUUUCUCUACCAUUUUCCCUUUGCCCCUACUAUUCCUCUUCUUCCUCUUUAGCCUUUGAAAUUGCUUUUUAGAGCCUUGGUUGUUAUAGUGGAUUACAAGCAUACAUAACACUAUGUUCAAGCUGUUGAAUUUUAGGUUCAACUUUCAAGUGUUAAGAGUUUUAUUAAAGUUUUAAUUUCUUGUGUAAGCCUUGUUUUACCCCCUUUUUUAGAGGGAGAGGAGGUUUGGGAGAGAUAAAAAUAGCACUUAUUUUAGUGUAUACGGAUGUAUGUAUGUAUGUAUGUAUAUGGUAUAUAUAAACAUAGGUUUAAAAAAUAUGCUACAUACAAUGUUUCUAUAAAAAAUCAUGAUUGCAAAAUAAAAUGUAAAUUUUAAGUACUGUACAUACAUAAAUCAUUUCUAAAAAAAUUCUAAAAAUUAAAUUCAAUAAAAUUAGAGUAUAACUUAAUGACCAGAAACAAAUAAAACUAAAAAAAAGAACUACCAAGAACAUAAAAUUAUUUGUGCAAAAUUAAUGCAUUAGUGAAUCAUAUGAAGUUCUUGGUUGUUUUGCCUCAUUUAGAGUCUGUUUGAUUGGUUUUUUGCUAGUUGCUUUUUGCCUCCAAAAGCAAAAAUGAAAAAAUUGCUUUUCCAUAAGCAAUAAAAUUUUGAAGAGCUAUACACAAAAUAUGUAAAUUUGUUAUGAUUAACUACAUGGUUCUACUUCUAUAUAUACUAAUUGUGUUAUAUAUUUUAAUUAUUUUUUCUGUUUUAGACCAGUUAUGAUAUAUAUAUUUUACUUUUUUCUCUUCCUUUCUAGUUAAAUAUAUACGUUUUAUUCAUGUUCAUAGGGAACUUACCAAACUCCUUGACCAUGCUCUAGAAAUGCCAGUAUGUAACGAGUUUGCUUUGAAUAUGGCAGCUAACAACAUCAGUGAAUCUUAGGUUUCUUGAUGCAAAUCAUGGCUAAUAGAUUCACUUGAAGCCUACUUAUCUAAAGAUUUUCGGAUUUUUGGAGGAUGAAAUACAGAGGUGGUGCUGAUGUUAAUAAUAUUGGAGACUGAACACUGUCAAACAACAUAGAGGUGGAAAUAUACUGACUUUUUCAGGUUUCAGGGUUGGUUUUAUUUGUUGACUUCAUUCUACUAUUUUUUUUUUUUGGAAAGAUAUAUACCAACAUCUUAUGUAAAUAUGUAACUUGAUAUAGAUAAUUUGUAAUUUUGGGGAAGAGAGAGAAGGAAUGAAAUUGAGAAGAUAGUGGUUUUUCUUUGAAAUUUUGCCAUGAUGUAAAGUUGUUCUAGUCAGAGUUUUUUGAUGUUAUGAUGCUUAAGAAAUCCAGAUACUAGUGAUAUCUUUCCCCAAAAUAGUUCAUUCUUCAACUCCAUCUAUUUCAUCUGGUUUGUUUCUGGGAAUAAAAGCAUAUUCCUUAUUGGUUGCAAAAUUUUCAUUCAUUUUAGCUUCAAAUUUAUCGAACAAUUAAAUUAUUAAUUGACUUGGUUAGUAUUUGUUGAACCAUAUAACUUAGAAAAUGCAAUCAGUUAGUGGAGAUUUUAGAUUAUACAAGUUAGAGGGCUGUCACAAACCCUUUUACAAAUAUAUUAAAAAAGUAUAUAAAAAAAUUAAGAUAUGUGAUAAUUUUUUAAUACUAUUUAUAAAAUUUAAAAGCUCUAUUAAACAUAUAUGAAGAAAUCAAAAUAUAUAAAAAUUAUCUCGUAUACAUGAAAUUUGCGAAAGAAGAAGAUUUUUUUUUUUUUUUAUGUGAGGUUGUUAGGAUUUAAACUUAAACUAUUGAAACUAAGAGUUCUGCAUUCAUUCCCACUCUUAUUUUGGAAAUUGUGAUUUUAUAAUGGUGGAAUAAGAAAGAAAAUGACAGAUACUAUGAGAAUGUAAUGGUCUAAGUAUUAGUCUUUGCUUUAUACUUAGUUUUGGCAUCACGCAUGCAAAUUUAUUAAUCUUUUUGCCCCCAUCUUUGCUUCACAAAAAUAAUAAUUUUAGCAGUUGCUUAAGUCUAAGUCAUUAAAAAGACUAAAAUAUAACAAUAAUAAUUAAUAUAUUUAAAAUCCAUUUCCUGUGUUCUAAUUUAACUAGAAGACAAAAGACAACCUCUAUUAAAAAAAUUGUUAUUAUUUUUUUUGUUUUUUUUAAAGACAAACUUCACUUAAACAAACUGCUAAGAAAAUUAUUUUUUAUAGAGUAAUGAUAGGGUAAGAAGACUUAAACAUUUGCAUGAGUGGAAUAAUUAAAAGUAGAAAGCAAAGAAAAGACUAAAUACCAACAAGAAAAUCUCAUACUAUCACUUUCUUUGUGAGUCCAAAAUUAGAAUAUAAAUUUUUUUAUAAACUUUAAUUUUAUGAUGGGUGAUUCAAAAUACAUCAUCAUUUUUUUUCUCUACAUCCAUUUUUAAAAUUUUUUUUAAGUGAAAUUACUUAUUUACACAUUUCGUUUUAAUUUUAAAACUUCUAGAUAUGCAUUUUUGAUAAGUUAUAUAACUUUUCAGAUUUUGAUAUCUGGUAAGUUAAAAAAAUAUAUUAAGGUUUAAAGAAAAUAAUUGAGAGAAAAUAUCUUAUGGAAAGCAUGAAAUUCUAAUACCAUUUAAAAAAUUUAAAAACUUUAUUAAUCAUAUGUAAAGAAAUUGAAAUUUAUAAAAAUUAUCUCACAUGAAAUUUGUGAAAAUAAAAGAUUGUCUUUUUUUUUUCUUGUAUAUGAAGUUGUCAAGAUUUGAACUUUAAACUAUUAAAACUAAAAGUUCAAUAUUUUACUAACAAAUUAUAUGGUUAUUGGCUUAUUGAGUUUUUAAAUCAGUGCAUCACUUUAAAAUAUAGUAACAAUAAAAAACUAAAAAAAAAUGCACAUACCAUGAAAUCUAAUAGUACAUUAGGAACAAAAGCAUAAGAAACAAGUUGUUUAAUCAAUAAAUUGAUUAGCCAAAAAAAUCAACAAAUUAAAAACCUGUCUUUUAUUUUUGCUGAAAAGUUUGGAAAAAAAAAUUCUAAAGAACACAUUCACUCCCAUUUCUGAAACUUAUCUAUUUUGGAAAUUGUGAUUUUAUAAUGGUGGAAUAAAAAAGAAAAAGAUAGAUCUUAUCAUAAUGCAUGGGUCUAAAUUAUAGUCCUUGCUUCAUACUUAGUCUUGGCAUCAAGCAUGCAAAUGUGUCAAUCUUUUCGCCCCCAUUUUUACUUCAAAAAAUUAAUGAUGUUAGCAAUUGCUUUAGUCUAAGUCAUUGAAAAGACUAAAAUACAAAAUAUUAAUUAAUAUACUUAAAAUCCAUUCCCAAUCUAUCAAUUUAAUUGGAAAACAAAAGAUAACCACCAUUGAAAAAAUUGCUAUUUUUUUUUGUCUUUUUUAAAAGAUAGAUUUGAUUUAAGCAAACUGCUAAGAAGAUUAUUUUUCAUAGAAUAAUGAUAGGGUAAGAAGACUUAGACAUUUGCAUGAUGGAAGACUUAAAAGUAUAAAGUAAAGAAAAGACUAAAUACCAAUAAAAAAAAAUCUCAUACUAUCAUUUUCUUUGUUAGUCAAAAAUUAGAAUAUCAAUUUUUUUUUGUAAAGCAUAAUUUUGUGAUGGGUGAUUCUAAAUACAACAUUAUUUUUUCUCUACAUCCACCUUUUUUUAAAAAAUUUUAAGUGAAAUUACUUCUUUACUCAUCUUGUUUUAAUUUUAAAACUUUUAAAUAUGCAUUUCUGAUGAGUUAUAUAAUUUACAAAAUUUUCAUAUCUGGUAAGUUAGAAAAAAGUUACAUUUAGGUUUAAAAAAAUAGUUAAGAAAAAAUAUCUUACAAAAUGUAUGAGUUUUUAAUAUUGUUUAUAAAAUUUAAAAACUCUAUUAAUCAUAUAUGAAGAAAUUAAAAUACAUAUAUAUAUAUAUAUAUAUUAUCUUGUAUACAUGAAAUUUUUUCAUUUUAAGAUUGUCUUUUUUUUUUUUUUUUAUAUGUGAGAUUGUCAAGAUUUGAAUUCUAAACUAUUGAAACUAAGAGUUUAGCAUUUUACUAUCAGACUAUAUGAUUAUUAGCUCAUUGAAUUUUUAAAUUAGGGGAUAUCUUUAAAAUAUAUUAACAAUAAAAAACUAAAAAAAUGCACAUACCAUGAAAUCUAAUAGUACAUUAGGAACAAAAGCAUGAGAAAAACGUUGCUUAAUCAACAAAUUGAUUGGCCAAAAAAAAAUCAACAAAUUAAAAACCUAUGUUUUAUAUUUGUUGAAAGGUUUGAAAAAAAAAAUGGUGGCAUAAGAAAGAAAAUGAUAGAUACUAUGGGAAUGUAUUGGUCUAAGUGUUAGUCUUUGCUCUAUACUUAGUUUUGGCAUCAAGCAUGCAAAUGUGUCAAUCUUUUUGCCCCCAUCUUUACUUCACAAAAAUAAUCUUAGUACUUCAGUCUAAGUUAUUAAAAAGACUAAAAUAUAACAAUAAUAAUUAAUAUACUCAAAAUCCAUUCCUUGUGUGCCAAUUUUAGUAGAAAACAAAAGACAACUUUCGUUGAGAAAAUUUUUUUUUUUUUUAUCUUUUUUAAAAGGCAGACUUGACUUAAGCAAAUUGCUAAGAAGAUUAUUUUCACAUAAAAAUGAUAGGGCAAGAAGACUUAGACAUUUGCAUGAUGGAAAGACUUAAAAGUAUAAAACAAAGAAAAUGAUUAAAUACCAAUAAAAAUAUAUCAUACUAUCAUCUUUUUUGUGAGUCCAAAAUUAAAAUAUCAAUUUUUUUAUAAAGUAGAAUUUUGUGAUGGGUGAUUCUAAAUAUAUCAUCAUUUUUUCUCUUUAUCAAUUUUUUAAAUUUUAAGUGAAAUUACUUAUUUACCAAUCUUGUUUUAAUUGUAAAGCAUCUAUAUAUAACUUAUUGGAUUUUCAUAUCCGACAAGUUAAAAAAAGUUACAAUUAGGUUUGGAAAAAAAUUAAGAGAAAAUAUCUUGCAUAAAGUAUGAGAUUUUAAUACCAUUUAUAAAAUUUAAAAUCUCUAUUAAUCAUAUAUGAUGAAAUCGAAAUAUAUAUAAAUUAUCUCGUAUACAUGAAAUUUGUGAAACUAGAAAAUUGUCCUUUUUUUUUUUUUGUAUGUGAGGUUAUCAAGAUUUGAACUUUAAACUACUAAAAUUAAGAGUUCAACAUUUUACUAACAAACUACAUGGUUAUUUACUCAUUUAAUUUUAAAUCAAAGAAUCUCUUUAAAAUAUAUUAACAAUAAAAAACUAAAAAAUAAAAAAAUGCACAUACCAUGAGAUCUAAUAGUACAUUAGGAAUAAAAGCAUGAGAAAGAAGUUGCUUAAUCAACAAAUUGAUUGGGAAAAAAAAUCAACAAAUUAAAAAUUGUCUUUAUUUUUGCUGAAAAGUUAAAAAAAAAAAAUCUAAAGAACACAUUCAUUCCCACAUCUAUAACUUGUCUAUUUUGAAAAUUGUGAUUUUAUAAUGGUGGAAUAAGAAAGAAAAUGAUAGAUACUAUGGGAAUGCAUUGGUCUAGAUCUUAGUCUUUGCUUUAUACUUAGUAUUAGCAUCAAACACGCAAAUGUGUUAGUCUUUUUGCCCCUAUCUUUACUUCACAAAAAUAAUAAUUUUAGUAGUUGUUUCAAUCUAAAUCAUUAAAAAGACUAAAAUAUAAUAAUAAUAAUUACUAUACUUAAAAUCCUUUCCUAGUUUGCCAAUUUAAUUGAAAAACAAAAGACAACCACCAUUUAAAAAUUGUUAUGUUUUUUUUUUUUUUUUUUAAGAGACAAACUUGACUUAAACAAAUUACUAAGAAGAUUAUUCUUCACAGAGUAAUGAUGGGGCAAAAAAACUUAGACAUUUGCAUGAUGGGAAGGCUUGAAAGUAUAAAGUAAAGAAAAGACUAAAUAUCAAUAUAAAAAUCUUAUACUAUCAUUUUCUUUGUGAGUCCAAAAUUAGAAUAUCAAUUUUUUUUAUGAAGUAUAAUUUUGUGAUGGGUGAUUUUGAAUACACCAUCAUAUUUUUCUCUACAUCCACUCUUUAUUUUUUAAAUUUUUAAGUGAAAUUAUUUAUUUACUCAUCUUGUUUUAAUUUUAAAGCUUCUAGAUAUGCAUUUCUUAAAUUAUAUAACUUAUUGGAUUUUCAUAUCCAAUAAGUUGAAAUACAUUUAGGUUUGAAAAAAAAAUAGUUACGAGAAAAUAUCUUGCAGAAAGUACGAGAUUUAAUGUUUAUAAAAUUUAAAAACUUUAUUAAUGAUAUGUGGAGAAAUAUAUACAUAUAUAUAUAAAUUAUCUCGCAUACAAGAAAUUUUUUAAAUUAGAAGAUUUUUUUUUAAUAUGAGGUUGUCAGGGUUUGAGCUUUAAAUUAUUAAAACUAAGAGUUAUACAUAAACUAUUAAAACUAUUAAAAAUAGCCCUUAUAUUAGUGUUUGGAUGUUUGUAUGUAUGUAUAUGGUAUACAUAAACAUAGGCUUAAAAAAUAUGCUACAUACGAUGUUUCUAUAAAAAUUCAUGUAAUUGCAAAAUAAAAUGUAAAUUUCAAGCACUAUGCAUACAUAAAUCAUUUCUAAAAAAAUUCUAAAAAUUAAAUUCAAUAAAAUUAGAAUAUAACUUAAUAACCAGAAAUAAAAAAUACUAAAAAAGGCAAAUACCGAGAAUAUAAAAUUACUCAUGCAAAAUUAAUGCAUUAGCGAACCAUAUGAAGUUCUUGGUUGUUUUGUCUUAUUUACAAUAUGUUUGAAUGGAUUUUUGCUAUUUGCUAUUUGCUUCCGAAAGCAAAAAAGAAAAAAUUGCAUUUCCAUAAGCAAUAAAAUUUUGAAAUAUGUAAAAUUUUUAUGAUUAAUUACAUAAUUCUACUUCUAUAUAGACUAAAUGUGUUAUAAUUGAUUUUAUAUUUUAAUUAUUUUUUUCUCUUUUAGAUCAAUCAUGAUAUUGUAUUUUUACCUUUGGCUUUUCCUUUCUAGUAAUUUUUCUAAAGGCAAAAAGUAGAAACUCCAACUAGAUGGGAUCUUAUAGUUUCUUUUAUUCUCUUAGUUGUUUCUUUUAAGCAGGUGGGAGACAUAAUGAAACUUUAACCUUUUGGUAUGGAGUCAAAAGUUGGCAAGUAUUACAUUUAUAAGUAUCCAUUACAAACAAAUUAAUCAUUUACCGAUUAAAAUUUUGGUUAAAACUUACCCUGAAUAAAAGAUUUUCAAGUACAAAACUGUUUCUACUUUAUAGGACUUUUAUGUGGAAGGGCAACGAUAUACUCACCCAUGCAGGGGCCAAAAUUUUAUUAAUGUGAGGAAAAUUAUACUGAAAAAUAUCAUUACUGAAAUUGGAAGGUGUUCAGGACUUCUGCUAAGCCCCUUCACUUCCCUAUUGGAAAAGUUGUUUUUAUUCUGGCGGAUGUCUUUGUUUUCUUUCAUCCCAAAUAAUAAAUCUAUGACCAUGAAAUUCUUAACGCUUUCUCUUUCUUCAUGUACUAAGAAGAGCAUCAAGGUUGGGAAUUUGUCACUUCUUUUCCCACAAAAUGACAAUGAAACCGUCAAAAAACAUUUGGAUUCGACAUCCGCAGUGCCAUGUGGAGAUUGGAAGUGUUAUGUUAAGUAUGAAGGAGAAGAUCAGACAUCAGUAAGCUCUCAGCACUGUCAGGUAAUAAAGAAUGAGACAGCUUCAACAUCCUUAUCAUCAGAAGCUGUCUUUAUGCCAUAUGUAUGUCAAAUUUUCAAAGGUGAUGAUGAUUCUUUGGAGUACUAUAGCAAUUUUGCACGGAAGAAUGGAUUUUCAAUAACAAAAGCACGCUCCAAAGAAAGCUAGAAUUUAGGGAUCUACCAACGAGAUUUUAUCUGUUAUAGUUAUGGGUUUAAUCAACCAAGAAAAAAGGCCAAUGUGGAGCAUCCAAGAGACUGGAAUUCAGUGCGAUGUGGAUGUGAUGCAAAAUUUUAUUCGACAAAAGAAAUCAUCCAUGAUGUUACUCAAUAGUGUGUUUCACAAUUUAGUAAUGUCAAUAACCAUGAAUUAUUGGAAGAUGACCAAGUAAGUUUGCUUCCUGCAUAUCGGAAAAUUCAGGAAGCAGAUCAGGAAAGAAUUCUUUUACUCUCCAAAGCUGGGUUUCCUGUCAAUAGUAUCAUGAAGGUUUUGGAAUUAGAAAAGGGAGUCCAGCCCGGGCAGUUGCCUUUUGUCAUGAAGGGUGCUAGGAAUUUUGUACGGACUUGUGCAAAGACUGUUCAAGAAAGUGACGUUUUGCUUACCGAGAAAAAAGAAAAUGAUACAUUCGAACUUCUUGAGGCCUGCAAGGCUACGCAGAGAGGGAUGCUAAUUUUGUUUAUGAUUAUACUACAGAUGAAAAUAGUAAGGUUGAAAAUAUUGCAUGGUCAUACGGAGAUUCUAUUCGUGCAUAUACAGUAUUUAGUGAUGCUGGUACCUUUGACACUACAUAUUGUUCUAUCCCUUACGGAUUGCUUCUUGAAGUAUGGUUUGGUCUAGAUAAUCGUGGAAAGCCAAUUUUCUUUGUAUUACUGCAAGAUGAAAGUGUGUCAGUCUUUUUGCCCCCCAUCUUUACUUCACAAAAAUAAGUAUAAAGCAAAGACUAAAACUUAUCAUAGAAAUUAAGGAAAGCUUUUAAAAAGAAAAAAAAAUAAUGAAAGAAAGAUAAGUCUUAGUCUUUGCUUUGUACUUAGUCUUGACAUGAAACAUGUAAAUGUAUCAGUCUUUUUGCCCCACCUUUACUUCACCAAAAUAAAUAUAAAGCAAAGGUUAAAACUUGUCACAGAAAUUAAGGGAAGUUUUAAAAAGAAAAGAAACCAAAGAAAGAAUGAUAAGUCUUAGUCUUCGCUUUAUACUUAGUCUUAACAUGAUGCAUGCAAAUGUGUCAAGUCUUUUUGCCCCCAUCUUUACUUCAAAAAAAUCACAAUAAAGCAAAGACUAAGACUUAUCAUAGAAAUUAAGGGAAGUUUUAAAAAGAAAACGAAAGAAAGAAUGAUAAGUCUUAGUCUUUGCUUUAUACUUAGUAUUGGCAUGAAGCAUGCAAAUGUGUCAAUCUUUUUGCCCCUAUCUUUACUUCACAAAAUUAAUAAUAUUAGCAUUUACUUUCAUUGAAAAGACUAAAAUAUAGUAAUAAUAAAUAAUAUACUUAAAACCACUUCUCAAUUUGUCAAUUUAAUUGGAAGACAAAAGAUAACCUCCAUUAAGUAAAUUAUUGUGUUUUUUUUUAUCUUUUUUAAAAAGAUAGAAUUGACUCAAGCAAACUAUUAAAAAAAUUAUUUUUCAUAAAGGUAAGAAGACAUAGACAUCUGCAUGAUGAGAAGACUUUUAAAAAUAUAAAGCAAAGCAAAGACUUAAUACCAAUAAAAAAAAUCUCAUUCUAUCAUUAUCUUUGUGAGUCCAAUUUUGUGAUUCACUUAUGACAUAUAAUAUUUAUAUAUUGGUAAUGUAUCAAAUAUAAAUUAUUUUUAAAAUAAAAUAUGCUGAGAGUUGGAAAAAUAAUGAUAUCUUUUUGUUUAUAUUCAUUAAUCACUCAAUCCCAUUAAUAUGUAUAUAAUAUAUAUUUUUAAAAUUUUAUUAUAUAUUAUUUAUAAUUAAUUUUAAAAAUUAUUUAUUAUAUUUACAAUACAAUAUGGUAUUUGAUAUUAGAUUCUCAAAUUAUAAUACCUAUUUCAAUUUAACAAUUAUACUGAUAUAUAUUUUUUUUGAACUUUUACUUCGCAGCUUAUAAAUAUUCAACGCUUGACAUAUAUGUAAUAUUUUUUAAGUUUAUCCUUUUAUUUAUAAUUAAAUUUACAAUAAAGUUUUAUCAUCUUUUAUAAUAAAGAAAUAAUUAAUCAUUUUAAUGGUAACGUCUAAAUGUAGGAUUCCUUUUCAAGCUCUUUAUUAUUGUUACACUUAAGUGGUAAUAUCAGCAGCCACAUAGUAGGCCUUACACAUGGAAACCUAGUUAGCCACGUCAUCACCCACGAGAUAAAAAAGGUUGAAUCAUACCAUACAUGUGAUUCACUACUCAACUUUCUUUACUCUCUUUAGUUGCUUCCUGCUUUCUCUCAUUUCCUUGUUUCUGAUAUACCUUACUAACUUAAGUGUUGGAACAUAUGCUCCAAAAUAACUUCUUAAUCAUUUGAUAGAACGUAUUAAUUUAUAGGCAGAAAGAGGAGCAAUUUUUCUUUCUUUAAUCAAUAAUAAUUAUUCAUUUGUUCUAUCAAUGUAUGAGUUAUUAACAAAAUAACUUUCUCUUUACUUUUUAUUUGAUCAAUAGGAGUUUUAGCAAACAUUAAGUAUUAAACCAUAAUUAUCUUUUAAAUGAAUCAAAAGAUAUUUUCUUAAGUUAGAUAAUGACACUUGACUACAUCAUAUCUAACACUUCCAUAUAUAUUUAAUUAAAUUUAGUUUCGAUAACUGAAUCUAAAUCUAUUUAAAUAACUACUAUUAUCCGCUAAAUAUCUAAAUCAUUAAAAUAUUUGAUUAUUUAAGUUUUUUUAUUAAGAUAUAAAAUAAACAAAAUUAAUUUUAAAAUUCAAGUUCAAUUUUAGUAAAUAUCAAAUAAAGGUUGUUUUUUAACAUUCAAAACUUUUCACAACUAUAAAAUUUUAUAUAUUUUGCAUAUAUAAAUGAAUAAUGAAUUUGGAUAUUUAAUACUAUCUAUUAAAAUGUAAACAGAUUUAGAUAUUUUAUAUUUGAGAAGUAUUAUAUGAAUUCUAUCAAUAUCCAUCACAAAUAUUAAACCAAUUAUCCAAAAUCAUAAUUAUCCAUUUAUAAAUUUUUUAUCAGAACAUAAACAAAUUAGAUAAUACCAAAUAUAUGAUUAUUUAGUAUAUAUUGUCAUCUCUAAAUGAAGUCCAAGAGAGAAGCAAUCAAUUAAAUCUAAUGAAAUGGAUGGAAAGGUGAAGCAUGGUCUAAAGCUAAGCUCCUGUCUCCCAUUAUUUCCUGUGUCUUGACAUCAAUAUACAAGCGAAAUCUGAAUGCGUGGAAACUCAGUUUCAGCACUUUCAUUUUGUUGGCUAGAUAUUUCCUGCAUGCUUUCAUUUUUUGCCUUUGUUUCAUUUCAUUCAUACUUUUGCUUUAGAUUUUCAGGUUAGGUGGGCAAUAUUUUUACAACAUGUGAUGCCAUAUUACAACAGGUUUUGCAAUAAAAAAAAAUGCACCAAACGGUAUCAAUAUGACUAAACGAUAUCCCUUUUUCUUAAUUAUUAAUCUAUUGGUGCCAGGAUGACUAAACUUCGCUGUAGACCGAAGAAUAAAGCAUACUAUACUAUUAUUUAGAAAGAAACAAUACAUAUGAGGAAGUUGAUCGAGAGAAGAAAAGGAAAUUGAUCGGAGAAGAAUAAGAAGAAGAAACAAACUUAUUAAUUAGAAUUAAAAAAAAAAAAACGUUCCAUCUAAUUCCAAAUAACAGAGUUGAGUUGAAUAAUAAAUCUUUGUAAGUUUUACUUCCUUUUAGAAUCAAGUUUAGUGAAAAUUUUCACUAUUUUUUUAGUAGCGGAGAGGAUUUUUUGCUACUAAUAUACACGUAUCACUAUCACCUAAUUUUGAGAAAAUUAAUUUUUUUUAUUUAUUUAUUUUUUGUACAAAUGCAUAAUAUGAAAUAAAAAGUGGGAAUAAAGGAAAGAAUAUAAUGAUAAAGAUUAAUUUACAAAAGCAAAACUAUCAGCUUUAUCAUCAUUGAAACCCAUUAUUCAUUCUUUAAAAUUCAAAUGGACAACCAAUAAAUAUGUUUGUCUUCCACCUAUUUUGAUUCAACUCUUAUAGAAAAAGCUCAAACUCAUGAUUUGUAUAAACACGUGGUUGGAAAAAUACAUUUGAACAUAUCCCUUGAGAUCAAGGGAGAUAUAUAGCUACAAAAACAAUAUGUAAUAUGAAAUACUUGUCUAUAAAUACCGUGUAUGCAAAUAUUAAACUCCAUAAUCUUCCCUUCAUUUUUUUUUCCAUAGAGAGCUAGCAAAACAUGAAGAAUCUUCAUAUCCUAAUUCCACUUUUUUUGCCUACCUUAUUUCUCUUCUCAUUCUCCUUAUCUCUUGUGCUAUCUUUUUCCCCUUCUCAUACUCAUCUUCAAAACCACUGCCUUGAUGACCAAAGAUCUGCUCUGCUACAAUUGCACCAUGAUCUGUACUAUGCCCCCAAUUUUACUUUCUCUUCCAAAGCUGAGCUUUGGGAUCUCAACACUGAUUGUUGCUUUUGGAAAGGAAUUACAUGUGAUGCUAUUGGUCAUGUGAUUGGGAUUGAUCUCAGUUAUAGAAACCUUUCAGGCAGCUUUUACUCCAUUUUCAAUCUCCAUCAUCUUCAACUCCUUAAUCUUGCUGGAAACAAUUUUAAUACCACUUUGUUUCAAUAUGAGUUUGAUAAACUCCCAAAUCUAACUCAUCUCAACCUUUCAAACUCAUGUUUCCAUGGCCAAAUUCCAAUGGAGAUUUCACAGUUAACAAGGUUAGUCUCUCUUGAUCUAUCUAAUCAAGAUUCUUGCUAUCUAAGAUACCCACUGCCUUCUGUAUUUAAACAACCUCUUAAACUAGAAAACCCAGACUUCAAGACAUUCAUCCAAAAUUUGAAGCCACUUACAGAGCUCUACUUGGAUAGUGUGUAUAUUUCAACUCAAAGUACUAAAUGGUGCGAAGCAACAUCCACGGUUCUUCGUAACCUGCAUGUGUUAAGUUUGUCAAAUUGUGGUUUGACAGGUCCAUUUUGCUCUUCACUCUUAAGACUUCCUUUUCUUUCUAACCUUUUCCUUGCUGGGAAUCCCAUCUCUUAUUUGCCUCCCAAUUUCUUGAAAAUCAAAUCUCCUUUGGUUUCUCUCAGUUUAGUGAGUUGCAAUUUGAGUAGGUAUUUUCCAACAGAAAUUCUCUUGUUGCCAAAAAUGAAAAGCAUUGACAUUUCAGAAAAUUACGCUCUUGGAGGUCAGUUGCCAGAAUUUCCAUUAAACAAUGCUUUACAGAUCUUAACGAUUUCUUCUACAAAUUUCAGUGGCAAACUACCAGAAUCAAUUGGUAAUCUCAAAUUCUUGACAAAUUUAGAUCUCAAUGGUUGCAAUUUCUUUGGACAAAUUCCAUCAUCAAUUGCAAAUCUUACUAACCUUGUGAAACUGGAUAUAUCCUAUAACAAUUUCAAUGGUUUUAUCCCUGCAUUUCAUAGAUCUGGAGUUCCAAAUCUUGCAUAUCUAUAUUUGCAGGGGAACCACCUCUCUGGAUCAAUACAUUCUUCUUUAUUUGCUCUCCCAUCAUUGCAGGCCUUGGAUCUCAGUGAAAAUCAAUUGUUUGGUGAAAUUGAUGAGUCCCUCAAUGCAUCUUCUUCAUUGAUUGAAACAUUGUAUUUAGGCUACAAUAGCUUUAGUUCCAUGAAGCUUGACAUGUUCUUCCAACUCAAGAACUUAAGGCGUCUUGACCUUUCCAAUAUGAGCUUAUCAAUUGAAAGCAAUAUCACAAGCCUGACUUUUCCCCAAUUAGAGGAGCUAGACCUAAGUUCAUGCAACUUUACUGAAUUUCCAGAAUUCAUCAAAACACAAGACAAGUUGGCUUCUCUAGAUCUCUCUAACAACCAAAUCCAUGGUUUUGUGCCUAAUUGGUUGUGGAAGACCACUCUUUCAUGGUUAGACAUUUCUUUUAAUGCGAUUGACUUUCCAAAAGAGAUUCCUUUUGGUGACGCAAAUUCCUCUUUUCCAAUGUUGAGUAGUUUAGAAUAUCUUGACCUUUCAAAUAACAAAAUAAGUGGUGCAGUACCAAACUGGGUGUGGAAGAAAAGUUUGUGGCAUCUGGAUCUUUCUAACAAUUCUCUCUCAUCUUUGGACCAAUUUUCACUAAUCCAAUCUCAAACUUCUUCACAAGGCUUUUUAGCAAGAUCUAUUUGCAAUUUGAGUCAACUUGAGAGGUUUAAUGCGUCCUUUAACAAAUUAAGCGGGCCAAUCCCAAGUUGCUUGGGCAAUAUCAGUACUCUCAGCUAUUUGGAUCUAAAAAAUAAUAAUUUCAGCGGCAGCAUACCAGAUUUUGCAAAAGCAACCCAAUUAAUUUUGCUUCAACUCAAUGACAAUAUAUUGGAAGGGAAGUUGCCAAGGUCAUUAGCCAAUUGCACAAUGCUCAAAGUUUUAAACCUUGGAAACAAUACUCUGUAUGACACAUUCCCUUUAUGGUUGGGAAAAUUGCCUUGGUUGGUGGUUCUUAUAUUGCGAGUAAAUAGGUUUUAUGGUCCAAUUAAAAAUGUGAAAAAAAAUUUUCAAGACUUAGAUGUUCUAGACAUUGCUUUCAAUAAUUUUUCUGGUCAAUUACCAGUUCAAUAAAGUGUUUAUAAAAUUGAUGUAUGUUCAAAUUAUUCAAUACUUAAAAACUAAAAAAGUAAAAACUAAUAACAUGUUAUGUUAACUGUUGAGUUAAGAAUAAUCUAGUGCCCACUUAACAUAAGAUCAUCUUUAAGGGUCCUUUUGGAUUUCUUAGUAUAUUUGGUGCGAUAGAAUUUAGGCUUAAAUACGGAUUUAUUAGUAUUUUUAAUUUUGUAAAAAUUUAUUUUUCUUUUCAUUCAAAUUGUUAUUAAGAUCUAACACAAUAUUUUAUUAUCCUUUCUAUUAUAAAAGAAAAUUAUAUUUUGGUACAUAAUGCUCAAUAGAUAACAUACUUUUUACAUAUAAAAAAGAAAUAAUGAAUUUAAGUAUAAUCAUAUUUUGUUUUAAUUCUAUUUCAAAAUUUAUAUUAACAUUUAAAAUUUAUAUCUUUUUCUUUUGAAUUUAAUUUCUAAACACAGAUUUAAUUAACCAAAAAAACUCUCUUUCAUUGAUCUAACAACAACAAUGAAGAAGCAAUCAUAGAGGAAAGAAAAACUAAUACCUUGAAAACAAAAAUAAGAAUUUAGGGCUUUUAUCAAAAUUUUUUUCAAAAAGAUUGUAAAAAAAUUCAUACAUAUAAAUAAAAUUAAUAAUCAACCAAAAAAGCAAAAUUAAUUACCCGAAUUCGUAAUGAUAGGCCUAUUGGAUCAAAAGACCUGGCUUUUCUUAAAUAGGCUGAGUCCAUUAAUACCAAAAUGGGCCUUUCUCCUGACUUUUUCAAUAAAACACAAUGAUCGAUUCCCAAUUCCGCAAUUUUUUUAAUCAUAAACUGAUUGAAGAAAAGUAUGCAAAGCAAUAGGAAAGCAAAAUUAAAAAAAAAAAAAAAAAAGUUGCCAAAAGGGGUUUAAAGUUAGGGGGUUUUAAUCAAUUUUUCCCCGUCUUUUUCUUUUUUCUUUUUCCAGGUAAAAAUUUCCUCAUGCCCAGUUUUAUUUUCAAUCUUAAAAAAUUCUUUUUUUUUUUACUGUAAAAUAUGGGUAUAUUUUUAUUGAUUUUAUCUCUUGUUUUUAGAGUGACACUUAAAUUCGAGAGCUGGAGCAAUUGUAGCUAAUUUUUGGAAAUCCCACAUUGGCAAAGGCAGGGUAUUUCAUUUUUUUUUUAUUUCUUUUUUCUAUGAUCUUUGUUAGACUAUCACUGUGUAGAAAAUUCUAUUUUUAGCUAAGCAUAACACUUCUUUUUUUUUUUUUCCAAUAUUUGUGUUUUUUAGGCUUUAUUAUGUGUUGAGUCUGUUCUGUUUUACCCAUAUUUCAUUUAUGUUUAUGAUUUGAAUUGAGUUACUUUGUGAAAAGAAACAUUGAGUUACGCCAAGUACUUUGUGAAAAUGAAUAUUAUGUCAAAUUUGGUGCAAAAGAAUAAUUAUUGCAGUUUUGUAUCUCUUGUUAUUAUGGGGAAGAAUGGGAAAAAGAAUUAAAAUGAAAUAGUUGGGUGGAAAGUAUUAGCUUUUAUGGACUGCUAACUUGUAAUCAUCAUUUCUUUAAUUGUACAUCUUGCAUUUUCCAACAAUUGAAUGGAUUGAGUAUUUGGGGUUUCCAUGUCAUUAGUUUCAAGUAUCUGGUAUAGAUAAGUUUCAUCAAUGUUUUCUAUUUCCAAAAUAAAUUAAUAUAUAUGACAUAACAGGUUCUUUAUAUGACAUAAAUUUACUCAAAAUUUAUUAAGUUUAUCAUAGACAUAAAAAAAAAAGUUUUUUUUUUUAUAAAGAACAAAGAAAGAAGGAUAAGUCUUAGUCUUUAUAUUUAGUAUUGACAUCAAGUAUGUAAAUGUGUGGUCUUUUUUCCGUUAUCUUUACUCUACAAAAAUAAUAAUCAUAGCAAAUGCUUCAGUCUAAGUUAUUAAAAAGACUAAAUAUAACAAUGAUAAUUAAUAUAUUUAAAACAAUCUGCUAAUUUAAUUGGAAGACAAAUAAUAACCCAUAUGAAUAUUAACAUCCACACAUUAAUUAUUAAUAAAAUAUAAAUAUUUUUUAAAAGUAUACCACUUAUGCCUUCAAUUUAAUAUGUUAAUGAUAUAAAUUAUGUAAUUUUUAAUGAUUAUUUUUAAUAUUUAAUUUUGAUUUUAUUUCAUUAUUAGAACUAUUAUUGAUAGAAUUAUUGUUAUUAACAAAAUAUAAUUAUAUUGAUAUUUGCAUGUAUUAAAAUAUUCAAUUAAUAUUAAUUAUUAAAAUCAUCAAAUAAUUAAUUAUCUCACAUUAUAAUUUUUCUAUUAAUUCUUUUGAAUGGGUUGUGGAGGGCAAAAUGAAAAAGUGGGUUUAGGCCUUAAUUAGCCCUUACCAUGUGAAGCAACAAAUCCCUCGUAGGAAAAACAUAUACGACAAAGCUUCAAAUCUAUUGGAUUAUUAACUUUCUUUUUUAAUUUGGGAAAAUGACCUUAGAACCGUGCUUCAAAGAAGAGUGUGUAUCAAUUAUUUGAGUUAAAUGCUCGAAUGCCACUAAUUUUUAUUUUAAAUAUAGAAUAUAUAUAGGGAAAUUACUAAUUAUAUUGUCAAUAUAGUUUUUUAACUUUAUAAGCAAGAUUUAAGGAUGUCAAUGGAUAGAAUAUGGAGUGGAUAGAGCAUUCUCUAUCCUAUUUCUGAAUUUAAUAUUAUAUCCAUCCUUGUGUUAUGCUUUAACUUAAGAAAAUGAUAAGUCUUUAUCUUUGCUUUGUACUUAGUCUUGGUAUGAAGCAUGCCAAUGUGUCAGUCUUUUUGCCUCCAUCUUUACUUUUAUAAAAAUAAGUAUAAAGCAAAGAUUAAGACUUAUCAUAGAAAUUAAGAAAAAUUUUUUAAAAGAAAAAAAAUGAAUGAAUGACAAGUCCUAGUCUUUGCCUUAUACUUAGUGUUGGCAUGAAGCACAUGCAAAUGUGGUAGUCUUUUUGCUCCGAUCUUUACUUCACAAAAAAAAAAGCAUAAAAUAAAGAAUGACUUAUCGUAGAAAGUAACGAAAGUUUUUAAAAAGAAAAAAAAAAAGAAAGAAUAAAUUAUAACUCUUAGUCUUUGCUUUAUUCUUAGUUUUGGCAUGAAACAUACAAAUGUGUCAAUCAUUUUGCCUCAUCUUUACUUCACAAAAAUAAGUAUAAAGCAAAGAUUAAGAGUUAUCAUAGAAAUUAAUGGAAGUUUUAAAAGGAAAAGUAAAACCAAAGAAAGAAUGAUAAGUCUUAGUCUUUGCUUUACACUUAGCCUGGGCAUGAAGCAUGCAAAUGUGUCAGAUUUUUUGCCCCCAUCUUUACUUAACAAAAAUAAGAAUAUUAGUGUUUACUUCAGUCUAAGCCAUUGAAAAGAUUAAAAUAUAAUAAUAAUAAUUAAUAUACUUAAAAUUCAUUAUUAGUCUUUCAAUUUAAUUGGAAGACAAAAGAUAACCUUCAUUAAGUAAAUUAUUGUAUUUUCUUGUCUUUUCUAAAAGAUAAAAUUAACUUAAGCAAACUACUAAGAAGAUUAUUUUUCAUAAAGUAAUGAUGGGACAAGAAGAUUUAAACAUUAACAUUAUGUGAUGACUUAAAAGUAUAAAGCAAAAAAAAAAUACUAAAUACCAAUUCAAAAAUCUCAUACCAACAUUAUCUUUGGAAGUCUAAAAUUAAAAUAGCAAUUUUUUUAUGAAGUAUAAUUUCGUGAUUCACUUAUAGCAUAUAAUAUUUAUAUAUUGAUAAUGUAUUAAAUAUAAUUUUUUAAAAAUAAAAUAAGUUGAGAGUUUGAAAAAUAAUUAUAUCUCUUUGUUUACACCCAUUAAUCACUCAAUCCCAUUAAUAUUAGAAUAUUUUUUAAAAAUUUUAUUUUAUAUUUAUAUAUUAUUUGUAAUUAAUUUUAAAAAAAUAUUUAUUAUAUUUCCAAUACGAUGUGAUACUUGAUAAUAAAUUCUCAAAUUACAAUACCUAUUUUAGUUUGACAAUUAUACUGAUAUAUAUAUUUUUUGAACUUCUACUUUGUGGCUUAUAAUUAUGCUGAUAUUCAAGUUCGAUAUUUAUAUAUAUAUAUAUAUAUGUAACUCUUUUUUUUAAGUUUAUCAUUUUAUUUAUGAUUAGAUUUAUAAUAAACUUUUAUCAUCUUUUAUAAUAGAGAACUUAUUAAUCAUUCUAAUGGUAAGGUCUAAUGUAGGAUUUAGUCGGUGUCAUUUUCUUUGUUCAUUUUUAAUGAAAAUGUUAUUAUCUUUUAACCUCUCCAUUAUUGUUACACAUAAGUGGUCAUAUCAACAGCCACAUAGUAUAUCUUAUACAUGGAAACCUAGUUAGUCGGAUCAUCACCCACAAGGUAAAAAACGUAAAAUCAAACCAGACAGGUAAUUCACUAAACUCUCUUUAUUCUAUUUAACUGCAUCCUGCUCCCUAUCAUUUCCUUUCUUUUGGUAUACUUUACUAAUUUGAGCAUCAAAGUAUAUGCCCUGAAAUAACAUCUAGAUCAUCAGAUAGAACACAUUAAUUUAUAGGCAGAGAGAGGAGCAAUUUCUUUCUUUAAUUAUAAUCAUUAUAAUUCAUAUGUUCCAUCAACAUAUGAGUUAUUAAUAAAAUUAACUCUUUAGUUUAUAUUUGAUCAAUAGGUGUUUUAGCAAACAAUAAGUAUUAAAUCAUAAUUGUCUUUUAAAUUAUGAUUCAAAUAAGUUAUGGAAUUAAUUUUGAUCCAAGGAUCUAAAAAAAUAUAAGAUUACAUUAGUGUAAGUUGAUCCCUAUUAUAUAUAUAUAUAUAUAUAUGUUUUUUUUUUACAAAAUUGAUAUAUAUAUAUAUAUAUACACGUGUGUUUAUAUAUAUUUAUGUGUAAAAAGUAUAUGUUUAUAUUAUAAACUUUUACGAUUAUAUAUAUUUAUUCAAAUAAGUAUAAUGAUAGAAAUAUCACUUUUAAGUUAUAUAAUACAAUAACAAAACAAGUUUAAUAAAGAUGGUUUUAGGUUAAAUUGGAUUUUACCUAAUUGAAAACUUGCCAAUUUGCCAUUCGCAUAAGUUUACCGACAAAAGAGAUUAAGAUUAGGAAAAGAAAAUUUAUAAAUACUGAAAAUUAAACCUUAUUUUACUAGAAUUCACUUUUUAAGAGAGAUAAAUAAACCAUUUGAGUAAAGCUUUAUGUUUUUAUUUUAAUUCACAUACAUAAACNNNNNNNNNNNNNNNNNNNNNNNNNNNNNNNNNNNNNNNNNNNNNNNNNNNNNNNNNNNNNNNNNNNNNNNNNNNNNNNNNNNNNNNNNNNNNNNNNNNNNNNNNNNNNNNNNNNNNNNNNNNNNNNNNNNNNNNNNNNNNNNNNNNNNNNNNNNNNNNNNNNNNNNNNNNNNNNNNNNNNNNNNNNNNNNNNNNNNNNNNNNNNNNNNNNNNNNNNNNNNNNNNNNNNNNNNNNNNNNNNNNNNNNNNNNNNNNNNNNNNNNNNNNNNNNNNNNNNNNNNNNNNNNNNNNNNNNNNNNNNNNNNNNNNNNNNNNNNNNNNNNNNNNNNNNNNNNNNNNNNNNNNNNNNNNNNNNNNNNNNNNNNNNNNNNNNNNNNNNNNNNNNNNNNNNNNNNNNNNNNNNNNNNNNNNNNNNNNNNNNNNNNNNNNNNNNNNNNNNNNNNNNNNNNNNNNNNNNNNNNNNNNNNNNNNNNNNNNNNNNNNNNNNNNNNNNNNNNNNNNNNNNNNNNNNNNNNNNNNNNNNNNNNNNNNNNNNNNNNNNNNNNNNNNNNNNNNNNNNNNNNNNNNNNNNNNNNNNNNNNNNNNNNNNNNNNNNNNNNNNNNNNNNNNNNNNNNNNNNNNNNNNNNNNNNNNNNNNNNNNNNNNNNNNNNNNNNNNNNNNNNNNNNNNNNNNNNNNNNNNNNNNNNNNNNNNNNNNNNNNNNNNNNNNNNNNNNNNNNNNNNNNNNNNNNNNNNNNNNNNNNNNNNNNNNNNNNNNNNNNNNNNNNNNNNNNNNNNNNNNNNNNNNNNNNNNNNNNNNNNNNNNNNNNNNNNNNNNNNNNNNNNNNNNNNNNNNNNNNNNNNNNNNNNNNNNNNNNNNNNNNNNNNNNNNNNNNNNNNNNNNNNNNNNNNNNNNNNNNNNNNNNNNNNNNNNNNNNNNNNNNNNNNNNNNNNNNNNNNNNNNNNNNNNNNNNNNNNNNNNNNNNNNNNNNNNNNNNNNNNNNNNNNNNNNNNNNNNNNNUGAGGAAAUUUUUACCAGGAAAAAGAAAAGAAGAGGGGGAAAAAUUGAUUGAAAAUCCCAUAACUUUAAACCCCUUUUGACAACAAUUUUCUUUUAUUUUGCUUUUCUAUGUUAAUUGCUUUGCGUAUCUUUCUUCAAUCAGUUUAUAAUUCCAAAAAAUUACCAAAUUGGGGAAUCGAUCAUUUGUGUUUUAGUGCAAAGGAAAGCCCGAUUUCGGUACUAAUGGACCCAGCCAUGUAAGAAAAACUGUGUCUUUUGACCCAAUAGGCCUAUCAAUACCGGUAAUUAAUUUUGCUUUUUUUGUUGGUUAUUAAUUUUAUUUAUAUGUAUGAAUUUUUUUUUACAUUUUUUUUUUGAAAAACAAACAUUUUUAGAGCCCAAAAUUCGUAUUUUUGUUUUUCGAGGUAUUAGUUUUUCUUUUCCUCUAUGAUUGUUACUUUAUUGUUUUUGUUUGAUCAAUGAAAGAGGAUUUUUUUUGUUAAUUAAAUUUAUUUUUAGAAAAUUUGAAUUAAAACAAUUAUAUAAAUUUCAAAACUUAAUAUAAAUUUUGAAAUAGAAUUAAAACAAAAUUUAAUUAUACUUAAAUUCAUGAAUUUUUUUUUAUACAUAAAAAGUAUGCCAUCUAUUGUGUAUUAUAUACCAAAAAUAUAUAUAUUUUUUUUGUAUAAUGGAAAGAGUAAUAAUAUUGUGUUAAAUAUCUUUUUGUUUUCUUAAUAAAAAUUUGGAUAAGGAGUGAAAUUAAUUUUAGUAAAAUUAAAAAUAAAGACAAUGAUAAAAUUAAUUAUUGUAGUAGUGAAAUUAAAUAUGAUAAUUGUAAAAUUAAAAUUAAAGAUGAAAUAUAUCUUAAAUACAAACACAAAGAUGACAAUAAAUUUAUAUUUUAGCCUGAAUUCAAUGGCAUUGAGUAAGGAAUCUAAAUGGGCCUAAAUAGUUUUUUAGAGAUGAUCUAAUUUUAAAUAGACAUCAAAUUAUUCUUAAUUUAAUAUUACUUUCUAUUUUUAAGUAUUGAACAAUUUGAACAUACAGCAACUUCAUUUUCAUUGAGUUUUAUUUAUAUGUAUUUUUAAGAAAAUUGAAGUCACUUUUUCAGUUUUUUAUUUAGUUCCUCACCAUUGCUUUAUUACAAUAAAAAUUAUGUAAUUUAAGAAUAAAUAAUUAUUCUUAAAUUACAAAAUUUUUAUUAUGAACGUACACAUUUGAAGGCAUAGAUGGUAUACUUUCAAAAAAAUAUUUGUAUUGUUAUUAAUAACUAAUGCGUUCAUAUUAAUAUUCAUAUACGUUAGCAUUAAUGUUUAUGUUAUCAAAUUAUUUAUUUGCAAAGUUUGAUUCAAUUAUUAAUAACAAAGCUCACAAUUUAUAUCAUAUUUUGGUCAAAUUUAUUUUUAAAUGAGUAUAUUGUAUUUGUAACAUAUAUUAUAUAGAUCGUAUAUAGGAUUUAAAAUCAAUCAUAAUUACUAUAUUUCUAAUAAUAAUUAAUAUUAAUUAAAUUUUUUACUUUUAUUCACAUUAAUUUUAUUAUUGUUGAUAUGAUUUUCGUAUUUAUUCAUUUUUUUCCAAUGAAAUCAUUAUUCAUUUACUUAUAUAACAAAGUUAAUAGGAAUUUUAUAACAUAUUACUUAAUUACAAUCUUUUUUAAAAAUUAUAUUUUUGAAAAAGUUCAAAUAGCUAUUUUAUUAUUUAUUUCUCCCACACCCUAUUUUCCCUCUUUCCUUUUUCUCUAUUCAAUUUUGUGAUGCCAUUCAAUUAACUGGUUGAACUUUAAUAAUAUGUAUAGAUAGAUAAAAAGAAGAAGAUAGGAUACAGAGAAGUUGCUGAAAUUUUGAGCACCAGUCAUAGUUACAGUAUAUUAUGCACAAAAAAUUAUCAUUGUACAAAAGGAAAAAGGGAAGUAAAGGAGGAAAUCUCACAUUCAAUAUAACCUCAAAAUAUUAUUUAUCAAUGCUUCUUAAUUUUGUAUUAUUAUUAACAUUGAAUUUGCUGCCUUCAAAAUCCAAAUCACUCUGGUGGCUCCAGCAGUGAGGAGAUGAGAUGAAUGAACCAAGCAGCGGGCCGUAACUGGCUUCUCUUUUAUCUCAUCUUCUUGAAAAUCAUCUUUUUUUUUUUUUUUUUUUUUAUGUUCCCUUAACUAAAACCCCAAUAAUUGCUUUCACUUACUGUUAAUGUUUAGCUCUUAUGAUGGUAACUUCAGAGCCAUAGUUGUAUGAACUAAAGACAGGUUCAUUUGGUUUAGGAAUCCGAAUGUGGUGCUGUCCAUAGCAUAGAAAGCAUUCCCUUGAGAACUUCAAUCGAAAAAGGUUAUUAAAAUAACUUAGCAUACUAAACUUCCACAAUGAUAUAGAACUCUUUUGUAUUUUUUACGACUAAAAUUUUUUAAACAUUUUGUGCAAUGAGGUUAAUGUUUUCUUGUUAAUGCUUACGUUUUAGAUUAGGCAGGGGAUUUGAACAACAAGAAUCCAUUCCAGGGAGCAAGAAUACAGGCUAGAUGAUCAGGAGAAGCUUCUAGCGGCAAAUGUCUUAAGCACUAACUUAAGAACACAGGCAAUGAGGCUUUCAUCAACCCCAAGUCAUCAAAUAUCCUCCACCCGCACAAAACUUCCAAAAUAAAUGCCGAGCUAAAACUCAAAACAGGCUAAAUUGAAAAUUGCAGAAGGCUUGACAAAAUGACCAGUGAUUCAAAGCAUAUCAUGUCUUCAGAGGUCCAUGAUUUCUGACAUGAAUUGUUCAAAGAAGAGGAUUGGCUGCCAAGAUGCAUGGAGUUUAGUCCCUGAAAGUAAAAUGUAAUUAGAUGUUUUAAGAGAAAGUGGGGAAAAUAUAAUCAAGAUUUUAUCAUUCCUUUAUGUCCAAAAAAAGAUUCAAUUAUUUGAAUUUUAUAACUUUAUUUAUUAACUAUGGAUUAGUAGUUAUAUCAGAACAAUGCUUGGCAGAUCAUUUUGUAUAUUUGACUGUAUAUCUAGUAAUGAAUGACCAUUUCUCCUAUUUGAUAGAGAACAAAUUACCGAAAGGAUUUACUUGAAUCAUGAAGAUGUGAGUAUAUGUAGGUCAUCAUCCAAGCAACCAAGGUACUCUCUUGGUAGUGGUCCAUGGUGGAUACCUGAUGCAAUUUUCAGUCCUACCUUGGGUGGUUUUCACUUUCAAAUGUGAGUCAUUAGUACCUCUUUCAUGCAACGACUUGAAGUUGAGAGGGAAAGGCCAUUUGCUUGUGCCUGGACAUAUGAUGCAGCUGAAGCAGCAAUUAUGUAAGUAACAUCUACGCGGAAUAAGCCUUUAUUCAGAAAUCAUAUGCUUUUCCGAACUGUAUUCUGGCAAUCCAUGCUUUCUUUUCCAAGAAAUAUGUUGGCCCUGGUAUCUUCUCAAACCAUUGGCCUGAAGCUGAGAAACAAAAAUCAAGGCUUUUAUACUCAUAAGCUCUAUUUUAUAGAACUAUAGCUUACAAGAAAACAUUUAUUUAUUUAUUUAUUUUUACUGUGUGUGGUGAGUGCGGAAGCAGAGAAACAAUUGAUGAUUUUGGAUUAACAUGAAGAAAAUACUCUAAAGUAAUUAGCUAUAAAAUGUUAGGGAAAACCUAUCAAUUGGCAGUACAGAUGCAUUCCUGGAUCUCUUAUAUGAAAAUAAGCCACGUCGGAUAAAAGGGCAGCAACAAAAAUGAUUUUGGCUUCGAAGAAUAACACCUACACCAGAAAUCUUGAAAAGGACUCACACUUCAUCUCCAUUUGCAUCAUGAUCAAGGACUCUGUCUCAACAAAUUUCUCAACAAAUCUUGAGAUUUCCACCCAAUUCUCUAUUCUCUUGUUCAUUAUUUCAGGCUCAGUCACUGCUCUACAUGCCAUGUAGCUUGGUUUAGACUUCAGAUUCCUAAACUACAAAAUGGUAAAAAAAUUACUGAUAAUGAACGGCCUAAACGAAAGUUGAUGAAGAAUGACAAUGCUACAAGAACAAAUAUGACAUGAUAAUGAAUUAUUAGGCAAUCAGAUAGAACUUUUUAGAUAGACCAACCAUGCAAAAUCGGAAAUAUACCACAAUUAGUAACAACACAUUUGGGUUAUUAACUAUUCCAAAAUGCUUACUUGUUGAGACUGAAAAUUGAAUUCUGAUGGAAUCACCUUGAUCUUCUCCUAUUCCUUUUGUAGCAGUCAAGCCAUUUGUUUCCCAUCUCAUUCAGCACUGUAUAUCCAAUAGAUAAUCCAAUCACCAAUCCACAUGCAUACCCAAUCAAUACGAUUCUCCAAUCAGAUAAACCAUCUAGCCAUGAAUCUACAUCUUCCAUUGGAGGAGGCAUUGGAACAGCAGCUCCAUUGCAUUUCCUUGUCAAAGGUGGCCCACAUGAUCUUGGGUUCCCUUUGUAAGAAUCGUUCGAAAAUGUACCGAAUUGAUUGCUUUGCUGUAUGCUUCCUUCAAAGGGAAGCAUUGACAUUUCAAACAAUGACCAUCUGAUGGAAGAGUAAAUAAAGAAGAAUGUAUUGAUUCAGAGAGGCGGUUCCCCGACAAAGAAAGAUGCAAGAUUUGAAACUCCAGAUCCAUGAAAUGCUGGGAUAAAAUCACUGAAAUUGUUAUUAGAUAGAUCCAGUUGCACAAGGUUAGUAAGAUUUGCAAUUGAUGAUGGAAUUUGCCCGGAGAAAUUUGUAGUCAAAAUCGAUAAGAUCCGUAAAGCAAUGUUUAACAAAAUUCUGGCAACUGACCCAUCAGAUGGUCAUUGUUUGAAAUGUCAAUGCUUUGUAUUUUGGCAAUGAAAGAACUUUUGUUGGAAAAUACACACUCAAAUUGCAAUUCACUAAACUGAGAGAAACCAAACUAGAGGAAAUUUCCAAGAAAUUAGGAGGCAAAUAAGAGAUUGGAUUCCAACCAAGGAAAAGUUUGGAAAGAAAGAUAGUCUUGAGAGUGAAGAACAAAAUGCACUUGUCAAAUUACAUUUCGAUAGACUUAAAAUAUGCAAGUUAGGAAGUGCUAUGGAUGUGGCUUCACACCAUUUACUACUUUGAGUUGAAAUGUUCACACUAUCUAGACGUUUGCAAGGGGUCUUAAAUUUUGGAUUAAUGUCUUGAAGUUUGGGUUUUCUAGUUUUAGAGGUUGUUGAAGUUCAAAAGGCAAUGGAUAGUAGUAGAAGUUAUUGUAUGGAUGGAGAAUUUGGUUAUACCGUUGAUAGCAAGAAUCUUGAUUAGAUAAAUCAAGAGAGACUAACCUUGUUAAGUAUGAAAUCUCCACUAGAAUUUUGCUAUGAAAACAUGAGUUUGAAAUGUCAAGAUGAGUAAAAUUUGAGAAUCUGUCAAACUCAUAUUGAAGCAGAGUGAUAUUAAAAUUGUUCCCAACAAAAUUAAGGUAUUGAAGAUGAUGAAGAUUGAAAAUGGAGUGAAAGCUACCAAAAAGGUUUUUGUAACUGAAAUCGAGCUCAAUCACAUGACCAGAAGCAUCGCAUGUAAUUCCUUUCCAAUAGCAACAAUCUAUAUUGGGAUCCCAAAGCUCAACUUUGGAAGAGAAAGUAAAAUUUGGGGCAUAGUUUAUUCUUACAUUACAUUACAUUCACAUUUUCUGCCCAACACUUGGCAACAGUAUCCUAAAUAAUGUUGAAGACAAAUGGACAGGUGAUCAUCUUCAAACCGAUUUGUCUUUUUUUUUUUUUAUAAUGAUUAUUUAUUUAAUUAACAUUAAUGUCUAUGUACGCGAGCAUAUAAUUAAAUCUAUUAAGAAGAAGUUUUGGAUUUAUAUAUGUAUGCUGAAAGCUAUUUGAACCAGAAAUAAAUUUUAAAAAAUAGUGCAAGAAAAUAUCAUUAAACAAUGCAUGGGUUCAAUCCUUUAAGGGCAUUCAAAUUGGAAAUUGAUCAAGCAAUUCCUGAAGAAAUGCACUCUUUGAUAUUUUGUGUAUCCUACCAACUACCACAUUUUUCCAUUGGAGACAAGAGAGAGUUCCAAUCUAUCAUAAUCAAAACUUGAUGUAUCAGCUAGAUAUAUCAUGUUUAUUGUUGUGGAAGUUACAAGCAAGUUCUUUUUAAAAAUAAUAAAAUAUAACCACAUAAAGUUCUUGCAAUACUUUUAAUUCUAAAUAAAAAAAGACCCAAUGUUAGGAUAUUUUAGAUGUAUACCAUUAUUUCUGUUGCCCUCUUGCAUCCACAGGCAUGGUUUCUUGAUUUUGCAAAAAUAUGGAGCCCAUUUUUUUUUAACUUGAAACUAUUAAAAAUUAAAUUUUAUUUUUUUACUUAAAACUGUUAAAAAUUAAAAUUUAAUAUUUAAAGCAUCAAAUAUUUUAUAAAUAGAUUACAAUUUUUAUUGACGGAACACAUUAUUUCAAGAUAAAUUAAUAAUCUAAAAAUAUGUCUUUGUUGAUUUCAAAAACCAUAAUAUUCGUUUUUUUAGCUUAGUACUAAGAGAGUGAUUUAAACGUGUAUGAAAGGGUUGAAUAUGCAACCUAUUCACUUAUCAAAUCUUAUUUAACGAAUUUGAUGAUUACUUUGCAGAAUGUUUAGCCACACAAUGUUUUUAGUCUCACAUUUUGCUUGAAAUGUAGAGAUUAUGAUUAAAAUCCUGUUACGAAACAAUCAAUUAAUAAACUAAUCAGCCUGUCAAGAUAAAAAAUCUGACCGGCCGACUGACUAACUUGUAAUAAUGAAUUUGGUCAAUGCAUUUUCUUUUUCUUAUUUUUAAGUACAAAUACUUAAUUACUAUGUAUUAAUUGAUGAUAAAAUUUAAAUAUGAUAAUACUAAAUACAAUACAGUCAUAUAAUUCAAAAUAAAACAUAAAAGCAAUACAAUUCAAUAUGUAAACAAAAAUUAUAUGAGUUCAAUAAAAAUAAAAAUAUAUAUUUUAUAUUUGAUUUGUUAAUAUGAAUUAUGACAUAAUAAUUUUUUUAUUUUAUAUAUUUAAUAUAAAAUAAAUAUGACAUUAAUACAUAAAUGAGCAAAUCUAAUACAUAUCCUAGUUUGCAGGCAAAUUUUGUUUUUAGUUUUAAAAGCAAUACUAAAUUUAAAAAGGCAAUGAGACGCUGAAAGUUGAAACCUUCUUGAAUUAAAUUUCAAAUGAAAUUACUUAAGUCAAAUAUCAUUUAGUGUAGAGAUAUAAUAUAUGUAUAUAUAUAUGUAUAUAUAUCACACUUAUAAUGCAAGAGGGUAUUUAAAUAAUUUUUUUUGUUUAGGCAAUUAACUACAGCUCAAAGAAUCGACAAAAAAACUUCGGAGUUUUUAAGUAUUCUAAAAUACUUAUCAAAUGACUUUGAAACUUGAAUUUUGAUGGAGUCACCUAAAAGAUUUUCUCCAUUUUCGAUUCCGGUUCCAUGUCAACCUGUCAAUCCGUUUGUUUCCCAUUUCAUUCAGCACUGUAUAUCCAAUAGAUAACCCAAUCACUAAACGACAUCCGUACCCAAUCAAUACGAUUUUCCAAACAGAUAUACCAUCUACCUAGGAAUCUUCAUCUUCUUAGGGUGUGGCAUUCCAAGAUCAACUUCAUUGCGUUUCCUUGUCAAAGGUGGCGCACACAAUCUUGGGUUCCCUUUGUAAGAAUCGUUUGAAAAUGUAUAGAAUUGUAGCUUUGUGGUAAGCUUCCCUCAAGUUGGUUGUAAGAGAGAUUCAAUACUUCACUGCAAGUUAGGCUUGUAAGCUGUGGAGGAAUCUUUCCAGAGAGUUUGUUCUGGGAGAGGUUCAACGACUCAAGCUCAGUUAAGUUUACAAGUGCUAAAGGGAUUGGGCCAAGGAAGCUGUUGUAGGACAAGUUUAGCGCGUUGAGUGACUAGAGGUUUUGUAUUUCUUCCGGUAUUCUCCUAUGGAAACUAUUAUUGGAAAGGCCAAGACAAGCAAAAAUGGUUAAGAUUUUCUUGUAAAAAAUUUCAAACCCUUUAUUUACAAUUGUCGUAGAGUCCUGGUAGUACUUGUCUCCAAUGUAAUUAUUAAGAAACGAAAGAUUUGAAACUCCAGAUAUAUGAAAAGGAGGGAUUAAGCCACUAAAAUUAUUAAUUGCUAAACUCAAUUUCACAAGAUUUGUAAGAUUUGCAAUUGAUGAUGGAAUUUGUCCAAAGAAACUGCAAUUAUGGAGACUUAAAAUUGUCAAAAAUUUGAGACUACUAAUUGAGUCUGGUAGUUUUCCACCGAAAUUUAUAGAAAAAAUCCUUAAGAUCCGUAAAGCAUUGUUUAAUGGAAAUUCUGGCAACUGACCUUCAAGAUUGUAAUUUUUUAAAAUGUCAAUGCUUUGUAUUUUUGGCAAUGAGAAAACUUUUGUUGGAAAAUGUCCACUCAAAUUACAAUUCAUUAAAUUGAGAGAAACCAAAUGAGAGGAAAUUUUCAAGAAAUUGGGAGGCAAGUAAGAGAUCGAAUUCCCACGAAGGACAAAUUGGGAAAGAAAAGGAAGUUUUGAGAAUGAAGAACAAAAUGGCCCUGUCAAACCAUAGUUUGAUAGACUUAACACAUGCAGGUUAGGAAGAAUUAUGGAUGUGGUUCACACCAUUUAGUACUUUGAGUUGAAAUGUUCACACUGUCCAGGUAGAGCUCUGUAAGAGGUUUCAAAAUUUGGAUUAAUGUCUUGAAGUUUGGGUUUUUUAGUUUCAGAGGUUGUUCAAGUUGAAAAGGCAGAUGGUUUGGAUCAAGAAUUUGCAAAUAUCUUAGAUAGAAAGAAUCUUGAUCAGAUAGAUCAAGAGAGACUAACUUUGUUUCGUAUGAAAUCCCCACUGAAAUUUGGUCAUGGAAACAUGAGUUUGAAAGAUUGAGAUGAGUUAAAUUUAUGAGUCUAUCAAACUUAUAUUGAAACAUAGUGAUAUUAAAAUUGUUUCCAGCAAGAUUAAGACGUUGAAGAUGAUGGAGAUUGAAAAUGGAGUGAAAGCAGCCUGAGAGAUUUUUGUAACUGAGAUCAAGCCCAAUCACAUAACCAAGAUCAUCACAUGAAAUUCCUUUCCAGGAGCAACAAUCAGUGUUGGGAUCCUAGAGCUCAACCUUGGAAGAGGAAGUAAAAUUUGGGGCAUAGUAAAGAUCAUGGUGCAAUUGCAGGAGAGCAGUGUUUUGGUCAUCAAGGCACUGGUUUUGAAGAUCAGUAGGAGAACACUAAAAAGAUAGAAUAAGAGAGUACAAAGCAUGAAAGAGAAAUAAGGUAGGCAAAAGAGUGAAAUCAAAGAUACGAAGAUUAUAUUGCUAUUGCCGAAUCCUUUUUUUCGAAGUUAAGUUACUAAUUUAAAAAAAAAAAAUGUGUUUUGUUGAUUUCAAAAAUUAUAAUAUUCCUUUUUUUUUUUUACACUUAGUACUUAGAAAGGUGAUCUUAACGCGUAUGAAGAGUUGAAUGUGCAACAUUACUCACUCAUCAAAACACCCUAUUUACAUAAUUUGAUGAUUACUUUUUAGAACGAUUAGCUAUACGUAAUAUUUGUAGUCUCAGAUUUUAGCUUGAAUUGUAGAGAUUAUGAUUAAAACUUGUUAGAACAGGCCAAUGAAUAAACUAAUCAGCCUGUUAAGGAAAAAAAAAUCCUGGACGGCGGCCGAUUGCACCUACUUGUAAUAAUGAAUUUGUUGGCUAUUAAUUUUAAAGUCAAUGCAUUUUUUUUCUUAUUUUAAGUACAAAUACUUAAUUAUUAUUUAUUAAUAGUUAAAAAAAAUUAUAUAUGAUGAUGUUAAAUAUGAUAUGGUAACACAAUUAGAAAAAAGACACAAAAACGAUAUAAUUAAAAUUUUAACAAAAGUCAUUUGAGUUUGAUAAAAGAAAAAACCUAAAAAUUAAAUUGUGUUUAAUAUAUUAAUAUGAAUUGUGACAUAAUAACUUUUGUAUUUUAUAUAUGUUCAACGUAAAUAUACGAAUUUAGUAGAUCUAAUAAAAAUGUCAAUUAAAAUUGGAUCAAGAUUUUUUUUUUUGAAAAUAGAGUUAUGUUGAAAACGCAUUUAAAGUGUUUUACUCUAUCUUGUUAUCCACAUGAUAUCUCUAUCUUGUUUUUAAAAAAACUUCCAAUUUUUGGGAUUUUCUUUUUUUUUUUUUUAAUUUUUUACUUUUAGUUUUUUAUCAGAUAAAUUUUAUAAUAAAAAAGUUAAUUAAAAUAGAGGUGACAAAAUAACCUUUAUAUGAUGGGUUUCAAUUGAUUCCUAUUCAAUAGGUGCAUAUUCUUUUAAUUUGAGAUAAUUGGAUUGAGCACUUUUUUAAAUCGAGCUCCAGAAAGAAUAAGAUUUUUAAUAUUACGUUUUCAGCUUGAAUGUGUAUAAAAAAUAUAUUUUUUAUUAUUUAUUCAUUCUAUAUUUAUAUAUAUUUUUAUUAAAAACAUAUUAUUUAAUAUUUUAAUUUAAUAAAUUUAUUUGUUUUAUUACAAUCCAAUUGAUAUGAUUUUUUUAAAAAUAAAGAUUGAGUUAAGUUUUAUUUCUUUAUAUAAUUUAGAUCAAGUCAAAAUCAGUUUUAAUAUAUUCUGUCUUGAAUCUCUUUUGGAUAUAUAAAAGAAUAUAUUUUAUUAUUUAUUAAAUUUAAAUUUAAAUUUAUUAUAUUAAUAAAAAUAUUAUUUAAUAUCAUAAUUUAAUAAAAAACUAUAUUUAUAUAAUUAAGUUGUAAUUUAUAUUGAAAAAUAAAUACAAUUACAUUUGUCUAUUUGUUAUCAUCUAUUAAAAUUUGACAUAAAAAUUUUUCUUUGCUUACGUUUAAGAUAUAAUUUAAAAAAUAAAAAAUAAUAUUGUGACAAAACGUGGAUCUAAUUUUAAUGAAAGUAACAAUUAUAGAAAAAAAAAAUGCUUCUUCACUCUUUGGAAAAUUCAAUGGUUUCAACUUACAAUCAUAAUUGAAAGUUAAAAGUGAUUUGUUUUCAAGAGUAUUUUUAGCCAUAUAUUUCUAUUACCUAAACUUCGUAUGUUGGUGCAAUAUGCACCAUGCAAAGAUAUCUUUUUCUCUCUCAAUACCGUAAUAGAUUUUUUUUAAGUGUUUACUUAUAAUAUGUAUAAAAAAUUAUAAAUAUAAUUUUGAAAUAAUAUAUUAUUAUAUUAUUAUAAUUAUUUGAAGUUUUUAUAUUUUGAAAAAAAUUAUAAUUACAUUAUUAUUAAUAUUAUCAAAUAUAAAUUAUAUAAUAAUUAAAUAAUCAAUCAAUCAAAAAUAAUUGUUAAUAUUAUUAAAUUUAUUUGGAUGAAUUUAUUAAUUUUGUCGGUAGAAAUGAUGUUUAGAGAAAAAUUUUAAAGAUGUCUUUUAAUUUUAUUUUUUAUUUUUUAAUAUUUGAAGUGUCUAUGAACAUUGUACUCCAACCUUUGCAUCCACACUGUAUACAAAAAACAAUUGAUACCCAUGUAUAGGAUGAUGAUCAGCUAUCACCGUAGGGAUAUCCAAGAAUUCUGCCUUUGUUAGAUCAAAAGCAGUGAUGUACUCAUGUUUUUGUUUUGAACCAUUUACAAUUCCUUUUUAAUAAUAUGAUUUUAAUACAUCUUAAAUUACAAUAUGAAUAAAACUAAGUUAUUAAAUCACAUAAAAUAAUAAAUAAAAUUAAUAAUUUUCAUUGAUCCCAUUUCUUAUUUUGUAUGACUUGCACAAAUUAUAAUAAAAUAUUUAAUAUGAUAUUUAAAUUUUAAAAAAUUUUAAUUCGAUAUUUGAACUAAUCAUGUUAAAAAUAAGAAUCAAAUUAAUUAAUAAAUUUAUAAUUUAAAUAUCAAAUUAAAAAAUUUUAAAUUUUAAAUAUAAUAUUAAAUAUUUUAUUAUAAUUUAAAAUUAUUCAUAAUAUUAAUUUUUGUAAUAUUUUUAUGGGUAUGCUCUGCUACGCUACAACUUUAUUUAGAGGGAUCUUUUUCCGCCGUUAAAAAGUUGCUUAAAAAAAAAGUUGAGUGUGAACUAAACAUUUUUUAGCGAAAGAUUAAUUUUACGUUGAUGAAAAUAUUAGAGACAGAGCCUUAAAAGGGCAGUAUUUUUUUUUAUUUUUCUAAAUAUUCUUGAUUCUACCGUAUUUUUCCUUUUUUUUUUAAAUUCUUCAAAAAUUAAUUAUGGAUGAUGUUGGAUCCAUCGAUCAAACCAAUCAAACAGGUUAAAACAGUAACCAGAGGUUUUGAUUAUUGGUCCGAUUUAAAGCAUUGUGUCUAGCAAGUUGGACCGAUAAGAAAUCGGUUUGAUUAUUUAUAUUUUUAAGGAAAUUGAAGGUAUUAUUUCAGUUUUUAUUUAGUUCCUCACCAGUCACCAAGUCUUUGCUUUACCCCGUCAAGCUGAUCUUGACUUCAAAACAUCCUGUCCAAAAUUGAAGAUAGUGAUCCUGUCCAUAUAGUUUCUCCAUACUCACUAGCUUCUCCCAAUCAUUUUCUUGCUGCCAAGUUUUAUGAAAUGAAAGCUUCACAAAUCUGCUUUCAACCAAAUUGCUAUGUACAGCUUUAGAAUCCUCGGCAUUGGUGGAAGCUAUUUGCAGGGACUUUUGGUCAUGGAGCUCAUGCUUAUGGGUUAGACAUUGUCACCAGUACAAUCAAUAUUGUAGCAAAUGGAAUGUUUUUGAAGUAUGAUUCCAUUUUCUGAAUUGUUGCAGUACGCCCAUUUCAUUAUUGAUAUGAAGUCAUUAAGGAUUUUUUCUCUUAUUUAAUGGAUUAAGCAGGUAAUUAAUAUGUGUUUGCUUAUUAUUACUUGCUAAUUUUCCAUCUCUGAAGCUUCACUUCAAUCAGGAAAGAUCUUCGAGCCAAUUUUGCAGAUUGCAGAAGCACAUUUCUUUUGUUGAGUUUUUUUCCCUUUUUCCGUUUGAUUGCAUAUCAAACUCUACUCAGAAUUUUGGUUUCUAAACAUCAAAACUGGGUUUCAACAGAGAUAAUUUGCAACUUGCAUCAAAUUAAGACAGUAGUAGCAGACACUUUAGAUUAAUUGAUUGUCACACUACAUUUUUCUACAAAUCAAAACACAUUAACUAAUUGUAUUCCCCAUUGCAUACUAAAAUCAAUUAUUUACAUUUAAAAAAAUCAGCAAAUAAGUCGUUUCCGCUACAGCUAAUAAUUCAAAUGUGCACAUAUAUAUUUGACAACAAAUGUACUGUAAUCAGGGGAAAAGUUGUAACAUGUAAAUUGACGAUGGCACUUACAAGAAGAAAUAUAAAUCCCAUGAAACAGAGGACGCUAAAACUGGAGGAAAGAAGCCUGCAUAAUGCCUUUUCAUACCCUGCAUGACAAACCCACUAAACUUUUAGCAUAUAUCAAAAGAAAAACAACAUACAAAAGAGAAACGUUAAUCUCCAAUGAAAGCGAGAAAGACCUCAACUUUACAUGAAGAGAAAAGAAAAAUAAAGAGCCUAAGCCUAAUUAAAUGAAAAAAAAAAAAAAAAGAGAAAAAAAGUGCGAACCUCUAAGCGAGUAAUGGUAAAAAUGGCGUGGGCGGUGUUCUUGUAAAUCAGGAAAUUGGUGAGUCGACCAUCGUUAACUAUUUGAAAACUCGAUCCAAUCAGCACCCAAAAAGACUGAAACUUUUUGUCGAAACUAUGUAUAUAUAAAGAAAGAGACGGAAGAAGAAGAAGAAGAGGAUAACCUUGAAAUCUCGUACGGUCGAUGUCCAGAGGGUAAAUCGCUGCAACGGUGGCGAAGCCCGCCACUGCACCAGCGGUUGCGUUCUCCCAUUGCCACGGUGAUUGUGACAUUUCCUUUUGAAAAAAUAAUAAUAAUGAAGGGGAACCGGCCGUUUCUGUUAAUGUGCAUCAAAUUAAGACAGUAUCUUUACUUAUAUCGUUAACUCUUUCAUUAUUCAGUCUGCAAUUUCUUUUGGAAGCUAACAAAGGGCAAAAACGUAAAGUAAAUGAAGACGAAGAUGAAGACUCCAGAAAUGGCACAUCUCCGUUACACAAUCAGAAAAAGGCUUUGAAGCCUGACAAUAAGCUAUACUUUUCGACUGGAUCCUCCAGGAGUGCUGCUCUCAAUGAAUCAAAUACAGAAUUUGACAAACCGAUUUUUCAAUUUGAGUCUUCGAAGGAACUUCAAGUUCAAAUUGAUAGCAGAGUACGGCAACCUUAGAAACUGAGACUGAGUUUACAUAAGAUGCUCGAGCUAUACGUGAGAAUGUUCUUAAACGAGCAGACAAGGCCAUGAAUCUACAUCUUCCAUUGGAGGAGGCAUUGGAACAGCAGCUCCAUUGCAUUUCCUUGUCGAAGUUGGCCCACAUGAUCUUGGGUUCCCUUUGUAAGAAUCGUUCGAAAAUGUACCGAAUUGAUUGCUUUAAUGUAUGCUUCCUUCAAAGGGAAGCAUUGACAUUUCAAACAAUGACCAUCUGAUGGGAGAGUAAAUGAAGAAGAAUGUAUUGAUUCAGGGAGGCGUUCCCCGAACAAGAAAGAUGCAAAGAUUUGAAAAUGCCAGAAUCCAUAUGAAAUGGCAGGGAUAAAAAUCACUGAAAUUGUUAUUAGAUAGAUCCGUUGCACAAGGUUAGUAAAGAUUUGCAAUUGAUGAUGGAAUUUGCCAGAGAAUUGUAGUCAAAAAUCGAAUAAGAUCCGUAAAGCAAUGUUUAAACAAAAAUUCUGGCACUGACCCAAUCAGAUGGUCAUUGUUUGAAAAUGUGGCAUGGCCUUGUUACUUUUGGCAACUGAAAGAACUUUUUGUUGGAAAAACAUACCACUCAAGUUGCAGAUUCACUAAACUGAGAGAAAACCAAACCUAGAAGGAAAUUUCCAAAAAUUAGGAGGACAAAUAAGAGAUUGGAUUCCAACCAAGGAAAAGUUUGGAAAGAAAAGAUAGUCUUGAGAGUGAAGAACAAAAUGCACUUGUCAAAUUACAUUUCGAUAGACUUAAAAUAUGCAAGUUAGGAAGUGCUAUGGAUGUGGCUUCACACCAUUUACUACUUUGAGUUGAAAUGUUCACACUAUCUAGACGUUUGCAAGGGGUCUUAAAUUUUGGAUUAAUGUCUUGAAGUUUGGGUUUUCUAGUUUUCGAGGUUGUUGAAGUUCAAAAGGCAAUGGAUAGUAGUGGAAGUUAUUGUAUGGAUGGAGAAUUUGGUUAUACCGUUGAUAGCAAGAAUCUUGAUUAGAACUAACCUUGUUAAGUAUGAAAUCUCCACUAGAAUUUUGCUAUGGAAACAUGAGUUUGAAAAGUCAAGAUGAGUUAAAUUUGAGAAUCUGUCAAACUCAUAUUGAAGCAGAGCGAUAUUAAAAUUGUUCCCAACAAAAUUAAGGUAUUGAAGAUGAUGAAGAUUGAAAAUGGAGUGAAAGCUACCAAAAAGGUUUUUGUAACUGAAAUCGAGCUCAAUCACAUGACCAGAAGCAUCAUAUGUAAUUCCUUUCCAAUAGCAACAAUCUAUGUUGGGAUCCCAAAGCUCAACUUUGGAAGAGAAAGUAAAAUUUGGGGCAUAGUUUAUUCUUACAUUACAUUACAUUCACAUUUUCUGCCCAACACUUGGCAACAGUAUCCUAAAUAAUGUUGAAGACAAAUGGACAGGUGAUCAUCUUCAAACCGAUUUGUCUUUUUUUUUUUUUUUAUAAUGAUUAUUUAUUUAAUUAACAUUAAUGUCAAUGUACCAGCAUAUAAUUAAAUCUAUUAAGAAGAAGAAGUUUUGGAUUUUAUAUAUGUAUGUGAAAGCUAUUUGAACCAGAAAUAAAUUUUAAAAAAUAGUGCAAAGAAAAUAUCAUUAAACAAAUGAUGGGUUCAAGCUUUAGGGGCAUUCAAAUUGGAAAUUGAUCAAGCAAUUCUGAAGAAAUGCACUCUUUGAAUAUUUUGUGUAUCUACCAACUACCACAUUUUUCCAUUGGAGACAAGAGAGAAGUUCCAAAUCUAUCACAAUCAAAACUUGAUGAUGCUGAUGAUCAGCUAGAUAUAUCAUGUUUAAUUUUGUGGAAGUUAGCAAGCAAGUUCUUUUCAAAAAUAAUAAAAUAUAACCACAUAAAGUUCUUGCAAUACUUUUAAUUCUAAAUAAAAAAAGACCCAAUGUUAGGAUAUUUUAGAUGUAUACCAUUAUUUCUGUUGCCCUCUUGCAUCUACAGGUAUGGUUUUCAUUAUCAUUUGAAACAUAUCAUUUUUUAAUGAAGGCUUUAAAAGAUCUAAAAUUGACAAGUAUGAUAUUUAAAUGAUUUACUAAUUAAAUGGGAGCUUGAAUGAUCCAACAGAUUAUAAAUUGUUGAUUUCAUAUAAAACUGUUUUAGUAUAAAGGAAGACUAUUACUUGAUUUAUCAUUUAUUAUUGAAGUAAUUAAGGAUGAUAAUGUGAUAUUAGCAAUAAAUAAUUGAUUUAAUUGAUACAUCUACCUUUUUUUUUUUUUUUCUGUCAAGGAGUUUUCUUUAAAGAAUAAAAUAAGGAAAGUAGGCCUUCGGAUCCCAGAACGAAUAAUAUAUCACAUAGCAAGUGUCGUUUAAUGUUGAUUCGUUGCAUCAACAAUAGCGCGUAUUCUACUCCUUUUCAACCAAAAAAGGGCAUGCAGUUGUCUUUAGAGUUGGGAUCGGCGGUCAGCUAUUGAAACUCUAUCUCCACUCCCAUGAAGUUCCAUGAGAGCAAUCCAAGAAGGAAAAAAAAAAAAAACAAAACAAAAUAGCAACAUCGUGCACUACAUCAAAUAUUGAGAUUAGAGUAGGAAAUAGGAGAAAAUGCCAUACACAUACUUUUUGAAUCAUAUAACUUCUAAUUUAUAUAAUUAAUGUUAUAGAUAAUGAAAAAAGGAGAGGGUGUUUACGUGCCACCCUACCCUUCCUCCAAAACUUUAAUUUUUAUUUACUUUUUAUUUAGUUUUUUAAUUUAUUUUUUUAAAUAAAUUUUGUAAAAAAAAAUAUGGAUGAUAAAAUAAUCUAUAUUUGAUUAAUUUUAAUUCGCAUCAAGUGCAUUUUUUUUAAAUUAAUAUUGAAUCGAGUUUUUUUUUCUUUUGGAAAAUAGGGUUAUUGGCUUGAAGAAUGAUUUAAAGUUUUCUACUCCAUCAACGUGGUACCUCUCUCUCUUGUUUUUUAGUUUUUAUUUUUUAAAACUUCUUAUUUUUUGGGGUUUCCUUUUUUCUUUUUCCUUUAUUUUAAAAAUUUUUUACUUUUAUUUUUUUAUUAGAUAAAUUUUGUAAUAAAAAAUUAAUUGACAUAGAGGUGACAAAAUAACUUGUAUAUAAUAUGUUUCGAUUUAUCCCAAUUCAAUUGGUGUGUUUCCUUUUCAUUCAGGAUAAAUGGGUUGAAUUUUUUUAAAAUCGAGCUUAGAAAAAAGUAACAUUUUUAGUAUUACACUUCGAUUUUGGUAUAUAUAAAAAAUAUAUAUUAUUAUUUAUUUAAUUCUAUAUCUAUAUAUGUAUUUUAUUUAAAAAAUAUUAUUUAAUAUUUUAUUUAAUAAAUUUAUGUGUCACUCCAUUUGACUUUUUUAGUCAUUUUCUUUAUUUUUUUAAAUUUUUAUUACAUAAAUUUUAUAUAAAAAAGUAAACAGAUGUAGGGAUAAUAAAACAAUCUAUAGGUUUUGAUUCGCUACAACCUAAUCGAUAAUUUUUUUUAGUAAGAAUUGAGUUUUCUUUUUUUGAACAAUUUAGGUCAAGUCAUGAUUAGAUUUGGAGUGUUUAAUUCCAAUUCUCCUCUGGAUAUAUAAAAAAAUAUAUUUUAUUAUUUAUUAAAUUUAUGUUUAUAUAUAUUAUAUUAAUAAAUAUACUAUUUAAUACUUAAAUUUAAUAAAAAAAAUAACAUUUAUAUAUGUUGUAAUUUAUAUUAAAAAAAUAAAUAUACUUACAUUUGUUUUGUCAUUCAUUAAAAUUUAUAUAAAAAUUUUACUUUUUUUCAUAUUUAAAAUAUAAUUUUAAAAAAUAAAAAAAUCCAGAUCUAAUUCUAAUGGAUGUAACCAUUAUAGAAAAAAAAAAGCUUCUUCGCUCUUUGGAAAAUUUAAACUUAUUCUUUUUCAAGACCAUUUUUCGCCAUAUAUUUCUAUUUCUGAAACUUCGUAUGUUGGUGCAAAACGCACCAUGCAAAGAUAUCCUCUCUCUCUCUCUACACAACAAAUGGAUUUUGUUUCAAAGCAUGCACUUAUAAUAUAUAUAUAUAUAUAUAUAUACACAUAUAUAUAAAUUAUAAACACAAAUUUAAAACAAUAUAUUGUUAUAUUAUUAUAUAUAUAAUUAUCCAAAGUCCUCACAUUUAAAAAAAAUUAUAAUUACAUCAUUAUUAAUAUUAUUAAAUACAUAAUUUUUUCAAUAUAUGUAAUUAAACAAUUAUUCAAUCAAGAAUCAUUAUUAAUACUAUUAAAUUUUAUUUUGAUAAAUUUAUCAAUUUUAUCGACAGAAAUAACAUUAAAAAAAUUUUUCGUUUAAAUUUUUAAAUUUUUUUUAAUAUUUAAGGUGUCUAUGAACAACAUACUUCAACCUUUGCAUCUGCCACUGUAUACAAAAACAAUUGAUACCCAUGUGUAUGACGAUGAUCAGCUAUUGGUGUAGGGAUAUCCAAGAACUCUUCCUUUGUUAGAUUAGAGGCAGUGACGCACUUAUGUUUUUGUUUUGAACCAUUUACAGUUCCUUCUUAAUAAUAUGAUUUUAAUACAUCUUAAAAUUACAAUAUGAAUAAAAUUAAGUUAUUAAAUUACAUAAAAUAAUAAAUAAAAUUACUAAUUUUCGUUGAUCCCAUUCCUUAUUUUAUAUGGUUUGGAUAGAAAAUAUAAUUUUUUAAUAAAAUUAAUAUCAUGAAUAAUUCUUAAAUUAUAAUUAAAUUUUAAUGUAAUAUUUAAAUUUAAAAAAUCUCUAAUAUAUAUAGUAUUUAAAUUAUGAAUUGUUAACUAAUAUCGUAUUUAAAAAGUUAUUUUAUUUAUUAUUUAUUAUCAUUUAAAAUUAAUUAUAUUAAAAAUAAAUGCUAUAUUAAUUAAUAAAUUUAUAAUUUAAAUGUCAAAUUAAAAAUUUUUAAAAUUUAAAUACUAUAAUAAAUAUUUUUUAUAAUUUAAAAACUAUUUAUAAUAUUAACCUUUCGUAAUAUUGCGAUAAGUAUGCUCUGCUCAUUCUUAUGCUACAACUUUGUGUUAAAAGACCCUUUUCCUCCGUUGACGAUAAAAAAAAAAUUGCUUAAACAAAAAGUUGAGUGUGGACUGAACUUUUUUUAAGAAAAAAUUAGUUUUACGUUAAUGAAAAUAUUAUAGAUGGUGACUCAAAAGGACAUUAUUUUUUUAAAAAAAUUUUCUAAAUAUUUCCUGAUUCAACCUUAUUUUCUCUUCUUUUUUUUUUGUUGAAAUUUCUUCAAAAAUUAAUUAUGGAUGACAGUGGAUCAGUCGGUCAAACCACUCAGACAAGUUAAAUCAAUGACCAGAGCUCUUGACUAUCGGUUUUAUUUUUAAAAAAUUGGGUUUAACAAGCCAAAGUAGUAAGGGAUCAGAUUCGAUAUUUUAAUAUUUAAUAUUAUAAAUUUUAAAAAAUUAAUUUAAAUUUAAAUAUUUUAAAAAUUAAAUUGAUGCGAAUUAAAUUUUAUUUGUUAAGUUUAAUUUAUUAAAUUUUUAAAAUGUACUCAAUAUCAUUUUCAUAUUAUUUUUUAAAUAUAUUUAAAUAUAAUAUAAUUAGUUUUGUUUUAUAAAAUAAAAAAAUUAUAUAAAAAUUAAUAAAAAUAUAAUAUGAUUUGAUUUGAAUUUUUUUUAUUACUUAAUUCAAUGAGUCAAAAAUCAACCCGAUUUGAAUUAAAAUAUUAAAUAUUUAAUUCCAAUCAAAUAAAAAAAUUAUUGUAAUUUUCAAUCAAUUUUUUAUUUCUCCAUUUUUUAAAAGAUUUUCGAUUUUAUUUUAUUUUCCAACGUUAUUGAAGCCAAAUUCUUCCUUAUUUAAGCUCAAUUUAAUUUAAUAAUAAAUGAACUUAUAAAUAAACAAACUCUUAAUAAAUUUAACAACACGUAUUCUAACUCAUUUUAAUUAUUUUUAUUGAACUUUAGCCGAACAUGAAAGAACUCGAACUUAAUGCUUAUAGCCCACAACCGUAGCUCACUAAGUAAUAUUCAUUGCUUAUUUUAAUUCUUAUGUUGACGUGGGAAUAUUAAAAAUAUGUUUUUAUUAUUUUAAACUUCAUUAAUAGAUUUUAUUUAAUUUGUAAGCAUAUAAAAAAAGUUAUUUUGUAAUAAUAUUUUUAAAAAAUUAAAAAAUAUUUUUAAUGAUAUAUAAUAAUUUAUAAAUUGAUAAAGAUAUUAAAUUUUGAAAUAAUUAAUUUAUAAUAUUUUAAAUAAAUUAUAAUUAAAUUUAUUCAUACACAUUAAAUAAGUUUGUUUGUAAAAAUAAAUAAAUUAAAUAGAUCUUUGUUAGUAUUUAAUUUAUUUAAUAAAUAAACAUAAAAAUAUUAUUUAAAAUUAUUUAUUAAAUUUAAUAAACAAUUAUAAAUAAAAAAAAUAUCAAAUAUAUUUAUGAAUGGUUCAUAAAAAAACUCUGUUGUUUACGUUGUGGCCUAUUACAUAAUUACUUAAAUUGUUUUAAACGCUUCACUUUUUUCUUACCCUUUUCUUCUUCUUCUUCUUCUUCUUCUUCUUCUUCUUCUGCUGCUGCUGCUUCUCCGUCUAGUAAGAGAAAGUGGAGACAACCAGUGGCUUCCUCAGUGCUAGAGCUUGGUGGAAUCAUAAUUGCUAAAGAAGGUAAAAAAUUGCUACUUUUUAUGAACUUGGUUUUGCUGUUAUAUGCUUUUAUUGACUGUUCCUUGAACUGGUCCAUUUCAGUAUUUGCAGAUAUUGGAUUCUAACUUUGACUAGUAAAUUAUUAUGCGUAAUGGGUAUUUUGUCCAGUACUUUAAUCUGGGUUGGGAAAGGUUAAUUGAAUUUAUAUGUUGGAGCUUUCAAAAUAUGCCCUUUGUUUGUGUUCAAAUUGUGUUUGAUAAGAAAGUUGGACUUAUGGUGUUUGGAUUUGAUAUAUUUUGGAAUGGAAUAUAAUUAUAAGAUGGUUAGUCUAGGUAGAUUACACCUUUCUUUGAGUAUCAUGAAUUGAUUGAAAGUGUCAGCAAUCAAAAUCUAUUAUUGAGUUUUUUGGUUUGAAAAUUGGCAUGGUAUAUGCUUUGAUAUUUUGUUAUUAGUGAAAUUUGAUUUACGACUUUCUGUUUUUUCAUAAUUUAUGAAUGAUUUAGUAUUUUUUGGAUGGUGGGAUUUGUAGAUGUGGUGAGGGAUGAUCGAACAAACAUUGCUCCGGACACAAUUUUUUCAAAACUGUGAAUGCAGCUCCAUAAAAGAAUAAUCAUCCUCUUGGGAUUCUGAAGAAUGGAAUAUAUGACUAUUUCAAUGCCAAUUACCCCAACAUGUUCUCUGGUUCAUAUUUUGUCAACCAAUCCUUCCUAAUUCACAUCUUUGCUGAAAGAAUAUCUUUUGUAAUUCCUUAAACAAGGAUUCAGAAAAUAUUGGAUCCCCACCUACACAAGAAAAUUGUUGAUAAAACUCUGAUAAGUUUGAUAAUCUCUGCCCAAUUGUUUCAGUAAAACUGGUAAAAUGUUUGUCCACUAGUGCCCUAUUUUUUUUCUUUUCCUCUUUUAUGUUCCUCUGAAUUGGCAAAUACUAUUGGAUAACAAAGGAACAGCUUUUGAGUUUAAAUAUUUUGUACAAUCAAUCUUGUGCUCUGUUUUAGAAUAAUUGGUCUAGGAUCUUUGAAAAAUUAAAAUAAAAAAGGUAUGUUAAUUUGUAUCCAUAUGGGCUUUCAUAGAUCACCAAAGGUUGUCUAUUAACUUGGGAUUACAUAUGUUACUAUGGAGGCUUGAACCUCUGUGUCUGAGUGUGGGUGGAUUAGUGAGUGCAAGGGAGUGAAUAUUUUUUAUCAAAUGUUAAGGUUAUAGAUAUUUCACUCUCCCUACAUAUGGCCCAUUAAAGCAUGUUGUUGUUCCACAAUAUAUGUAUACACAAUAUAUGUUGGAUCAUUUUAUUUAUUUUGGAUCCUUGGAUAAUGUUUUUAAGAAUUUUUUUUUAUAACAGUAAAUCUUCUUUUUGCUGAAUUUUGAUGAUGUACUGGUGCCUGCUGAUCAUGUAAGCGGUGGCUAUAAUGAUACAUAUUAUGUUGACUCUCAAACUGUACUGAGGUGUCAUACAAGUGCUCAUCAAGCAGACACGUUGAGAAUGGGCCACACUCAUUUACCUAUAACCGGUGAUGUUUACCUUAGAGAUUCUAUGGAUUCUACCCAUUACCCUGUAUUUCAUGAGGUUUCAUUUUGUUAAAAAUCUCUUUAAUUUUGAUUAGCUUUUUAAAAUUCUCUUCUCUUAGGAAAUUGUUCUGAGUACAUAGGAAUUUUGCUUCCCCUGCUACAUGCGGAGCACAGCCAUCUGUAUGUUGGGCCGUACAAUGUGCUCCUCAGUGGGUUAACAGGAUGAACAACUGUAUUCUUGAUGAAGGCCAUUAAACAUGCAAAGCUGUUUGAUGAAGGUCGAUUCAUACUAAUUGAGCAUUUAGCCUUUCAUGAGAGAAAGCUUGUCUUAUCUAGUUAUGACACCAGUUAGUUUGUUGAUCAUGUAUCAUUCAUUACCUUAAUUAAUAGUAAUAAGGAUUUUGACUCACUUAGUUUAAAACCUUCUUUCAAGCGAUUGAAGCAGCAGUUGUAAACAAUUUGAAGUUCAUCAUGCUUGAGGCAAGGAAUCUAUAAAACUUUUGCUCUUGUUUUUGUUAAGAUGACAGAUUCAAGCGAGCCCUAUUAUCCAGGAAAAGCACCUCAACAAUCUGAACUAGGUAAAAUUUGUUCCUUUUUUUCUUAUUCUUUUUAAAUGUAUAAAUGUAUAUUUACUUAUGCAGCUAACUCUUUGAUUAUUCAGUCUGCAAUUUUUUUCAGGAAGCCAAAGGGCAAAAACAUAAGGAAAAGGACAAUAAAUGAAGAUGAAGAUGAAGAUUCCAGAAAUGGCAAAUUUCUGUUGCACAAUCAGAACAAGGCUUUGAAGCCUGACAAUAAGUUAUACUUUUCAACUGGAUCCUCCAGGAGUGCUGCUUCCACUGAAUCAAAUCGAUUUUUCAAUUUGUCUUCGAAGGAAAUUCAAGUUCAAAAUGAUAGCAGAGCUACGGCAACCUUAGAAACUGAAACUGAGUUUACAAAAGAUGCUCGCACUAUACGUGAGAAAGUUCUUAAACGAGCAGAGGAGGCUUUGAAGGGGAAAAGCACAAGCUCUGGCAGAUAGAAGUUGUAUAAAGGAAUGCAUGGCUAUGUGGAUCAUAAGGCUGGGUUUCGAAGAGAGCAAACAGUUGCUAGUGAGAAAGCUGGUGGCUCACAUGGACCUCUUAGUGCUUCUGCCCACAUCAGGAUUUCAGCGAGAUUUGAUUAUCAGCCUGACAUCUGUAAAGACUACAAAGAAACUGGUCACCGUGGUUAUGGAGAUUCAUGUAAGUUUAUGCAUGAUCGUGGAGAUUACAAGUCUGGAUGGCAGUUAGAGAAGGACCAGGAAGAAGCAGAGAAAGCAAGGAAGAGAAAUCUGGCUUUGGGUGGCAAUGAUGAUGAUGAGGCAGGGUUAGACCAGAGUGAUGAUGAUGAUGAUGAUUCGUUGCCCUUUGCAAGUUUUAUUUGCCUGCAUCCUUUUGUGGAUCGUGUUGUUACUAAGUGCAAGCACUAUUUCUGUGAGCAUUGUGCUUUAAAGGUCCCCUCAUAUGCCCUUUCAUAUAGAGUAAUUUUAUUUAAUGUCUUUUUGUUCUAGGUUAAUAUCUAUUAGUUUUUGUUAUAUUUGUUGUGAAUGCAUUACUUAGAUGGUAAACUUUUUUGGUUACUGACAUACAAAGAAUAUUUUAUGUGGUCAAACUUUCUUUUUUUUUUUUUUUUUUCUGGUAUAGAAAUAGGACAUGUUUGCACUGUACUUCUUCAACUUUUGGUGUCUCAUGUCAAUAUGGUUUACAUUAUUAUUUUCAUUUGAAUGUAAACUGACCAAUUGCAUCUUUUGUUUUUCUUUUUUCAGCAUCAUGCAAAGAAUGCGAAGCGCUUUGCAUGCAGCCAACUCACCCUUGGCAUUUUCAACACUGCACAUGAGAUACGUAGACAGAUGGCUGAAGAGGGUAAACGAUAAGUCCAUUGAUGCUUUGCUUCAACUCCUGUUGCCAUGAACACUUUUAUUUCCGUGCUUGAGCUGGGGGAAUUUUGGAAUGAUGAGCCCUUUAGAAUCAUUGUUGCUGCAGGCAUGUGCAUUAGUAUUUAGGUAAGCAUUUUCUGCAGCAUUCCACAACUGACUUAUGAGUUGAGUGAUUGUAUUAAGCAGAGUAAGAAUUAGGUUUUUACAUGAAGUUGCAAGAGUUGUCGAAAACAACUGAAUGAGUAGACAAUUGUAAAACUUGUAAUUUAUAUACAAAACUGGCUUUCCUAAUAUGCCAACAAACCCUAUUGCUACCUUUUACCCAUGAAGUAGCGUUUCUUCUACCUUGAGAUAGCAGUCCAAUCCAGUAUUAACUUUCCAAGAAUCGGCAUCCAACUUCACAACCUUUGUAAUGGCCAAGAAUUCAACUUGAUCAGAUCAGAAUCCAGGUCUCGAUGACACAUACUGGUAGGAUCUAGGAUGUUACUUCAAAGAGUUUAAGAAUGUUGGAUUGCAGGUAGUUUCAAAUGGGUAGGGGGCUAAUGGAAGCUGAGAUUUUUUGUGCUGUCCAAAUCCAAGGCAUAGAAAACAUUAAUGAUCAGUUUUCUUCCUGGAAAAAUACAGUUCCUGCAUUCAAGACCCCAAAAAAAAAAAAAAGUGAAAUCAGCUAGCAAACCUAAACUUAAACUCAAGAAAUAUUAAUCUUUGGCUCUUAGCAGUAGUUGUAUAGACAAAAAAUUUUUAGCAUGACCUUUUGUUUCCUUUUUUCCCUCUAAAUUUUUCUGUUUUAGCAUGAGUUUUUUUUCUUUUUUCCCUGUAAAAUUUUAAAACGGCCAAUUCAUGAGAAUAAAGUAUUUUUCUAGUUGAUACUUACAGUUCUAGUUGGAGAUGGAUUUAAAAGAGCAAGAUCUUAGGGCUGCAUGGGAAGGACAGUUGUAUGAGAAAGCCUCUAGUGGCAAAGUCUUUAUAUAUGCGUAAUCACUCUGUCCAAUUUGGCUUUUGUCAACCACAAAGUCAUCAAAUAUCAUUUUACCUGCAAAAUCUUCUAAACAUAAAUUCUGAGCUAAUGCUCAAAAUAGGCUAAAUAUCAGAAGGCUUGACAACCUUCCUGGUUUACAGCAUCAAGCUGACUACUAAAGAAAAAACUAACUUUAAAAUGACCAGUGAUUGAAACAUAGCAUGUCUUCUAUAACUUCAUCUGUUAAUUAUGGAUUAGUGGCUAUAUCAGAACACUUGGCACAUCAACGUGAAUAUUGGCUAUUUAGUUAUGAUGCUUUAUUUCUAUUAGAUAGAGAAUAAGUUACUGAAAGGAUUCACUGGAAUUCUAGAGAAGUGAGUACAUAUAAGUUCAUCAUCCAAACAACCAAGAUGCUUUGGUGCCUCUUGCGUUUUUCUGUUCAAACUAGUGAUCUCUUCUAUUACUUGAUACAAAUGUUCUUGUGGAAAAACACUUAUUUACAGCUGAUUGUAAUCUUAUAAUCUGUAUAUUUAUAUUUGUAUCUCUAGAAUUAAGUAUUUAUAUCCCUAUAAUUAAGGACAAAAAAUUAGGAUAAAUAAUCCCUCAAUUAUAGGAUCAGUUUUUUGGAAGAUUUAGUUUCCUAGUUUACCCACCAGUUAGUUGUAUAUAAAUCUAUGGUGCUUGUAUAAUUCUUCAUGAGCAGUUUUUCAAUAUACAUUCAGUUUUACUCUUAGUUUUUCAUACAGUUUUAUUUCUUAGUUUUUCCAUAGUUCAAUGUCCCACCUUGGAUGGUUUUCACUUUCAAAUACAAUGGUCAUUCUUGCUUCUCACUAGACAAAAGAUGCAGCCGAAACAUCAGUUUUGUAAGAAACAGAUAAGCUGUUUAAGCUUUUAAAGAUAAAAUUAAAUCAAUUAAUCAAGUCCACAUAAUAAUUUAAGUUUAGCAUUCACAUAUCUUUCUCGCCAUAGUCAAAUCUAUAGUUGUUAGAGAUAAUAAAAUACCAUCGAAGUUACUUUGGAAUUGUCGAGCUUGAUACCUGGAACUGAAAGCUUUCUUCUUUUCUUUUCAGUGUUUUUCUUCUCUGUAGUGAUGUAGCAGAUAAUACAGGAAUAAAGCAUCUUAGCUUGAGCUUGAUCUGUGAAGAUUUUUCUGUAUUAGGAGAUGUAACUUCUAGUUUUGGCAGUUAAAGUGGUAGGAGUAGUCAUUGUUGUACAUGCCAUGGCUUGUAUUAAACCUGCACUGCAAAUAGUUGAGUUGAAUAAUUGAUAUUGUUGAUGUAAUUUCUGGUCUGAUAGUCAAAAGUUUUACUAGAGGUUGAGAAGGAGAGUAUGUGUGACCUGUCACAGAGUAGAAAGUCGAGUGUGCUGAAGAUAUUAUUUUGAGACAUUCUCGGAUGCUCAAGUUAGUAAGGUAUACCAUAAGCAAGUAAAUGAGAGAGAGUAGGAAGCAGUUAAAGAGAGUAAAGUGAGUUCAACUGUGAAUCACCUGUCUGCUCUGGAUGCUUCUUAGAUGACGACAUAGCAAACUGGGCUCUCAUGUGUAAGAUCUACUAUGUGGCUGCUGACACGACCACUUAGGUAUAACAAUAAUAAAGAGUUUAAAAGACGAUAAGAUUCUUGUUAAGAAUUUAUUUUGGAUAAAUGAUUUUUAUUAAUCCAAAAAAAGCAGUAGGUAUGCUACAAGUAAACAGCAAGCCAACGUUACAAACUUCCAAGAACUAGCAAAUAAAGCAAACUAAUUAACAAAAGAGUCUAACUUUUGCAAAGUAAUCAAACUAAGCAACAUUAAGGAACCAGUCCCCAAUUCAGACACAUUUUUUUGCUAAGCCAGAAAUUUAUUAAUAAAAACAGAGUUACACAACAGGGGAACCUCAUAACUCAGCAGUAGAACACCACCCUAUAGAUAGAACAGAAGAGGAGCACAAUACAACCAGACAUUACCGCCAAUCAUCCUAGGCGAGCAUAAGAGAAAGAACUGAGACACAGAUACCAUAACACCAGGCCAAAAACAUUCAGGCACAAUUUCUGUUGUUGAAAAGGAAGAGUGGAACUGGAGACUGCAAUCCUGUUAUUGAAUCGAAGCCAAAAGGAACUUUUGAUAGCUGAAACAAUAGCUUCUAUAUAUCUAGAAGGCCUGCCAAACUUCCUUCUAUUGUGCUCCUGCCAAAUAAAAUAUAUGUGAGCAUUCCAAGCCAAUCUAAGGAAAAUAAAUGCCAAAACUUUGCCCUUAAAAUGGCUGACAGCCCAAUCUAACUCAAAAUACCAGUCACCCACAGGUCUUGUAGAAAUUACUAACUUGAAAAUUAAUUUUCAUUUGUAAAAUGAGGUUAGGAAAUUCAAAGGACAACCUAGUUUGCAGGCAAUUUUUUUUACCAAGUUUCAAAAAGGGAACGAGACAUAAAGUUGAAAUGUUCUUGAAUUAAAUUUUGAAUGCAAUCACUUUAAUAAGUUAUUAGUUAGUUAGUGCAGAUAAAUGACAAUAUAAGAGAGCAUUUAAAUAAUUUUAUUUGAUUUGGCUACAGUUCACAGAAUCAGUAACAAAAGUUUUGAGUUAUUAAGUAUUCUAGAAUGCUUACCAAAUGACAUUGAAACUUGAAUUUUGAUUGAGUCACCUUGAUCUUCUCCAUUUUCGAUUCCAAUUCCGUGUAAACCUUUCCAACCAUUUGUUCCCCAACUCAUUCAGCACUGUAUAUCCAGUACAUAAUCCAAUGACCAAUCCACAUCCAUACCCUAUCAACACAAUUUUCCUGUCAGAUAAACCAUCUACCCAUGAAUCUGCAUCUUCCUUAGGGGUUGGCAUUCCAGGACCAUCUUCAUUGCAUUUCCUUGUCAGAGGCAGCCCACAUAAUCUUGGAUUCCCUUUGUAAGAAUCGUUUGAAAAUGUACCGAAUUGGUAGCUUUGUGGUAUGCUUCCCUCAAGUUGGUUGUAAGAGAGAUUCAAUACUUCAAGAAAUGUUAGGCUUGUAAGCUGUAGAGGAAUCCUUCCGGAGAGUUUGUUUUGGGAGAGGUCCAACGACUCAAGCUCAGUUAAGUUUCCAAGUGCUAAAGGAAUUGGGCCAAGGAAGCUGUUGAAGGAUAAGUUUAGCACUUUGAGUGACUUGAGGUUUUGUAUUUCUUCCGGUAUUCUCCCAUGGAAACUAUUAUUGGAAAGGUCAAGACAAAUAAGGAUGGUUAAGAUUUUCUCAUAAAACAUUACAAACCCUUUAUUCACAAUUGUUACAGAGUCCUGGUAGUAAUUAUCUCCAAUAUAAUCUGGCUUAGCUCUGUUGCCAUCAGUCAUCAUUCUCAUUGCCUUCAAAGAUUGGAAAAAUCCAACAGAUAACUCACCUGAAAAAUUAUUGGAAGCAAGGUCCAGUAUGUGUAACUCUGGGAAAGCAUCUUCAUCCUCAGAAAUUUUAAUUGGACCAUAAAAUCUAUUUGCUCUUAGUACAAGAACUUUCAAAGAAGGCAAUUUCACCAACCAUGAAGGAAAUGUGUCCUGUAUCAUAUUUUUUCAAAGGUCCAAAACUUCAAGAUUUCUGCAAUUGGCUAAUGAACUCGGCAACUUCCCUUCCAAUUUAUUCCCACUGAUUAUGAGUGACCUUAGUUCAGUGGCUUGAAAGAAUUCAAUUGGUAAUUGACCAGAAAAAUUAUUGAAAGCAACGUCUAGCACAUCCAAGUCUUGAAAAUAAUUUUUCACAUGUUUAAUUAGACCAUAAAACCUAUUUGCUCUCAAUAUAAGAACCACCAACCGAGGCAAUUUUCCCAACCACGAUGGGAAUGUGUCAUACAAAGUAUUGUUUCCAAGGUUUAAAACUUCGAGCCAUGUGCAAUUGACUAAUGACCUUGGCAACUUUCCUUCCAAUUUAUUGUCAUUGAGUUGAAGCAAAAAUAAUUGGGUGCCUUUUGCAAAAUCUGGUAUGCUGCCGGUAAAAUUAUUUUUUUGUAGAUCCAAAUAGCCGAGAGUUCUGAUAUUGCCAAAACAACUUGGGAUAAGCCCGCUUAAUUUGUUAUAAGAUGCAUUUAACCUUUCAAGUUGACUCAAAUUACAAAUAGAUCUUGAUAAAGAGCCUUGCGAAGAAGUUAGAGAUUGGUUUAGUGAAAAUUGGUCCAAAGAUGAGAGAGAAUUAUUAGAAAGAUCCAGAUACCACAAACUUUUCUUCCACACCCAAUUUGGCACUGCACCACUUAUUUUGUUAUUUGAAAGGUCAAGAUAUUCUAAACUAUUUUGACUCUUUAAAAACUCUGGAAACAUACUUAGGUUACAGAAUUGUAAACCUAAGUAUCUCAACAUUGGAAAAGAGAAGUUUGCAUCACCAAAAGGAAUCUCUUUUGGAAAAUCAAUUGCAUUGAAAGAGAGGAAUAAGGUUGAAAGAGUGGUCUUCCACAACCAAUUAGGUAUAAAACCAUGGAUUUGGUGGUCAGAAAGAUAUAAAGAAGCCAACUUGUCUUGUGUUUUGAUGAAUUCUGGAAAUUCAGUAAGGUUGCAUGAACUUAGGCCUAGCUCCUCUAAUUGGGGAAAAGUAAGGAUUGUGAUGUUCUUUUCAAUUGAUAAGCUCAUGUUGGAAAGGUCAAGGUGCCUUAAGUUCUUGAGUUGGAAAAACAUGUCAAGCUUCUUGGAACUAAAGCUAUUGUAUCCUAAAGACAAUGCUUCAAUCAAGGAGGAAGAUGCAUUGGGGAACUCACCAAUUUCACCAAUCAAUUGAUUUUCCCCAAGAAACAGGGUAUGCAAUGAUGGGAGAGUAAAUAAAGAAGAAGGAAUUGAGCCAGAGAGGUGGUUCCCCUGCAAAUGAAGAUAUGCAAGAUUUGGAACUCCAGAUCUAUGAAAUGCAGGGAUAAAACCAUUGAAAUUGUUAUAGGAUAUAUCCAGUUCCACAAGGUUAGUAAGAUUUGCAAUUGAUGAUGGAAUUUGUCCAAAGAAAUUGCACCAACUGAGAUCUAAAUUUGUCAAGAGCUUAAGAUUACCAAUUGUUUCUGGCAGUUUUCCACUGAAAUUUGUAGAAGAAAUUUUUAAGAUCCGUAAAGCAUUGUUUAAUGAAAAUUCUGGCAACUGACCUCCGAGAGCGUAAUUUUCUGAAAUGUCAAUGCUUUGUAUUUUUGGCAACGAAAGAACUUCUGUUGGAAAAUCCCCGCUCAAAUUGCAAUUCACUAAACUGAGAGAAACCAAAGGAGAGGAAAUUUCCAAGAAAUUGGGAGGUAAAUAAGAGAUUGAAUUCCCACCGAGGAAAAGUUUGGAAAGAAAAGGAAGUCUUAAGAGUGAAGAACAAAAUGGACCUGUCAAACCACAAUUUGACAAACUUAACACAUGCAGGUUACCAAGAACUAUGGAUGUGGCUGGACACCAUUCGGUACUUUGAGUUGAAAUGUUCACACUAUCCAAGUAUAGCUCUGUAAGUAGCUUCAAAUUUUGGAUGAAUGUCUUGAAAUUUGGGUUUUCUAGUUUAAGAGGUUGUUUAAAUCCAGAAGGCAGUGGGUAUCUUAGAUAGCAAGAAUCUUGAUUAGAUAGAUCAAGAGAGACUAACCUUGUUAAGUAUGAAAUCUCCAUUGGAAUUUGACCAUUGAAACAUGAGUUUGAAAGGUUGAGAUGAGUUAGAUUUGGGAGUCUAUCAAACUCAUAUUGAAACAAAGCGGUAUUAAAAUUGUUUCCAGCAAGAUUAAGGAGUUGAAGAUGAUGGAGCUUGAAAAUGGAGUAAAAGCUGCCAGAAAGGUCUCUAUAACUGAGAUCAAUCCCAAUCACAUGACCAAUAACAUCACAUGUAAUUCCUUUCCAAAAGCAACAAUCAGUGUUGAGAUCCCAAAGCUCAGCUUUGGAAGAGAAAGUAAAAUUGGGGGCAUAAUAAAGAUCAUGGUGCAAUUGUAGCAGAGCAGAUCUCUGGUCAUCAAGGCAUUGUUUUUGGAGAUGAGUAUGAGAAGGGGAAAAAGAUAACACAAGAGAUAAAGAGCAUGAGAAGAGAAAUAAGGUAGGCAAAAAGAGUAGAAUUAGGAUAUGAAGAUUCUUCAUGUUUUGCUAGCUCUCUAUGGAAAAAAAAUGAAGGGAAGAUUGUGGAGUUUAAGAUUUGCAUACACGGUAUUUAUAGACAAGUACUUCAUAUUACAUACUGUUAUUGUAGUUAUAUAUCUCCCUUGAUAUCAAGGGAUAGGUUCAAAUGCAUUUUUCCAACCACGUGUUUGUACAAAUCUUGAGUUUGAGCUUUUUCUAUAAGAGUUGAAUCAAAAUAGGUGGAAGACAAACAUAUUUAUUGGUUGUCCAUUUGAAUUUUAAAGAAUGAAUAAUGGGUUUCAAUGAUGAUGAAGCUGAUAGUUUUACUUUUGUAAAUUAAUCUUUAUCACUAUAUUCUUUCCUUUAUUCCCACUUUUUAUUUCAUAUUAUGCAUUUGUACAAAAAAUAAAUAAAUAAAUAAAUAAAUUUUCUCAAAGUUAGGUGAUGUAUAUUGGUAACAAAGAAUCCUCUCCGCUAAUAAAAAAAAAAGUGAAAAAUUUCAUUAAACUUGAUUCUGAAGGGAAGUAAAACUUACAAAGAUUUAUUAUUUAACUCAACUAUGUUAUUUGGAAUUAAAUGGAACAUUUUUUUUUUAGAAAAAUUCUAAUUAAUAAGUUUGUUUCUUCUUAUUUUUCUCCGAUGAAUUUCCUUUUGUUCUCUCGAUCAAAUUCCUUAUACAUAUUGUUUCUUUCUAAAUAAGCAUUCAGAGAAAAGAAUAAUUACUGUAACAAUUUUGUCUUUAUAAAAUUCUUUGGUCUACAGUAAUGUUUAGUCAUCCUGGCACCAAUAGAUUAACAAUUAAGAAAAAGGGAUAUCGUUUAGUCAUAUUGAUACCGUUUGGUGCAUUUUUUUUUUAUUGCAAAACCUGUUGUAAUAUCACAUGUUGUAAAAAUAUUGUCCACCUAACCUGAAAAUCUAAAGCAAAAGUAUGAAUGAAAUGAAACAAAUUCAAAAGAUGAAAGCAUGCAGGAAAUAUCUAGCCAACAAAGUGAAAGUGCUGAAACUCAGUUUCCACGAUUUCGCUUGUAUAUUGAUGUCAAGACAGAGGAAAUAACGGUAGACAGGAGCUUAGCUUUUGACCGUGCUUCACCUUUCCAUCCAUUUCAUCAGAUUUAAUUGAUUGCUUCUCUCUUGGACUUCAUUUAGAGAUGGCAAUAUAUACUAAAUAAUCAUAUAUUUGGUAUUAUCUAAUUUGUUUCUGUUCUGAUAAAAAAUUUAUAAAUGGAGAAUUAUGAUUUUGGAUAAUAGGUUUACUAUUUGUGAUGGAUAUUAAUAGAAUUUAGAUAGUACUUCUCAAAUAUCAAAUAUCUAAAUUUAUUUAAAUUUUAAUAAAUAGUAUCAAAUAUUUGAAUUCCUUAUUAAUUCAUAUAUGCAAAUUAUAUAAAAUUUUAUAGUUGUGAAAAGUUUUGAAUGUUAACAAAUAACUUUUAUUUUAUAUAUACUAAAAUUGAACUUGAAUUUUAAAAUUAAUUUUUUUUAUUUUAUAUUUUAAUAAAAAAAACUUAAAUAAUCGAAUAUUUUAACGAUUUAGAUAUUUAACGGAUAAUGCUUAUUUAAAUAGAUUUAGAUUCGAAUAUUGAAUCUAAAUUUAAUUAAUUAUUUAAAUGGAUUCGAAUGUAAUGAAAAUUAAAUAAAUUUAUAUACAAAUACCUCAAAAAUAACAAAAUCUUUUAUUUAAUUUUGAGAAUUUAAAACAACAUAUUAAUAAUAUAAUAUUGAAUUUAUACAUCAUGUGUAUAAUACUUUCUUAUUAUUUUUUUUUUAAUAUUGUUAAUGAAUAUUGGUCUGGAUCGUGUGAACUUAGAAUAUAUAGAUUCAUAUUUUAUAUUUCGAAAUACUUCAAAUAAAAACAUUAACCAAUAUUAUUUUUAAUGAUAAUGAACCUUAAUAGUAAUGAAUAUAUAAGUGAAAGUUACAAAUGAGAACACUAGAAAUAUGAAAGGGACAAAAUGAUUGUUUUUUCAUAGAACAAACAUUAAUGGGAUUUUCUAUUAAUAAAUUAGUCUUGAAUUUAUCAUGCACGGGUUUUUCUUGUUCUUGCCUCGUACACAUAUGUUUCUUGCUUUGCUUUGUCUAAUGUUGUUGGUCUAAAGUUGUUUCCUCUUUUUUAAAAGAACUUUAGAAUUGGUCCAAAGCUGCUUUGUCUAAGGUCAGAAAUUUCUCUCUUCCUUCCAUCAACUACCUCAUAACAAAACAAAAAAUAAAAUAAAUACUUAUAAAAAAAAUAUUAAUAAUAGGAUAAUUUUUUAAUUUAAAAUUCAUCUCAAUUGAUUCAUAUAAUUAUUAUUGAAAUAUAAUAUCUAACAAGUUUAAAGUUCAAUUUCUCACGUAUAUAACACCAUCUCUUUUCAUAGACCACGGCUUUUUUUCCUUUAAUUAUAAUAAUUUUAUUUCUAUACAAUAUUAUAUGUUAUCUUUGCAUUGGUGUUGUUUUAUACUAUUUAAAGUUUAUAGCCUUUGUAAUUUCUUACAAGCAAAGUCAUUCAAAAGACAAAAAUGGAGAAUGAACAUUGGGCACACCAGGCACUAGUGAAGUCAGAAAAAGGACAUCAUUUGGUGCAUUUUUUGUUUCAAUCCCAUUGUCACGCUACACAAUAAAUUAAUAGGAACUUUUCUCUUUUCUUUUUUUUUUUUCUAAAUUGUUCAAAAGGGAAUUUAAUUUAAAUUGUUCAAAAUUAAAUAAUAAGUGUUCAACUUCAAUGUUUAAUUAGACUACAUAUUAUCAUCUUUACGAGAUUAUACUUAUCUUUCCAUAUGUCUUCAAUCAUCACUUCUAAGUUUUUUUUUUUGUUAUUUAUUUCUUAUUUUCAAUUCAUUUCUAAUUAGUAAUUAAUUAUACUUUUAUUAUCUCAUUUUCUUUAUCUAUCAUUUCCUAUUUGGAUAUUUUAAAAAUUAUCAUCUUUGCAUUUUGCAACACAAAAUACUUUUACUUUUAUGUACGAGUAUAUUCCAAAAUCAUUUUGAUUUUUUAAUACAUUUUUAUAUUUAAAACCUCAAAAUAUAAGUUUUAUCUAAUAAACUUAAGUUUUUAAUAUAAAAUACCUCAAGUCUAAUAAGUAAUAUUCUUAAAUACCAUAAAAAUCAAAUAGAGAAAAUGCAAAUUUGAUGGAGGGAAUAUAAAUAAAAUUUUAAUGUAAAAAUUUUUAAAAAAAGAAAAUGAUAUGUAUAUAUAAUUUGAAUAAUUUCUGUAAUUGUAAUGAACCUUAAUAUUAACAAUAUCUAAAAAUUAAAAAUGUGAAAUCACUCAUAUAUAUAUAUAUAUAUAUAUAUAUAUGAAAGGGAGAAAAUGAUUGUUUUUGCAUAGUACAACAAUUAAUGGGAUAUUGUGCUAAUGAAUUAGUCUUCAAUUCAUUAUUCAUACAUGCUUUUCUUGACUCUGCGUCGUACACAUAUGUUUCUUGCUUUGCUUUACGUGUCUCAUGAUUCAUGAAACCACUCAAGUCUCAGCGAAGGCUUGACUCUUCAAUAUGUUUCUUGCUUUGCUUCAUGUGUUUCAUGAUUCUUGAAACCACUCAAGUCUCAUAGAAGACUUGACUUCAUCAAAGAAGUGAGGAGACAAAAGCAAACUCAUAAUAUUAGUAUAAUAUAAAUGUGAAUCAUAAUUGUUAUUAAUUAGCUCUCUUAUUACCAUUUUCAUUGAUGAUGAUGAAUUAUAAUUACCUGCACAAUGAUAUAUAUAUAUAAAUAUAUAUUAUUUGAAUACAAAAAUAGAACUUUACUCAAAUGGUUUAUUUACUUCUCUUAAAAAGUGAAUACUUAUAAAAUAAGGUUUAAUUUUCAGAACUUAUAAACUUAUGCGAAUGGCAAAUUGAUAAUUUUUCAAUUAGGGAAAAUCCAAUUUAACCCAAAAUCAUCUUUAGUAAACUUAUUUUAUUAUUGUAUUAUACAACUUAAAAGUGAUAUUUCUACCAUUUAUCGUAAAAAUUUAUAAUAUAAAUAUAUACUUAUAAUAUAUAAAUACAUAUAAACACACAUUUAUAUAUAUCAAUUCUAUAAAAAAGAAAAUAUACAUAUAUAUAUAAUAGGAAUCCACUUACACUAAUAUAACUUUACACUUUUUAGAUUCUUAGAUUAAAAUUAAAUUUAUGACUCAUUUGAAUAGUAAUAAUAUUUUUAAAUUUUGAUCCAAGUAUAAAAAAAAAUGUAUAAAAAUUAUACUAGUGUAAGUAGAUUUUUUACGCACACACAUACAUAUAUGAAAGGUAUUAGAAAUUAUGGGUCAACGUGUCAUUAUCUAACUUAAGUAAAUCUCUUUUGAUUCAUUUAAAAGAUAAUUAUGAUUUAAUAUUUAUUGCUUGUUAAAACUCCUAUUGAUCAAAUAAAAACUAAAAAGAGAGUUAUUUUGUUAAUAACUCAUACAUUAAUAGAGUGUAUGAAUAAUAAUUAUUAAUUAAAGAAACAAAAAUUAUUCCUCUCUCUACCUAUAAAUUAAUGUAUUCUAUCUGAUGAUUAAAAUGUUAUUUUCGGGUAUAUGCUCCAAUGCUCAAAUUAGUAAGGUAUAUCAGAAGUAAGUAAAUAAGAGAGAGCAAAAAGCAGUUAAAAAAAGUAAAGAGAGUUGAGUAGUGAAUCACAUGUCUGGAAAGAUUCUACCUUUUCUACCUUGUGGGUGGCAACGUCGCUAAGACCUACUAUGUAGCUAUUGAAAUGACCACUUAAGUGUAACACUAAUGAAGAGCUUAAAAGAUAAUAAUAUUUUCGUUAAAGAUGAUCAAAGAAAUGAAACGGGAGAAAUGCUACAUUUAGAUGUUAUCAUUAGAAUGAUUAAUAAGUUCUCUACCGUAAAAGAUGAUAAAAGUUUAUUAUAAAUUUAACUAUAAAUAAAAGGAUAAACUUUAAAAAAGUUAUAUAUAUAUAUAUGUCAAACUUUGGAUAAUUAUAAGCCACAAAGUAAAAGUUUUUUAAAAAAUCAACAUGAUUGUUACAUUGAAAUAGGUAUUAUAAUUUGAGAAUGUAAUAUUGCAUAUCAUAUUGUAUCCUAAAUAUAUUAAAUAAUUUUUAAAAUUAAUUAUAAAUAAUAUAUAUAAAUAUACAAUACUUUUUUUAAAAAAUACUAUACAUAUUUAAUGAGAUUGAGUGAUUAAUGGAUAUAAACAAAAAGAUAUAAUUAUUUUUCAAACUCCUGACAUAUUGUGUUUCAAAAAAAUAUUUAUAUUUGAUACAUUGUUAAUAUAGAAAUAUUAUAUAUAAUAAGUAAAUCAUGAAAAUAUAUUUUAUAAAAAAUUGAUAUUUUAAUUUUAGACUCAUAAAAAUAAUGAUAGUAUGAGAUCUUUUCUAUUGGUAUUUAGUGUUUUCUUUGCUUUAUACUUUUAAAUCUUCCCAUCAUGAAAAUGCUAAGCUUUCCUGCCCCAUCAUUACUUUAUGAAUAAUAAUCUUUCUUGUAGUUUACUUAAGUCAAGUUUGUCUUUUAAAAAAGACAAAAAAAAAUAGUAAUUUACUCAAUGAAGGCUGUCAUUUAUCUUCCAACUAACUGGGAAUGGGUUUUAAGUUUAGUAAUUAUUAGUACUAUAUUUUAAUCUUUUCAAUGACUUAGACCAAAGCAAACGCUAAUAUUAUUAUUUUUGAAAAGUAAAGAUGGGAGCAAAAAGACCAAUACGCUUGCGUGCUUCAUACCAAGACAAAGUAUAACAAAGAUGCUUAAUAUUCUUUACAUAUAAGAAGAAAUCCUACUAUAAACAAUAUUACAUAAUUAGCUAAUAGUGUUAUUUAUAUAUCCGUGGGAAAGAAUCUCUCCACUACUAAAAAAUAAUGAAAAUUGUCACUAAGCUUGACGUCUGAAGGGAAGUAAAACUUGCAAAGAUUUAUCGGUCAAGUCAACUCUGUUAUUAUGUUAUUAACUGAAACACUUCUCUUUUGAAAAUUCUAAUUAAUAAUUUUGGUUAUUCUUCUUCUUCAAUUCAAAGUUUGAAUCUCCAUUUGUUCCCUCCAUCAACUUCCUCAUAUUUAGCAUUUAUUUUUUUCUAAAUAAGCAUUCAGAGAAAAGAAUAAUACCGUAACAAUUCUGUCUUUAUAGUAGUAUGCGUUAUUCUUUGAUCUGUAAUAAAGUUUAGUCAUCCUGGCACCGUACCAUUAGAUUAAUUAUUAAGAAAAAGGGAUAAAGUUUAGUCAUAUGGAUAUCGUUUGGUGCAUUUUUUUUGUUGCAAAACCUGCUGUAAUAGGGCAUCACAUGUUGUAAAAAUAUUGCCCACAUUAACUGAAAUUCUAAAGCAAAAGUAUGAAUGAAAUGAAACGAGGGCAAAAGGUGAAAGCAUGCCGGAAACAUUCAGCCAACAAAGUGAAAGUGCUGCAACUGAGUUUCCACGCAUUCAGAUUUCGCUUGUAUAUUGAUGUCAAAGUCAGAGGAAAUAAUUGGAGACAGGAGCUUAGCUUUAGACCGUGCUUCACCUUCCCAUCCAUUUCAUUAGAUUUGAUUAAUUGCUUCUCUCUUGGACUUCAUUUACUGAUGACAAUAUAUACUAAAUAAUCAUAUGUUUGGUAUUAUCUAAUUUGUUUAUAUUCUGAUAAAAAUUUAUAAAUUGAUAAUUAUGAUUUUGGAUAGUAAGUUUAAUAUCUGUAAUGGAUUUGGAUAGGAUUCUGAUAUUAUUCUUUAAAUAUCAAAUAUCUUAUCCGUUUAAAUUUUAAUAAAUAUUAUCGAACAUCGGAAUCCAUUAUCCGUUUACAUAUAUAAAAUUUUUAAAUCUUAACAAACAACAUUUAUUUGUUAUUUAUUAAAAUUGAACUUGAAUUUUAAAUUUAAUUUAAUUUAUUUUAUAUUUUUACAAAAAAACUUAAAUAAUCAAAUAUUUUAACGAUUUAGAUAUUUAGCAGAUAAUGCUUAUUUAAAUAGAUUUAGAUUCGGAAAUCAAAACUAAAUUUAAUUAAAUAAUGGAUUCUAAUAUAAUGAAAAUUAAAUAAAUUCAUAUACAAAUACCUCAAAAAUAGCAAAAUCUUUUUAUUAAUAUUGAAAAUUUAAAACAACAUAUUAAUAAUAUAAUACUGAAUUUAUCAUAAGUAUAGUACUUUUUAUUAUUUUUGUUUUUAAUAUUGUUAAUGAAUAUUGGUUUGGAUAGUAUGAACUUAGAAUAUAUAGAUUCAUAUUUUAUAUUUUAAAAUACUUCAAAUAAAAAUAUUAACCAAUAUCAUUUUUAAUGGUAAUGAACCUUAAUAUUAAUGAAUAAGUGAAAGUCACAAAUGUGAACAUUAGAAAUAUGAAAGGGACAAAAUGAUUGUUUUUUCAUAGAACAAAAAUUAAUGGGAUUUUCUAUUAAUGAAUAAGUCUUCAAUUCAUCAUGCAUGAGUUUUUCUUGUUCUUGCCUCGUACACAUAUGUUUCUUGCUUUACUUUGUCUAAUGUUGUUGGUCUAAAGUUGCUUUGUCUAAGGUCAGAAAUUUCUCUCUUCCUUCCAUCAACUACCUCAUAACAAAACAAAUAAAUAAAAUAAGUACUUAUAAAAAAAAUAUUAAUAAUAAAAUAAUUUUUUAAUUUGAGAUUUAUCUUAAUUGAUUCAUAAGUUAUUGUUGAAACUUAGUAUCUAACAUGUUUGAAGUUCAAUUUUUCAUGUCUAUAACACCUUCUCUUCUCAUAGACCAUGAUUUUUUUUUUUAAAUUAUAAUAAUUUUUUUCUAAAUAAUAUUAUAUGUAAUCUUAGCAUUGGUGUUGUUUUAUGCUAAUUAAAGUUUAUAGCCUUUGUAAUUGCUUACAAGCAAAGUCAUUCAGAAGACAAAAAUGGAGAAUGAACUUUGGCACACCGGGCACUAGUGGAGUCAGAAAAAGGACAUCGUUUGGUGCAUUUCUUGUUUCAAUCCCAUUGUCACGCUACGCAAUAAAUUAAUAGGAACUUUUCUCUUUUUUUUUUUUUUUUCUCUAUAUCGUUUAAAAGGGAAUUUAAUUUAAAUUGUUCAAAAUUAAAUAAUAAGUGUUCAACUUCAAUGUUUAAUUAGACUACAUAUUAUCAUCUUUACGAGAUUAUACUUAUCUUUCCAUAUGUCUUCAAUCAUCACUUCUAAGUUUUUUUUUUUUGUCAUUUAUUUUUUUAUUUUCAGUUCAUUUUCUAAUUCGUAAUUAAUUAUACUUUUAUUAUCUCAUUUUCUUUAUCUAUCAUUUCCUAUUUGGAUAUUUUAAAAUUAUCAUCUUUGCAUUUUGCAACACAAAAUGCUUUUACUUGUAUGUAUGAGUAUAUUCCAAAAUUAUUUUGAUUUUUAAUACAUUUUAUAUUUAAAACCUCAAAAUAUAAGUUUUAUAUAAUAAAUUUAAGUUUUAAUAAAAUACACAAAAGUCUAAUAAGUAAUUUUCUUAAAUACCAUAAAAAUCAAAUAGAGAAAAUGAAAAUUUGAUGGAGGGAAUAUAAAUAAAAUUUUAAUGUGAAAAAUUAAAAGAAAAUGAUAUGUAUAUAUAAUUUGAAUAACUCCCGCAAUUGUAAUGAACCUUAAUAUUAAUAAUAUAUAAAAAUUAAAAAUGUGAAAUAACUGAUAUAUAUAUAUAUAUAUAUAUGAAAGGAAGAAAAUAAUUGUUUUUGCACACUACGACAAUUAAUGGGAUUUUUUCUUCAAUUCAUUAUUCAUGCAUGUUUUUCUUGUCAUUGUGUCGUACACAUGUUUCUUGCUUUGCUUUAUGUGUCUUAUGAUUCAUGAAUCCACUCAUGUCUGAGCGAAGACUUGACUUCUUCAAAUAAUUGAGGAGACAAAAGCAAACUCAUAAUACUAGUAAAAUAUAAAUGUGAAUCAUAAUUAUUAUUAAUUAGCUCUCUUAUUACCAUUUUAUUGAUGAUUAUGAAUUAUAAUUACCUGCACAAUGAAAUAUAUAUUACAUGAAUAAAAACAUAGAGUUUUAUUUAAAUGGUUUAUUCAUCUCUCUUAAAAAGUAGAUUCUCCUAAGAUAAGAUUUAAUUUUCAGUAUUUAUAAAUUUUCGUUUCUUAAUUUUUCCUAAAUUUUUAUCUCUUUUGUACUUAAGCUUAAUUGGCAAGUUUUCAAUUAGGUAAAAUCCAAUUUAACCCAAAAUUAUCUUUAUUAAACUUAUUUUAUUACUGUAUUACAUAACUUAAAAGUGAUAUUUCUAUUAUUAUACUUGAAUAAAUUUAUAUAAUCGUAAAAUUUUAUAAUAUAAACAUAUACUUAUUAUAUAUAAACAUAUAUAAACACACAUGUAUAUACAUAUCAAUUCUGUAAAAAAGAAUAUAUAUAAAUAUAUAUAUAAAUAAUAAAAAUUCACUUACACUAGUAUAAUCUUACACUUUUUUGGACCCUUUGAUAAAACUUAAAUUCAUAAAUCAUUUGAAUCAUAAUAAUAUUUUUAAAUUUAGUAAUUUUGAUCUAAGUAUCCAAAAAAGUAUAAAAGUUACAUUAAUAUAAGUAGAUCUUUCAUAUAUAUAUAUAUAUUUAUUAUAUAUAUAUAUAUAUAUAUACAUAUAUAUGGAAGGUGUUAGAUAUUAUGUACUCAACGUGUCAUUAUCUAACUUAAGAAAAUAUCUUUUGAUUCAUUUAAAAGAUAAUUAUGGUUUAAUACUUAUUAUUGCUAAAACUCUUAUGAUCAAAUAAAAACUAGUGAGAGUUAUUUUGUUAAUAACUCCUACAUUGAUGGAACAUAUGAAUAAUGAUUAUUGAUUAAAGAAAGAAAAAUUGCUCCUCUCUUUGCCUAUAAAUUAAUAAUCAAGAUGUUAUUUUGGGGCAUAUACUCCGAGACUCAAGGUAGUAAGGUAUAUCAGAAGCAAGGUAAUGAGAGAGAGCAGGAAGCAAUUAAAUAGAGUAAAGAGAGUUUAGUAGUGAAUCACAUAUUUGGUUUGAUUCUACCUUUUCUAUCUUAUGGGUGAUGACGUGGAUAAAUGGGCUUCCAUGUGUAAGACCCAUUAUAUGACUACUGACAUUACCACAUAACUGUAACAAUAAUGAAGUGCUUAAAAGGUAAUAACAUUUUUGUUAAAGAUUAAAAAAGAAAAUGAGACAGAAGAAAUCCUACAUUUAGACGUUACCAUUAAAGUGAUUAAUAAGUUCUUUAUUGUGAAAGAUGAUAAAACUUUAUUGUAAAUUUAAUUGUAAAUAAAAAGGACAAACUUGAAAAAGUGUUAUAUAUAUGUCGAAUUUUGGAUAAUUAUAAACCAUGAAAUAAAAGUCCAAAAAAGAAUAUCAAUAUAAUUAUUAAAUUGAAAUAGGUACUAUAAUUUGAGAAUAUAAUAUCAAGUAUCAUAUCGUUUUGUAAAUAUAAUAAAUAAUUUUAAAAAUUAAUUAUAAAUAAUAUAUAUAUAAAUAUAUAAUAAAAUUUUUAAAAAAUAUUAUACAUAUUAAUGGGAUCGAGUGAUUAAUGAAUAUAAACAAAAAGAUACCAUUAUUUUUCUAACUCUCAACGUAUUUUGUUUUUUAAAAAAAAUUAUAUUUGAUACAUUAUCAAUAUAUAAAUAUUAUAUCCUAUAAGUGAAUCACAUAAUUAUACUUUAUAAAAAUUGAUAUUCUAAUUUUGGACUCACAAAGACAAUGAUAGAAUAAGAUUUUUUUUUAUUGGUAUUUAGUCUUUUCUUUGCUUUAUAUUUUUAAGUCUUCCCAUCAUGCAAAUGUCUUAAGUCUUCUUGCCCCAUUAUUACUCUAUGAAAAAUAAUCUUCUUAGUAGUUUACUCAAGUCAAUUCUGUCUUCUUUUAAAAAAAAAAGCAAUAAUUUACUUAAUAGAGGUUCUCUUUUGUCUUCCAAUUAAAUUGACAAACUAAGAAUAGAUUUGAAAUUUAUUAACUAUUAUUACUAUAUUUUAGUAUUUUUAAUGACUUGAACUGAAGUAAACGCUAAUAUUAUUAUUUUUUUGAAGUAAAGAUUGGGGCAAAAUUAUAGAUACAUUUGCUUGCUUCAUACCAAGACUAAGUAUAAAGCAAAGACUAAGACUUAUCAUUCUUUCUUUGGUUUUCUUUUUCUUUCUAAAACUAAGUAUAAGUCUUAGUCUUUGUCGUUAUACUUAUUUUUGUGAAGUAAAGAUGGGAACAAAAACACUGACACAUUUGCAUGCUUCAUGCCAAGACUGAGCAUAAAGCAAAGACUAAGACUUAUCAUUCUUUCUUUGGUUUUACUUUUCUUUUUAAAACUUCCCUUAAUUUCUAUGAUAAGUCUUAGUCUUUGCGUUAUACUUCCCUUAAUUUCUAUGAUAAGUCUUAGUCUUUGCAUUAUACUUAUUUUUGUGAAGCAAAGAUGGGGGCAAAAACACUGACACAUUUGCAUGCUUCAUGCCAAGACUAAGCAUAAAGCAAAGACUAAAACUUAUCAUUCUUUCUGUGGUUUUACUUUUCUUUUUAAAACUUCCCUUAAUUUCUAUAAUAAGUCUUAGUCUUUGCUUUAUACUUAUUUUUGUGAAGUAAAGAUGGGGGCAAAAACACUGACAUAUUUGCAUGCUUCAUGCCAAGACUAAGUAUAGAGCAAAGACUAAGACUUAUCAUGUUUGUGAAGUAAAGAUGGGGGCAAAAAGAUUGACAUACUUUCAUCCUGCAGUAAUACACAUCCUAAGAAAAUUAGCUUUCCAUGAUUAUCUAUACCAAAUCAUACUCCAAUAAGCAAUCCGUAAGUGAUAGAACAAUAUGUAGUGUCAAAGGUACCAGCAUCACCAAAUACUGUAUAUGCACAAAUAGAAUCCGCAUAUGACCAUGAAAUAUUUUCAACCUUACUAUUUUCAUCUGUAGUAUAAUCAUAAACAAAAUUAGCAUCCCUCUCUGCAUAGCCAUGCAGGCCUCAAGAAGUUCGAAUGUAUCAUUUUCUCUUUUCUCGAUAAGCAAAGCAUCACUUUCCUGAACAAUCUUUUCACAAGUCCGUACAAAAUCCCUAGUAUCCUUCUUGAUAAAAGGCAACUGUCCGGGCUGGACUCCCUUUUCUAAUUCCAAAACCUUCAUAACAAUUUUUUAAAAAGACAGAAAAAAUAACAAUUUUCUCGAUGGAGGUUACCUUUUCUUUUCUAGUUAAAUUGGCAUAUUGAGAAUGGAUUUUAAGUAUAUUAUUAUUAUUAUUAUUAUUAUUAUUAUUAUUAAUUUUAGUUUUUUUAAUGAUUUAGACCGAAGCAACUGCUAAAAUUAUUAUUUUUGUGAAGUAAAGAUGGAGGCAAAAAGACUAACAUUUGCAUGCUUGAUGCCAAGACUAAGUAUAAAGCAAAGACUAAGACUUAGACCAAUACAUUCCUAUGGUAUCUAUUAUUUUCUUUCUUAUUCCACCAUUAUAAAAUCCUAAUUUCCAAAAUAAGUAAGUUUAAGAAGUAAGAAUGAAUGUGUUUUUUAGAUUUUUUUUUUCAAACCUUUCAACAAAAAUAAAACACAAGUUUUUAUUUUGUCGAUUUUUUUUUGCCAAUCAAUUUGUUGAUUAAGCAACUUGUUUUUCAUGCGAUUGUUCCAAAUGUACUUUUAGAUUCAUGGCAUGCUCAUUUUUUUUUUUUUAGUUUUUAUUUUUAAUAUAUUUUUAAAAGAUCCUAUGAUUUAAAAAUUCAAUGAACCAAUAACCAUGUAGUCUGUUAGUAAAAUGCAAAACUUUUAGUUUCAGUAGUUUAAAAUUCAUAUGCUGACAACCUCACAAACCAAAAAAAAAAAGACAAUCUUCUAAUUUCACAAAUUUUUUGUAUACAAGCUAACUUUUAUAUAUAUAUACCAAUUUCUUUAUGUAUGAUUAAUAAAGGAUUUAAAUUUUAUAAAUGGUAUUAGAAUCUCAUAUUUUCUGUAUGUAUGAUAUUUUCUCUUAAUUAUUUUUUUUCAAACCUAAAUGUAACUUUAUUAACUUAUCGAAUAUGAAAAUCUGGAAGUUAUUUAACUUAUCAAAAAUGUAUAUCUAGAAGCUUUAAAAUUAAAAUGAGAUGGAUAAAUAAGUGAUUUCACUUAAAAGAUUUAAAAAAAAAAGUGUAUGUAAAGAAAAAAAAAUGGUAUAUUUAGAAUCACCCAUCACAAAAUUAUACUUUAUAAAAAAUUUUGACAUUCUAAUUUUGGACUCAUAAAGAAAAUGAUAGUAUGAGAUUUUUUUUAUUGGUAUUUAUUCUUUUCUUUGCUUUAUACUUUUAAGUCUUGUCAUCAUGCAAAUGUUUAAGUCUUCUUGCUCCAUCAUUUCUCUUGUGAAAAAUAAUCUUCUUAGCAAUUUGCUUAAGUCAAGUCUAUCUUUUAGAAAAGACAAAAAAUAAAAACAUAGCAAUUUUCUCAGUGGAUGUCAUUUUUUGUCUUUUAGUUAAAUUAGCAAAUUGAGAAUGGAUUUUAAAUAUAUUAAUUAUUAUUGUUAUAUUUUAGUAUUUUUAAUUAUUUAGACUGAAGUAACUACUAAGAUUUUUAUUUUUGUGAAGUAAAGAUGGGGGCAAAAAGACUAACACAUUGGCAUGCUUGAUGCCAAACUAAGUAUAAAGCAACAACUAAUACUUAGACCAAUUCAUUCCCAUAGUAUCUAUCAAUUUCUUUCUUAUUCCACCAUUAUAAUGUCACAAUCUCCAAAAUAGACAAGUUUGAGAAGUGAGAAUGAGUGUGUUCUUUAGAUUUUUUUUUUUCAAACUUUUCAACAAAAAUAAAACAUAGGUUUUUAAUUUGUUAUUUUUUCUUUUGCUAAUCAAUUUGUUGACUAAGCAACUUGUUUCUAAUGCUUUUGUUCCUAAUGUACUAUUAGAUUUCAUGGUGUGUAUUUUUUUUAUUUUUUAUUCUUAUUAUAUUUUAAAUAGAUCCUAUGAUUUAAAAAUUCAAUGAGCCAACAACUAUGUAGUAUGUUAGUAAAAACUAAACUCUUAUUUUCAGUAGUUUAAAAUUCAAAUUCUAACAGCCUCAAAUAAAAAAAAAGAAAAAAUCUUUUGAUUUCACAAUUUUCAUGUAUAUUUCAAUUUCUUCACAUAUGAUUUAUAGAGGAUUUAAAUUUUAUAAAUAGUAUUAGAAUCUUAUGCUCUUUAGAUAUUUUCUGUCAACUAUCUUUUUCCAAACCUAAAUGUAAUUUGUUUUAAAUUACCAGAUAUGAAAACCCGUAUGUUCUAUAACUUAUCAUAAAUGCAUAUCUAGAAGUUUUAAAAUUAAAAUGAGAUGGAUAAAUAGGUAAUUUCACUUAAAAAUUAAAAAAAAGUAGAUGUAGGGAAAAAUGAUGAUGUACUUAGAAUCACCCAUCACAAAAUUAUACUUUUAUAAAAAGUUGAUAUUUUAAUUCUGGACACACGUAGAGAAUGAUAGUAUGAGAUUUUUUUAUUGGUAUUUAGUCUUUUCUUUGCUUUAUUCUUUUGAGUCUUCCCAUCAUGCAAAUGUCUAAGUCUUCUUGCCCUAUUAUUAGGCUAUGAAAAAGAAUUAUGAUAGGGCAAGAAAACUUAAACAUUUGCAUGAUGGGAAGACUUAAAAUUAUAAAGCAAAGCAAAGACUAAAUACCAAUAAAAAAAAUCUCAUCCUAUCAAUUUCUUUGCGAGUCCAAAAUUAGAAUAUCAAUUUUUUUUUAAUAAAGUAUAAUUUUGUGAUGGGUGAUUCUAAAUACACCAUCAUUUUUUUCUCUACAUUUACUUUUUUCUUAAUUUUUAAGUGAUAUUACUUAUUUACCCAUCUCAUUUUAAUCUUAAAGUUUUUAAAUAUGCAUUUUUGAUAAGUUACAUAACUUAUUGGAUUUUCAUAUCCGAUAAGUUAAAAAAAGUUACAUUUAGGUUUGAAAAAAAAGGUUAAGAGAAAAUAUCUUAUAAAAAGUAUGAGAUUCUAAUACCAUUUAUAAAAUUUAAAAACUCCAUUAAUCAUAUGUGAAGAAAUUGAACUAUAUAUAUAAAUAAAUUACCUCGUAUACAUGAAAUUUGUGAAAUCAAAAGAUCAUCUUUUUUUUUUUUGUAUGCGAGGUUGUUAAGAUUUGAACUUUAAACUACUAAAAUUAAAAAUCCAACAUUUUACCAACAAACUACAUGGUUAUUGGCUCAUUGAAUUUUUAAAUUAGAGGAUCUCUUUAAAAUAUAUUAACAACAAAAAAAAACUAAAGAAAGAAAUACAUAUACCAUAAAAUCUAAUAGUACAUUAAGAACAAAAAGAUGAGAAACAAGCUACUUAAUCAACAAAUUGAUUGGCCAAAAUAAUCAAUAAAUUAAAAGCCUGUGUUUUAUUUUUGCUGAAAAGUUUGAAAAAAAAAUCUAAAGAACACAUUCAUUCUCACUUUAUAAACUAGUCUAUUUUGGAAAUUGUGAUUUUAUAAUGGUGCAAUAAGAAAGAAAAUGAUAGACACUAUAGGAAUGUGUUGGUCUAAGUCUUAGUCUUUGCUUUAUACUUAGUCUUGACAUCUUUUUACACCCAUCUUUACUUCACAAAAGUAAUAAUCUUAGCAGUUGCUUCAGUCUAAAUCAUUAAAAAGACUAAAAUAUAACAAUAAUAAUUAAUAUACUUAAAAUCCAUUCUCAGUCUACUAAUUAAAGUGGAAGAUAAAAGAUAAUUUCCAUUGAGAAAAUUGCUAUGUUUUUUUUUCUAAUCUUUUUUAAAAGACAUACUGGACUUAAGCAAACUGUUAAGAAAAUUAUUUUUUCACAAGGUAAUGGUGGGGCAAAAUGACUUAAACACUUGCAUGAUGGGACAACUUAAAAGUAUAAAGUAAUGAAAAGAAUAAAUACCAAAAAAAAAAAACUCAUAUUAUCAUUUUCUUUGUGAGUCCAAAUUAGAACAUCAAUUUUUUUUAUAAAAGUAUAAUUUUGUGAAGGUCGAUUCUAAAUACACCAUCAUUUUUUUUCUACAUAUACUUUUUUUUUUAAUUUUUAAGUGAAAUUACUUAUUUAUCCAUCUCAUUUUAAUUUUAAAGCUUCUAGAUAUACAUUUAUGAUAAGUUAUAUAUCUUAUUAAAUUUUCAUAUCUGGUAAGUUAAAAAAAGUUAUAUUUAGGUUUAGAAAAAAAUAAUUAAUAGAAAAUAUCUUAUAGAAAGUAUGAGAUUCUAAUACCGUUUAUAAAAUUUAAAUCCUCUAUUAAUCAUAUGUGAAGAAAUCAAUAUAUAUAUGUGUGUGUGUGUAUAUAUAUAAUUAUCUCAUAUACAUGAAAUUUGUGAAAUCAUAAUAUUAUCUUCUUUUUUUUUGUAUGUCAGGUUAUGAGGAUUUGAACUUUAAACUAUCAAACUAGGAAUUCAAUAUUUUACUAAUAAAUUACAUGGUUAUUGGCUCAUUGAAUUUUUAAAUCAGAGAAUCUCUUUCAAAUAUAUUAACAAGAAGAAAACUAAAAAAAUAAAAUAAUGUAGACACCAUGAAAUCUAAUAGUACAUUAGAAAUAAAAACAUGACAAACAAGUUGCUUAAUCAACAAAUUGAUUGGCCAAAAAAAAAAACCAACAAAUUAAAAACCUAUGUUUUAUUUUUGUUGAAAAGUUUGAAAAAAAAAAUCUAAAGAACACAUUCAUUCUUACCUUUGAAGCUUGUCUAUUUUGAAGAUUGUGAUUUUAUAAUGGUGGAAUAAGAUAGAAAAUGAUAGAUACGAUGCGAAUGUAUUGGUUUUAGUCUUUGCUUUAUACUUAGUCUUGGCAUCAAAUAUGCAAAUGUGUCAAUCUUUUUGCCCCUAUCUUUACUUCACAAAAAUAAUAAUUUUAGCAGUAGCUUCAGUCUAAGUCAUUAAAAAUACUAAAAUAUAACAAUAAUAAUUAAUAUACUUAAAAUCUAUUGUCAAUCUACUAAUUUUACUAGAAGACAAAAGAUAACCUCUAUUGAGAAUAUUGCUAUGUUUUCGUAAGAUUUUUUUUAACUAUUUUUUUUCUAAACCUAAAUGUAACUUUUUUUAACUUACUGAAUAUGAAAAUCUGGUAAGUUGUAUAAUUAUAAAAAAUAUAUAUCUAGAAGCUUUAAAAUUAAAAUGAAAUGGAAAAAUAAGCGAUUUCACUUACAAAUUAAAAAAAAAAAAAGAUGUAUGUAGAGAAAAAAAAUGAUGGUGUUUUUGAAAUCACCUAUCACAAAAUUAUACUUUAUAAAAAAAAUUGAUAUCUAAUUUUGGACUUACAAAGAAAAUGAUAGUAUGAGAUUUUUUUUAUUGGUAUUUAUUCUUUUCUUUGCUUUAUACUUUUAAGUCUUCCUAUCAUGUAAAUGUCUAAGUCUUCUUACCCCAUCAUUACUCAAUCAAAAAUAACUUUCUUAGCAGUUUGCUUAAGUCAAGUCUAUCUUUUAAAAAAGAUAAAAACAUAGCAAUUUUCUCAAUGAAGGUUGUCUUUUUGUCUUCCAUUUAAAUUAGCCUGAGAAUGGCUUUUAAGUAUAUUAAUUAUUAUUGUUAUAUUUCAGUAUUUUUAAUGAUUUAGAUUAAAACAACUGCUAAGAUUAUUAUUUUUGUGAAGUAAAGAUAGGGGCAAAAAGAUUGACACAUUUGCAUGCUUGAUGCCAAGACUAAGUAUAAAGCAAAGACUUAAGACUUAGACCAAUACAUUCCCAUAGCAUCUAUCAUUUUCUUUCUUAUUCCACCAUUAUAAAAUCUCAAGUUCCAAAAUAGACAAAUUUGAAAAGUGAGAAUGAAUGUAUUUUUUAGAAUUUUUUUAAAAACUUUUCAGCAAAACUAAAACACAAGUUUUUAAUUUGUUGAUUUUUUUUGGCCAAACAAUUUGUUGAUUAAGCAACUUGUUUCUCAUGUUUUUGUUCCUAAUGUACUAUUAGAUUUCAUCACAUGUGCAUUUUUUUUUUAUAUUUUUUAGUUUUUAUUAUUAAUACAUUUUAAAGAGAUCUUUGAGUUAAAAAUUCAAUAAGCCAAUAUCCAUAUAGUCUAAUUAGUAAAAUGCUAAACUCUUAGUUUUUUAGUAGUUUAAAGUUCAAAUCUUGACAACUUCACAAAGAAAAAAAAACAAAUUUCUAAUUUUGCAAAUUUCAUGUGUAUGAGAUAAUUUUUAUAUAUUUUGAUUUCUUCACAUAUGAUUAGUAGAGGAAUUAAAUUUUAUGAAUGGUAUUAGAACCUCAUACAUUCUGGAAGAUAUUUUCCUUGAACUAUUUUUUUUAAGCAUAAAUGUAGCUUUUUUUUAACUUAUCAGAUAUAAAAAUCUAGUAAAUGGAAAUGUGAAUUUAGAAGCUUUAAAAAUAAAACUAGAUGGGUAAAUGGUAGUAUCACUAAGAAAAUUAAAAAAAAAAGUGAACGUAGAGAAAAAAAUGAUGGUAUGUUUAGAAUCAUCCAUCUCAAAAUUAUACUUUAUAAAAAACUUGACAUUUUAAUUUUGGACUUCCAAAGAAAUUGAUAGUAAUGAGAUUUUUUUAUUGAUAUUUAGUCUUUUCUUUGCUUUAUUCUUUUUAGUCAUCCAUCAUGUAAUUGUCUAAGUCUUCUUGUCCCAUUAUUACUCUAUGAAAAAUAAUCUUCUUAAUAGUUUGCUUAAGUCAAGUCAAUCUUUUAAAAAAGAUAAAAAGCAUAGCAAUUUUCUUAAGGGAGGUUGUCUUUUGUUUUCCAGAUAAAUUAGCAUAUUAGGAAUGCAUUUUAAGUAUAUUAAUUAUUAUUGUUAUAUUUUAAUCUUUUUAAUGACUUAGACUGAAGGAACUGCUAAGAUUGCUACUUUUGUGAAGUAAAAAUGGGGGCAAAAAGACUUACACAUUUGCAUGCUUGAUGCCAAAACUAAAUAUAAAGCAAAGACUAAGACUCAGACCAAUACAUUCCCAUAGUAUCUAUCAUUUUCUUUCUUAUUCCACCAUUAUAAUAAUAUCACAAAUUUCAAAAUAAACAAGUUUGAGAAGUAAGAAUGAAUGUGUUGUUUAGAUUUUUUUUCGUCAAACUUUUUAGAAAAAAUAAAACAUAUGUUUUCAAUUUGUUGAUUUGUUUUUUUGCCAGUUAAUUUGAUUAUUAAGGAACUUGUUUCUCAUGCUUACCUAAUGUACUACUAGAUUUCAUGGUAUGUCCAUUUUUUUUUUUUUAGUUUUUUUAUUGUUAAUAUGUUUUAAAGAGAUCCUCUCAUUUAAAAUUCAAUGAUGUCUAUUAAUAAAAUGCUAAACUCUUAGUUCCAAUAAUUUAAAGUUCAAAUCUUGACAACCUCAUGUACCACAAAAAAAAAAAAAAAAACAAUCCUUUAAUUUCACAAAUUUCAUUUAUACAAGAUAAUUUUUAUAUAUUUCAACUUAUUCACAUAUGAUUAAUAGAGUUUUUAAUUUUUAUAAAUGGUAUUAGAAUAUUAAUACAUAUCCUAAUAUUUUUAUAUAACUUUUAAUAUAUUUAUAAAAGGGUUUGUGACAACCCUCUAACACUUAUAAUCUAAAAACUCUACAAACUGAUUGCAUGUUCUAAGUUAUAUGAUUCAACAUAUACCAACCAAGUUAAUUAGUAAUUUAAUUGUUUGAUAAAUUUGAAGGUAAAAUGAAUGAAAUUUUUGCAGCCAAUAAGGAAUAUGCUUUUAUUCCCAGAAACAAACCAGAUGAAAUGGAUGAAGGUGAAGAAUGAACUAUUUUGGAACAAGAAAUCACUAGUAUUUGGAUUUUUGAAGCAUUAUAACAUCAAGAAAAUCUGACCACAACAACUAAACAUCUGCAUCAAGUUGCAUAUUUACAUCAGAGCAAUCAAAUGAUUCCACUGAUGUUUUCUCCUCUAUUCCCUCUAAGUGACACAACAUAUCAAACUCAACUUUGAACUCUUCAUACUAUGGCCUAAAUGGUAGAGAGAACCAACUUGAUAAUUUGGAAAGAACAUGCCAUGAACAUAUAACAUGUUCUAUAUUUGCCGAUUCUCUUGCAAUAGCAUCUUUCAGGUUAGAGUCAAUAACCAUUAGAAUCAAUCAACCCAUUUUGAGACCAAUUGUACCAAAAAUAAUUAAGUUAAACAUGGGUUAACUCUAUUAAUUAAUACUGAUAGCCUGAGCUCUUUUCACUAAAAUAACCAUAUCUCAAGAUAUCCAACUUAGAAUUAAGAUCUUUUUAAUACGUUAGAAACUAAAGUCAAUAAGUUUACUAACUAUAUAUGGCCCAUCUCGUGAUUCCUUAUAGAUUAAUUAAACAAUUUUUAUAAUCCAUGUCAUAUGCUGUUGUCAAACAGUAUGUAUACCUUCUAAUAAAAAUUACACAUUUAUUCAUAGGAAACUCAAAAUUCAAUUCCACUUGUUUUGUUGGAAAAUAAACUUAAUAACCUUUUCAAACAUAUAUGGCACAAUUUUUAAUUCCUUGUAUAAAAUUUAAGAUAAUUUUCAUAAUUCAACCUUGAUGAUGCUACCAUAUAGUCUGCAUAUCCUUAAGUAAAAAUUAGACAACUCUACAUAAAAAACUUGGAUUCGACUUCUGUUUAUUUCAUUAAAAAGUAGAUUCAACAUACUUUCCAACAAUAUAUAAUAAUCAUAGCAAUAAUCUAUCCAUUAAUACAUAAUUAUAUUUUAAUUCACUCUUGUAGAUCAUAGCAUCUCAUCUCAAAACAAAAUUUCUACUUCAAUAUUUAAAAACUCAAAUCCCCAUUUUCAGCCUUUAAACUCCAUUCAAUUAUCAUCAAUAAAUCUUAAGAACAUGAAAUAAACAAAGCCUAAUAAUUUACGCAAAUUGAUCAUGAAGAUUAAUGAAAGAUAUCAUAAUUUUCUUGGUUUUUCUCUCAAAACUUUAACUCCAUUUAAAAGCAACCAAAAUAGUAUAUUUAUCUUAAAUAAAAAUAGGGCUUAUGUCACCAUUAAGAGACUAACUCGAAUGUAGUCUCUGAUUUUGGAUUCUAUAUUUGAUUUUCAUGCUUUCUAACCUUAAGGAAGACCGGUAAGAAGAAUUCUCAUUUUCUUUUCUGUUUCAUUAUAACUGGAUUUUUCUUAGUAAAACACCUUAGCCACUUUUUCUUUAAUAAUUAACCUCUUAAUUAACUUAAUGAGCUUUAGUAAUAGUCUAGCCCAAUUAUCAUUUGGGUUGGGUAUUACAAAAUCACAUAUCUAUUUUGAUUCUACCUUUUCUAUCUCGUGGAUGACUACGUGGCUAACUGGGUUUCCAUGUGUUAAACCGACUAUAUGGCUGCUAAUAUUUUUCACUUAAGUGUAACAAUAAUAAAGAGCUUAAAAGAUAAUAGCAUUUUCGUUAAAGAUAAACAAAGAAAAUGAGACGGAAGAAAUCCUAUAUUUAGACGUUACAGUUAAAAUGAUUAAUAAGUUUUCUAUUGUAAAAGAUGAUAAAACGUUAUUGUAAAUUAAAUUCUAAAUAAAUGGAUAAACUUAUAAAAGUGUUACAUAUAUGUCAAACUUUGGAUAAUUAUAAGCCCUGAAGUAAAAGUUUGAAAAAGAAUAUUCGUAUAAUUAUUAGAUUGCACUAGGUAUUAUAAUUUGAGAAUCUAAUAUUAAGUAUCAUAUCGUAUCGUAAAUAUAAUAAAUUAAUUUUAAAAUUAAUUGUAAAUAAUAUAUAAAUAUAAAAAAAAUUAAAAAUAUUAUUCAUAUUAAUGGGAUUGAGUGAUUAAUGAAUAUAAACAAAAAGAUUUAUUAUUUUUCUAACUCUCAACAUAUUUUGUUUUAAAAAUAAUUUAUAUUUGAAACAUUGUCAAUAUAUAAAUAUUAUAUGCUAUAAGUGAAUCACAAAAUUAUACUUUAUAAAAAAUUAUUAUUCUAAUUUUGGACUCACAAAGAUAACAAUAGAAUGAGAUUUUUGUUGGUAUUUAGCCUUUGCUUUUCUUUAUACUUUUAAGUCUUCCCAUGCAAAUGUCUAAGUCUUCUUGCCCCAUCAUUACUCUAUGAAAAAAUAAUUUUCUUAAUAGUUUGCUUAAGUCAAUUCUAUCUUUUGAAAAAGACAAAAAAAUAGUAAUUUACUUAAUGGAGAUUAUCUUUUGUCUUCUAAUUAAAUUGACAAAUUGAGAAUGGAUUUUAAGUGUAUUACUAUAUUUUAGUCUGUUUUAUGACUUAGACCGAAGUAAAUGCUAAUAUUAUUAUUUUUGUGAAGUAAAGAUGGGGGCAAAAAGACUAAACACAUUUGCAUGCUUUAUGCCAAAGACUAAAUCUAAAGCAAAUACUAAGACUUGUCAUUCUUUCUUUGGUUUUACUAUUCCUUUUAAAACUUCCCUUAAUUUCUAUUAAGAUAAGUCUUAGUCUUUCCUUUAUACUUAUUUUUGUGAAGUAAAGAUAGGGAUGCUUCAUGCCAAGACUAAAUAUAAAGCAAAGACUAAGACUUAUCAUUUUUUCUUUGGUUUUACUUUUCUUUUUAAAACUUCCCUUAAUUUCUAUGAUAAGUCUUAGUCUUUGCUUUAUACUUAUUUUUGUAGAGUAAAGAUGAGGGCAAAAAGAUUGACACACUUUCAUCUUGCAGUAAUACACAUCCUAAGAAAAUUAUCUUUCCAUGAUUAUCUAUACCAAACCAUACUCCAAGAAGCAAUCCGUAAGUGAUAGAACACUAUGUAGUGUCAAAGGUACCAGCAUCAACAAAUACUGUAUAUGCUGGAAUAGAAUCUGCAUAUGACCAUGAAAUAUUUUCAACCUUACUAUUUUCAGCCGUAGUAUAAUCAUAAACAAAAUUAUCUUCCCUCUCUGCCAUAGCCUUGCCGGCCUCAAGAAGUUACGAUGUAUCAUUUUCUCUUUUCUCGGUAAGCAAAGCAUCACUUUCUUGAACAGUCUUUUCACAAGUCCGCACAAAAUUCCUUGCAUCCUUCUUGAUAAAAGGCAACUGUCCGCGCUGGACUCCCUUUUCUAAUUCCAAAACUUUCAUGAUACCAUUGACAGGAAACCCGGCUUUGGAGAGUAAAAGAAUUCUUUCCUGAUCUGCUUCCUGUAUUUUCCGAUAUGCCGGAAGCAAACUGACUUGGUCAUCUUCCAAUAAUUCAUGGUUAUUUACAUUACUAAAUUGUGAAACACACCAUUGAGUAACAUCAUGGAUGACUUCUUUUGUGGAAUAAAAUUUUGCAUCACAUCCACAUCGCACUGAAUUCCAGUCUCCCGGAUGCUCCACAUUGACCUUUUUUCUUAGUUGGUUAAACCCAUAUCUAUAACAGAUAAACUCUCGAUGGUAGAUCCCUAAAUUCUAGCUUUCUCUGGAGCAUGCUUUUGUUAUUGAAAAUCCAUUCUUCCGUGCAAAAUUGCUAUAGUACUCAAAAUAAUCAUCAUCACCUUUGAAUAUUUGACAUACAUAUGGCAUAAAGAUAGCUUCUGAUGAUAAGGAUGUUGAAGCUGUCUCAUUCUUUAUUACCUGAGAGUGCUGAAAGCUUACUGAUGUCUGAUCUUCUCCUUCAUACUUAACAUAACACUUCCAAUCACCACAUGGACACUGCUGAUGUCGAAUCCAAAUGUUUUUUGACGGUUUCAUUGUCAUGUUGUGGGAAAAGAAGUGAUAAAUUCCCAACCUUGAUGCUCUUCUUAGUACCUGGAGAAAGAGAAAGCCUUAAGAACUUCAUGAUCUUAGAUUUAUUAUUUGAGAUGAAAGAAAACAAAGACAUCCACCAGAAUAAAAAACAUCUUUUCCAAUAGGGAAGUGAAGGGGCUUAGCAGAAGUCCUGAACACCUUCCAAUUUCAGUAAGGAUAUUUUUCAGUAUAAUUUUUCUCACAUUAAUAAAAUUUUGGCCCCUGCGUGGGUGAGACUAUCGUUGCCCUUCCACAUAAAAGUCCUAUAAAGUGGAAACAGUUUUGUACUGGAAAAUCUUUUAUUCAGGGUAAGUUUUAACCAAAAUUGAAUCGGUAAAUGAUUAAUUUGUUUGUAAUGGAUACUUAUAAAUGCAAUACUUGCCAACUUUUGACUCCAUACCAAAGGGUUAAAGUUUCAAUAUGUCUCCCAACUGCUUAAAAGAAACAACUAAGAGUAUAAAAGAAACUAUAAGUCCCCUUCUAGUUGGAGCUUCUACUUUUUGCUUUUUGCUUUUAGAAGAAUUACUAGAAAGGAAAAGCCAAAGGUGAAAAAAAACAACAAUAUCAUAAUUGAUCUAAAACAGAAAAAAUAAUUAAAAUAUAAAAUCAAUUGUAACACAUUUAAUCUAUAUAGAAGUAGAAUUAUGUAGUUAAUCAUAAAAAAUUUACAUAUUUCAAAAUUUUAUUGCUUAUGGAAAUGCAAUUUUUGCUUUUUUGCUUUCGGAAGCAAAAAGCAAAAAGCAAAAAUCCAAUCAAACGGACUCUAAAUAAGACAAAACAACCAAGAACUUUACAUGGUUCACUAAUACAUUAAUUUUGCAUGAGUAAUUUUAUGUUCUCGAUAGUUCCCUUUUUUAGUAGUUUCUAUUUCUAGUUAUUAACUUAUAUUCUAAUUUUUUUUUAAUUUAAUUUUUAGAAGUUUUUUAGAAAUGAUUUAUGUAUGCACAGUGCUUGAAAUUUACAUUUUAUUUUGCAAUUACUUUAUUGUUUAUAGAAACAUCGUAUGAAGCAUAUUUUUUAAGACUAUGUUUAUGUAUACCAUAUACAUACAUACAUACAUCCAUACAUCCAUAUACACUAAUAUAAGGGCUACUUUUGAUAGUUUUAAUAGUUUAUGUAUAACUCUUAGUUUUAAUAGUUUAAAGUUCAAAUUCUGACAAUCUCAUAUAAAAAAAAUCUUCUUAUUUAAAAAAUUUCUUUUAUGCAAGAUAAUUUAUAUAUAUCUAUAAAUUUCUCCACAUAUGAUUAAUAGAAUUUUUAAAUUUUAUAAACAUUAUUAAAUCUCAUAUUUUUUGUAAGAUAUUUUCUCUUAACUAUUUUUUUCAAACCUAAAUGUAAUCUUUUUCAACUUAUCGAAUAUGAAAAUUCAGUAAGUUAUAUAACUUAAGAAAUGCAUAUCUAGGAGCUUUAAAAUUAAAAUGAGAUGAAUAAAUAAAUAAUUUCACUUAAAAAUUAAAAAAAGGAGUGGAUGUAGCGAAAAAUAUGAUGGUGUAUUCAGAAUCACCCAUCAGAAAAUUAUACUUUAUAAAAAAAUUGAUAUUCUAUUUUUUGAACUCACAAAGAAAAUGAUAGUAUGAGAUUUUUUUAUUGGUAUUUAGUCUUUUCUUUACUUUAUUCUUUUAAGCCUUCCCAUCAUGCAAAUGUCUAAGUCUUCUUGCCCUAUCAUUACUCUGUGAAGAUAAUCUUCUUAGCAAUUUGCUUAAGUCAAGUCUGUCUCUUAAAAAAGAUAACAAAACAUAACAACUUUUUCAAUGGUGGUUGUCUUUUUUCUUUUUUUCAAUUAAAUUGGCAAACUAGGAAUGGAUUUUAAGUAUAUUAAUUAUUAUUGUUAUAUUUUAGUCUUUUUAAUGAUUUAGAUUGAAGUAACUGCUAAAAUUAUUAUUUUUGUAAAGUCAAGAUGGGGGAAAAAAGAUUAACACAUUUGUGUGUUUGAUGCGUAUAAAGCAGGACUAAGAUUUAGACCAAUGCAUUCCCAUAGUAUCUAUCAUUUUUUUUCUUAUUCCACCAUUAUAAAAUCACAGUUUUAAAAAUAGACAAGUUUGAGAAGUGGGAAUGAAUGUGUUCUUUAAAAUUUUUUUUCAAACUUUUUAACAAAAAUAAAAUAUAGGUUUUUAAUCUGUUGAUUUUUAUUUUUUGCCAAUCAAUUGGUUGAUUAAGCAACUUCUUGCUCAUACUUUUGUUCUUAAUGUACUAUUAGAUCUCAUGAUAUGUGCAUUUUUUUAUUUCUUAGUUUUUUUAUUGUUAAUAUAUUUUAAAGAGAUUCUCUUAUUUAAAAUUAAAUGAGCAAAUUAAUAACCAUGUAGUUUGUUAGUAAAAUGUUGAACUUUCAUUUUCAAUAGUUCAUAAUUCAAAUCCUGAUAACCUCACAUAAAAAAAAAAAAGACAAUUUUCUAGUUUCAUAAAUUUCAUGUAUAUGAGAUAAUUUAUAUAUAUUUCGAUUUCAUCAUAUAUGAUUAAUAGAGAUUUUAAACUUUAUAAAUGGUAUUAGAAUCUCAUCCUUUAUGCAAGAUAUUUUCUCUUAACUAUUUUUUUUCCAAACCUAAAUGUAACUUUUUUCUAACUUACCAGAUAUGAAAAUCCAAUAAGUUAUAUCUAUAUGCUUUAAAAUUAAAAAAAGAUGGGUAAAUAAGUAAUUGCACUUAAAAAUUAAAAAAAAUGAUAUAGAGAAAAAAAUGAUGAUAUAUUCAUAAUCACCCAUCACAAAACUAUACUUUAUAAAAAAAUUGAUAUUUUAAGUUUGGACUCACAAAGAAAAUGAUAGUAUAAGAUCUUUUUAUUGGUAUUUAAUCUUUCCUUUGUUUUAUACUUUUAAGUCUUCUCAUCAUGCAAAGGUCUAAGUCUUCUUGCCCCAUCAUUAAUAUGUGAACAUAAUCUUCUUAGCAAUUUGCUUAAGUCACGUCUACCUUUUAAAAAAGACCAAAAAAAAAAAACAAUUUUCUCAAUGAAAGUUAUCUUUUGUCUUCUAGUUAAUGGCACACAAGGAAUGGAUUUUAAGUAUAUUAAUUAUUAUUGUUAUAUUUUAAUCUUUUUAAUGACCUAGACUGAAGCAAUUGCUAAGAUUAUUUUUGUGAAGUAAAGAUGGGGGCAAAAUGAUUGACACAUUUGCAAGCUUGAUGCCAAAACUAAGUAUAGAGCAAAGACUAAGACUUAGACCAAUACAUUCCCAAAGUAUCUAUCAUUUUCUUUCUUAUUCUACCAUUAUAAAAUCACAAUUUUCAAAAUAGAGAAGUUUGAGAAGUGAAAAUGAAUAUAUUCUGUAGAUUUUUGUUUUUCAAACCUUUCAGCAAAAAUAAAACACAAGUUUUUAAUUUGUUGAUUUUUUUUGGCCAAUCAAUUUGUUAAUUAAGCAACUUCUUUCUCAUGCUUUUGCUCCUAAUGUACUAUUACACUUCAUGGUAUGAGCAUUUUUUUAGUUUUUUAUUGUUAAUAUACUUUAAAGAUAUCCUUUAAUUUAAAAAUUCAAUGACCUAAUAACCAUAUAAUUUGUUAGUAAAAUGCUAAACUCUUAGUUUCAGUAGUUUAAAAUUUAAAUCCUGACAAUCUCACAUAUAAAAAAAUAAAAAAAAAAGACAAUCUUCAAAUGAAAAAAUUUCAUGUAUAUGAGAUAAUUUAUAUAUAUAUUUUAAUUUCUUUACAUAUAAUUAAUAGAGUUUUUAAAUUUUAUAAACAGUAUUAAAAUCUCAUACUUUCUAUAAGAUAUUUUCUCUUAAUUAUUUUUUUUUCAUACCUAAAUGUAAUUUUUUCUAACUUACCAGAUAUGAAAAUUCUGUAAGUUAUAUAACUCAUCAAAAAUACUUAUUUAGAAAUUUUAAAAUUAAAACAAGAUGAGUAAAUAAGUAAUUUCACUUAAAAUAUUUUUUUAAAAAGGUGGAUGUAGAGAAAAAAUGAUGGUGUAUUUAGAAUCACCCAUCACAAAAUUAUACUUUACAAAAAAAAAAUUGAUAUUCUAUUUUUGGAUUAACAAAGAAAAUGACAGUAUGAGACAUUUUUUAUUGGUAUUUAGUCUUUUCUUUACUUUAUACUUUUAAGUCUUCCCAUCAUGCUAAUGUCUAAGUCUUCUUGUCCCAUCAUUACUCUGUGAAAAAUAAUCUUCUUAGCAAUUUGCUUAGUCAAGUCUUUCUUUUAAAAAGACAAAAAAUAGCAAUUUUCUCAAUGGUGGUUGUUUUUUAUCUUCUAAUUAAAUUGGCAAACUGGGAAUGGAUUUUAAGUAUAUUAAUUAAUAUUGCUAUAUUUUAGUCUUUCAAUGACUUAGACUGAAGCAAUUGCUAACAUCAUUUUUUUUGAAGUAAAAAUAGGGGCAAAAAGAUUGACAUAUUUGCAUGCUUGAUGCCAAGACCAAGUGUGAAGCAAGGACUAUGAUUUAGAUCAAUGCAUUCUGAUAGGAUCUACCUUUAUCUUUCUUAUUCCACCAUUAUAAAAUCACAAUUUCCAAAAUAGACAAAUUUGAGAAAUGGGAGUGAAUGUGUUCUUUAGAUUUUUUUUUUCAAACUUUUCAACAAAAAUAAAAGAUAGGUUUUUAAUUUGUUGAUUUUUUUAGCCAAUCAAUUUGUUGAUUAAGCAACUUGUUUUUAUGCUUUUGUUGNNNNNNNNNNNNNNNNNNNNNNNNNNNNNNNNNNNNNNNNNNNNNNNNNNNNNNNNNNNNNNNNNNNNNNNNNNNNNNNNNNNNNNNNNNNNNNNNNNNNNNNNNNNNNNNNNNNNNNNNNNNNNNNNNNNNNNNNNNNNNNNNNNNNNNNNNNNNNNNNNNNNNNNNNNNNNNNNNNNNNNNNNNNNNNNNNNNNNNNNNNNNNNNNNNNNNNNNNNNNNNNNNNNNNNNNNNNNNNNNNNNNNNNNNNNNNNNNNNNNNNNNNNNNNNNNNNNNNNNNNNNNNNNNNNNNNNNNNNNNNNNNNNNNNNNNNNNNNNNNNNNNNNNNNNNNNNNNNNNNNNNNNNNNNNNNNNNNNNNNNNNNNNNNNNNNNNNNNNNNNNNNNNNNNNNNNNNNNNNNNNNNNNNNNNNNNNNNNNNNNNNNNNNNNNNNNNNNNNNNNNNNNNNNNNNNNNNNNNNNNNNNNNNNNNNNNNNNNNNNNNNNNNNNNNNNNNNNNNNNNNNNNNNNNNNNNNNNNNNNNNNNNNNNNNNNNNNNNNNNNNNNNNNNNNNNNNNNNNNNNNNNNNNNNNNNNNNNNNNNNNNNNNNNNNNNNNNNNNNNNNNNNNNNNNNNNNNNNNNNNNNNNNNNNNNNNNNNNNNNNNNNNNNNNNNNNNNNNNNNNNNNNNNNNNNNNNNNNNNNNNNNNNNNNNNNNNNNNNNNNNNNNNNNNNNNNNNNNNNNNNNNNNNNNNNNNNNNNNNNNNNNNNNNNNNNNNNNNNNNNNNNNNNNNNNNNNNNNNNNNNNNNNNNNNNNNNNNNNNNNNNNNNNNNNNNNNNNNNNNNNNNNNNNNNNNNNNNNNNNNNNNNNNNNNNNNNNNNNNNNNNNNNNNNNNNNNNNNNNNNNNNNNNNNNNNNNNNNNNNNNNNNNNNNNNNNNNNNNNNNNNNNNNNNNNNNNNNNNNNNNNNNNNNNNNNNNNNNNNNNNNNNNNNNNNNNNNNNNNNNNNNNNNNNNNNNNNNNNNNAUUCAGUGUUCCAAGGCACCAAUACAUGAUUGUGUUUAAUUCCAUUUGUGAUGGCAUAGAAAACAUUGUAUAAUUUGUCAUAUAUAUGAAAAUGAACUAAAUGGGAUGAAAUUUUCUUUCUUAUUCAUAUAAGAAAGAUAUGACUAUGGAGAUAGAAUGCCAUCAUCCAAUUAAUACAUUAUUGGUUAAAGAAAAUAAAGGUAUUUUUGCUUCUUGUACCUGAAAAAAUGGUCUUUUAUAGGCUGUUUUAAAAUGAAAACUGAACAAGUUUUUAGAGGGUUUUUAAUAGUAUCAUGGACAAAUGGCCAAAGAUGUGGCUUGGUUAUAUACCAGUAUUAACAUAUGGGCGUUAAAUUAAUAAAUUGGGUUUGUGAAAGCUGUAGCCUUAGAGUUAGGCAAUCAAUGAUUUAACCAACAUUGAAAUUCAUUCAUGAAUUUUUACAUGAAAUUAUGAGUAGAACUUUAGGAUUAUAAUUAUUGUUUAUAUUAGUGUAUGAAAAUGAUUAUUUGGAAUUCAUGUUUAUGACUUGCAUUUGAUAUAGUGAUCUAGAUAUGAACAUAUUGGUCACAAAUGAUUGUGAAAAUAUUUAAAAUUAGAGUUAAAUAUACUAUUAGACACUAUUGUAAAUAAGCAUAUUGGUCUUAUGAGUAAAGUUUUAAUUUAUUAUAUAUCCAAAAAUGUUUUGACCAAUUAAAAGGUGUUAAAUAACAAGAUAUAUAGGCUACACAAUGGUGGAGAGAAAUAAAGUUCUCAUAAAAUUUUGAAAUCAAGUUUAGAGGUUUCAAUAAUCAUGAACUUGGGAAUUGGCUAUUGGGCAAUUACUAUAUGCAUUGAAAACUCAUGAUAACAUUUGAGAUGGUUGGCUUUCACUAAAAGACAUCAUUAUAACUGAGAUAAUUUUAAUAGCCAAAUCUACAUGAUUUUUAGGUAUGAGGUGGAUUAUUAUGGUGGGAGUAGAAUAGCCAUAAGCCAAAAUUGAUGCCACAAUCUUGAUCAUGUUGUGGUAAUUUUUGUUACGUAUAUGGUCUACUUCAUAGAUUGUACAAAUGAUUUAUCAUCUAUGGUUUUAUAGAGUUAAAAUUUCAAAGUAUAUUUACUUUGGAAGCCAUGAGUGAUUCAAAGAUCUUAUGAAUUUGAAAACUUUUAUAAUAGCAAAAAGAAUGCUAUUUGAUCCAUUUGGGUGAUGAAAGUGGUUUUGUUCAUGGUAAUAAAAAAUUAUUAAUAGUGUCCAUGAUGAAAUAGAUUCAUAUAAAUAUUUAUGUAUUGACAUAAAAGUCUUAAAAAGAGAUCAUAGAAGCAUGAUUAUAUAUGAAAUCUAAUUAUUGAUAUAAACUCUUAUAUUAAGUUAAAAUAUAAAAGUUUUAGAACUUUUAUUGAAAUAUUAAAAUAUCAGCUAAUUAUCUUUCAUUAAGAAUGGAUUUGGAGGCCUCCUACUUAAAAAGAAAAAAGCCACCAAAUAGUUAAAAGAUAAAUGAAAUGACAAUUUGAUUAAAUAUAUAUGAUAUCUUGACAAUUGAAUAAGAUAUUCUUUAAUAAAAGAAUGCAUACUUGCACAUGGUGGGGGUGAUAAGAAUCAAAAUAAAUAAAAAUUACCACCAUAGUGUUAUAAGAUUUUAUUAAAAUUUUAUGAGCAAAUUAUAUAAGCUAAUAAGUUUAAACAUUUAUUAAAGUAAAGUCAUAAAAAAAGUCCUUAAAAAUCUUAGAAGGACUAAAAUUGUUUGGUUUAUUCAUUGAGUUUAUCUAAUUGUACUAGAAGUAUAAUUGUAUUAAAAAUGUAUAAAAGUAUGGAAAUAGAGUGGUUGAAAUUAAUAAAUAUAGAGUUGUGGCCACAACCAAAACCAACCAUUUCUUAAAAUGAUAAGAAUUAGGCAACAAUGUCCAAAGCAUAUAAAUGAUAUACAAAACAUACUAGCCUGAAGUAAUUAUAUUAGAGAUUCAAUCUCAAGUGGGGAUAAUUACCAUAAAAGAAAUUUGAAUUUCAAAAUAUUUGAUUUGUAGUAUUACAACUAGAAUGGAUUUAAACCCUUACUAUUAGACACCGAUAAUGGGAACUAAACUUUGAAUUAGUAAUCUGUAAUUACAAAGUUUAAUGGGUAAAAAUAAGUUAUUAUUACAUGUCUAUUAAACACUAAUAAAAUCCAUUUAAAUUUUAGAAACUAGUGUGAUCCAUUGCAAGGGGAGGAUAAGUUUUUAUACUUUUAAUGGAGUUUUAAAUGUCUAAAAAAAUGGAGACAUAAUAGAAACUUACCUAUAUUAACAUAGAAGUGGUGCCGCUUCAACAAGACGAAUUGGGUCUCUCUUGUAAAUGUUUAUGAAUAGGAUAAGCACAUAGCCAUAACAGUGCUAAAAACGGUUAUAAACCUCCUACAAAAGAAUAAAUAAGAAUUAUAUGUGUUAUACUUUAAUUCUAAUACCAAGAGUUGACGUUUAAUAUACGGAUACCAUCAACUUUAUUAGAAUUUUAAGAUAUAUACACUAAUUGAAGGUUUAAAUCGAGAAAUACUUUCUUGUAUUCAUAAUAUUUAUUAGUGUGAAAGGUAAAAAUUAAGCACCAACAUUCCAAACUAAUGGGGUAUUGUUGGUAGUUUAGAAUGUGGUGCAUCUCACAUUGGAUAGAAAGAUUUAAUUAUUGAUAGAUAAAAUUAAUUUUUGUAUGAAUUUAUUCAUAUUUUAAAUAAUUAUGUUUGAAUAAAAAUAAUUAUCAUAUGACAUAUGGUCAUAACUAUUUGAAUAUAAAUAAAUUAUUAUUCAUAAAGGUCAUGAUUAUAUAGAAUAUCAUAAUCAUCUGAAUAUAAGUUUAUGUCUUUUCAUUUAUUAUAAAUAAAUCUUUUAGUAUAACCAUUUUCACUACUUUUGAUUGGAGAGUUUGAGAUUAAUUUCUAUUAUUUCUCUUCUCUUAUUUAUUUUUUCUAACAUAUACAACUUCUCUCCCCCUAACCUUGUGUUUUCUCCCCCAAAGCCUCCUCUGCUCGUUUAAGAACUUUCUCUCGUAUAGCAUGAGCAUCUUCUGUAAACUUGGUCUCAGUUUCUAAGGUUGCCGUAGCUCUGCUAUCAUUUCAAACUUGAAUUUCCUUCGAAGACUCACAUUGAAAAAUCGGUUUAUCAAAUUCUGUAUUUGUUUCAGUGGGAGCAGCACUCCUGGAGGAUUCAGUUGAAAAGUAUAACUUAUUGUUAGGCUGCAAGCCUUUUUCUGAUUGUGCAACAGAGAUGUGCCAUUUCUGGAGUCUUCAUCUUCAUCUUCAUCUUCCUUUGUUGUCCUUUUCCUUAUGUUUUUGGCCUUUGUUGGCUUCCUAAAUAAAUUGCAGACUGAAAAAUCAAAGGGUCGGCUAUAUAAGUAAAUAUACAUAUACACCUUUAAAAGGAAAAAAAAAAAAAAAGAAAAAAAUUUUACUUGUUCAGAUUGUUAAGGUUCUUUUCCUAGAUACUGGGGCUCGCUUGAAUCUGUCAUCUUAACAGAAAAAAGAGCAAAGGUUUUAUAAGUUCCUUGCCUCAAGCAAGAUGAACUUCAAAUCGUUUCCGAUUGCUUCUUCAACACUUGAAAGAAGGUUUUAAACAAAGUGUCUCAAAAUCCUUAUUACUGUUAAUUAAGGUAAUGAAUGAUACAUGAUCAACAAGCUAACUGUUGUCAUAACAAGAUAAAAUCAAGCUUUCUCUCAUGAAAAGGCUAUAUGCUCAAUUUUACCCUAAAUCAUAAAUUUCUAUUUAUGUAAGAAAGUGAAGGAAUUAAAAUUUUUAUCCAAAUCACAAAAUGUAUUGGAGAAUUAGUAAGAAUCGGCCUUCAUCAAACACCUCCUUAUGUUUGAAGGCCUUCCUCAAGAAUACAAUUGUUCAUCCUGUGAACCCACUAAGAAGCCCAUUGUACGGCCCAACAUAUGGAUGGCUGUGCUGCGCAUGUAGCAGGGGAUGCAAAAUUCCCAUGUACUUGGAACAAUUUCCUAAGAGAAGAGAAUUUUAAAAAGCUAAUCAAAAUCAAAGAGAGUUUCAACAAAAUGAAACCUGAUGAAACACAGGGAAAUGGGUAGAAUCCAUAGAAUCUCUAAGGUAAACAUCGCCAGUUACAAGUAAAAGAGUGUGUCCCCUUCUCAACAGCUCUGCUUGAUGAGCACUUGUCUGACACCUCAGUACAGUUUGAGAGUCAACGUAACAUGUAUCAUUAUAGCUCCUGCUUACAUGAUCAGCAGGCACAAGGACCCUAUUGGCUGGUCAUACUGUUUGCAUAGCUCCAAAAACAGCUCUACCGAAAUGUAAAAGCCUUUUUGGAUUGGAGAGAUGGAAUGAUAUUCAAAAUCGCCUGGUCAAAUUAAAAAGCUCACUACAGAGACCAUGUAUUUUGGAACAACAUACUUUAAUGGGCCAUAUGUAGGGAGAGAGCAAUGUUUAUAAACUCAAUAUAUUAGCAAAACUAUUCUUUCCCUUGCACUCACUAACCCGCACACAAUCCCACAGGGGUUCAAGCCUACUGGGUAACUUAUGUAAUCCUAAGUUAAAACACAACCUUUGGUGAUCUACAAAAGCCCAUACAGAUACAAAAUUCAGAUCUUUUUUUUUUUAAAUUUUUCAAAGAUCCUUGUAAUACCCGUAAAAAAAAAGGGGGGGGGCUAUUUUAAGUGGGGGUUUAGUAAAGACUGAGAAAUGUAGAUGACCUAUUGAUAAAUAACUCAAUUUUUUUUAAUAGGGUUAACUUAUUUAGUUUUCAGUCGACGACUAAUCGAAAGAAAAAUACAAACUUAUUUUUCCUCUAUUUCUUAUACAGAAAAGAUAAAUUGAAGGAUUCCAAGUGAAGGGAAAGAACUAAUCUACAAGGAAAAUUGUCUAUCAAAGGUAAGUAAAUAAUCUCUUUCAAUUUUAGAAUAUUGAUUGUUAAGUCUUGAAGUGUAAUUUGUAAUCGUUCCAUUAUCUCUCUUCGGGCAGAUAAUUUAGGCUUUAAUUAGGGUCAAAUUAAGUGUUGAGAAAGUUGGUAAUGUGAUUUUAUUGCUGAAACAGAAAUUUGAUGAGAAUAGAAAGGAAAAUUUUUGUUUCAUAUGAAUCCUGAUAUGAAUCUUGUGUUUGUAGUGAUGGAUUAAGGUUAUAUUCUGUAUUAAAAGGUUAAAUAUUGCUAUGAUAAUUAUAUAUCGUUGAAAAGCAUGUUGAAUCUACUUUCUAAUGAAACAAACGGGAGUCAAAUUCGAGUUUUCUAUAAAGAGUUAUCCAAUUUUUACCUAAGGAUGUGCAGGCUGCCUAGUAGCAGCAAUAGGGAGGAAUUUCGAAAUUCCUCUUAAUUUUUAUACAAGAAUUUACAGAUUAAGCUAUAUAUGUUUGAAAAGCCUAUUGAUUCUACUUUCCAAUGAAUUAAGCAGAAUUGAAUUUGGAGUUUCUUAUGAAUAAAUACGUAAUUUUUAGGAGAAGGGAUACAGGCUGUCUGGCAGCAGCAUAUGACGUGGAUUGCAAAAAUUUUUAUAAUUAAUCCACAAGGAAUCACGAGAUGGCUCAUAUAUGGUUAGAAAGCUUGUCGAGUCUAGUUUCUAACACAUUAAAAAGAUUUUAAUUCUGAAUUUGAUAUCUUGAGAUAUGGUCAUUUUAGUAAAAGUAGUGCAGGCUGCCAGAAUUAGUUACUUGAGUUAUUUCUUAUUUAGAUUAAUUGUUUUGGUAUAAGCAGUCUUAAAUGGGUUGAUUAACUACUAUUAUGUUGAAAUUAUCUUGAAUAGGCCAUUAAUUAUUGAGGGAAAAAAACUAUGUGGCAGAAUCGGAAAGAGGUAAGUAGAAUCACACUUUGCUUGUUUUUGAAUCAAUGUAUAUAUAUGUUUUUCUAAAUGAAUAAAUGUUUUAUUUCUUUAUUUUCGACAUAUGAAAAUAGGAUCAAGCAUAUGAUUGUUUUGUGUUUUGCUAUGUAAAUAAUGGUUCAUGUUUAUGAAUGAAAUGAGAAAGUGAUUUUUGUUUAAAAGAAUGAUUUUAUGAUAGCUACGUUUUUACAUCUCUAGGAAGUGGAGUCUUCGACACCAGAACUAGUUCUACGGCCCUAGCUAAUGGUUUAUAAUAGUUAGCAAAGAAAUGAUCAUACGACCCUGUUAACGGGUUAUAGUAGUUAGUGUAAGGCCCUAGCUAGCGGGUUAUAAUAGUUAGCAAUGAUCAUAAGGAUGAAAUUGUUGAUACGGCCAAUGUCACGGGUUAUAUUAGUAACCAUAGCUAACAAUAAAUGAAUGAUAAUGAUGGUUUGUAAUGAAUGAUUUUUUUAUAAAUUGAUCUAUGAUUUGGUGACAUGUUUUGAUACUGAUUUACGAUCUAUGAAUACUUAAUAGAAUGCCGAUAUUUGAAUUAUUUUUGACAUUAUGCGUUGAUAAAUGUUUUAAAGAAUGAUCUAUAUAGUACGUAUGAAAAUGAUGUUUGAUCUGGUAAGAUGUGUGAGCCUAUACUUACUGAGCUAUAGUUUGCUCAUUCCCUAUUUUCUUUUCUUUUACAAAUAUUAUAAAUGAUAAGUAUGAUUAGUCUUGAGAGGAGCUAGAAGAAUCAACCAUUGGAGAACUACUUAGAAAUUAGGAUUUUAUAAAGUAUUGUUUUUUUUAGUUGUAAUACUUGACUUUGAACCUUUGGAGACUUGUUAUUUAGUUAUUUUCUUAAUGAGAACCUUAUUAUACUUGAGAGUUGUUCAAUGAUUAUGGAUUAGGCUUCAUAUUGCUUUGGGAUUUUACUUCAAAGUAAUAUGGCCGUGUUAUGUCUCAAUCUCAGGAUGUGACAAUCCUAAACCAAUUAUUCUAAAACAGAGCAUAAGAUUGAUUGUGCAGAAAAAAUUGGGCAGAGAUUAUCAAACUCAUCAAACAUGUUGGGGUAAUUAGUAUUGAAAUAGUCAUAUAUUCCAUUCUUCGGUUAUUCCUGCUAUGGAGCUACAUUCCCAGAUUUGAAAAAAAUUGUAUCCGGAAACAUUGUUUGUUAGAUCACCUCACCACAUCUACAAAUCCCACCAUCCAAACAUACUAAAUCAUUCAUAAAUUAUAAGUCAUGGAUCAGAUUUCACCAAUAACAAAAUAUCAAAGCAUGUUACCGUUCAAAUAUUCAAACCAAAAAACUCAAUAAUAGAUUUUGAUUACUGACACUUCAAUCAUGUAAUCCACCUAGACUACAGAUGCAUAUUUUGUUUAUGAUUAUUACUACAGAUGAAAUUUAAGGUUUGAAAAUAUUUCAUGGUCAUAUGGAGAUUCUGUUCGUGCAUAUACAGUAUUUUGUGAUGCGGUUUCCUUUGACACCACAUAUUGUUCUAUCACCUAUGGAUUGCUUCUUGGAGUAUGGUUUGGUAUAGAUAAUCAUGGGAAGCCAAUUUUCUUAGGAUGUGUAUUACUGUAAGAUGAAAGUUCUAAUUCUUUUGCUCGGGCUUUACAGUUUCGUGGACAUAAUUAAUUGUGAUCAAUCUGUAAUUGUCUUAUUGUCUAUUUAUGAUUUUCUUCUUUUGAACAGACUUUUCUUCGUUUUAUGAGAGUUAAACGUCCACAAACAAUUCUAACGGAUAUUGAAUCUAGCCUAAGAGAUGCUGUUGCAAGGGAAUUGCCAAAUACAAAACAUGUUAUAUGUUCAUGGCAUGUUCUUUCCAAAUUAUCAAGUCGGUUCUCUCUACCACUUGGGACACAGUAUGAAGCGUUCAAAGCUGAGUUUGAUAUGUUGUGUCACUUACAGGGAAUAGAGGAGAAAACGUCUGUGGAAUCAUUUGAUUGCUCGGAUGUAAAUAUGCAACUUGAUGCAGAUAAUUUUUAAUUUUGGGGAAGAGAGAGAAGGAAUGAAAUUGAGAGAUACUGUUUUUUUCUUUUGAAAUUUUACCAUGAUGUUUAGUUGUUGUAGUCAGAUUUUCCUGAGGUUAUGAUGCUUCAGAAAUCCAGAUACUAGUGAUUUCUUGUCCCAAAAUAGUUCAUUCUUCACCUUCAUCCAUUUCAUCUGGUUUGUUUUCCGGGAAUAAAAGCAUAUUCCUUAUUGGCUGCAAAAUUUUCAUUCAUUUUACCUUCAAAUUUAUCAAACAAAUAAAUUACUAAUUGACUUGGUUAGUAUAGUUGAAUCAUAUAACUUAGAAAAUGCAAUCAGUUACUAGAGUUUUUAGAUUAUAAGUGUUAUAAAUAUAUUAAAAAAUUAUAUUAAAAAUCUUAGGAUAUGUGUUAAUAUUCUAAUACCGUUUAUAAAAUUUAAAAACUCUAUUAAUCAUAUGUGAAGAAAUUGAAAUAUAUAAAAAUGAUCUCAUAUAAAUGAAAUUUGUGAAAUUAAAGGAUUGUCCUUUUUUUUUUUUUUGGGUACAUGAGGUUGUCAAGAUUUGAACUUUAAAAUUAUUGAAAUUAAGAGUUUAGGAUUCUACCAAUAGACCACCUAAUUGUUGAUUUAUUGAAUUUUAAAUGAGAGGAUCUCUUUAAAAUAUAUUAAUAAUAUAAAACUAAAAAAAUAAAAAAAAUGCACAUACCAUGAAAUCUAGUAGUACAUUAGGAAAGCAUGAGAAACAAGUUCCUUAAUAAACAAAUUAACAGGCAAAAAAAAAUCAACAAAUUGAAAACCUGUGUUUUAUUUUUUUCUAAAAAGUUUGAUGAAAAAAAAUCUAAAGAACAUAUUCAUUCUUACUUCUCAAACUUGUUUAUUUUGAAAAUUGUGAUAUUAUUAUAAUGGUGGAAUAAGAAAGAAAAUGAUUAGAUAUUAUGUGAAUGUAUUGGUCUAAGUCUUAGUCUUUGCUUUAUACUUAGUCUUAGCAUCAAGCAUGCAAAUGUGUAAGUCUUUUUACUCCAUCUUUACUUCACAAAAAUAAUAAUUUUAGCAGUUGCUUCAGUCGAAGUUAUUAAAAAGAUUAAAAUAUAACAAUAAUAAUAAUUAAUAUGCUUAAAAUGCAUUCCCAAUAUGCUAAUUUAAUUGGAAAACGAAAGACAACCUCUAUUAAGAAAAUUGCUAUUUUUUUUAUCUUUUUUAAAUGAUUGACUUGAUUCAAGUAAACUGUUAAGAAGAUUAUUUUUCAUAGAGUAAUGAUGGGGCAAGAAGACUUAGACAAUUGCAUGAGGGGAUGACUUAAAAGAAUAAAGCAAAAAGAAAAGACUAAAUAUCAAUAAAAGAAAUCUCAUUACUGUCAUUUUCAUUGUGAGUCCAAAAUUAAAAUAUCAGGUUUUUUUUAUAAAGUAUAAUUUUGUGAUGGGUGAUUCUAAAUAUACCAUCAUUUUUUUCUCUACAUUCACUUUUUUUUUUUUAAUUUUCUUAGUGAUACUACCUAUUUACCCUUCAAGUUUUAUUUUUAAAGCUUCUAAAUUCACAUUUCAAAAAAAAAUGCAUUUCCCAAUAUGACUAAUUUAUUGGGAUGAGAUUCUAAUAUAAGACAACCUCUAUUAAGAAAAUUGCUAUUUUUUUAUCUUUUUUAAAUGAUUGACUUGAUUCAAGUAAACUGUUAAGAAGAUUAUUUUUCAUAGAGUAAUGAUGGGGCAAGAAGACUUAGACAAUUGCAUGAGGGGAUGACUUAAAAGAAUAAAGCAAAAAGAAAAGACUAAAUAUCAAUAAAAGAAAUCUCAUUACUGUCAUUUUCUUUGAGUCCAAAAUUAAAAUAUCAAGUUUUUUUUAUAAAGUAUAAUUUUGUGAUGGGUGAUUCUAAAUAUACCAUCAUUUUUUUUCUCUACAUUCACUUUUUUUUUUUAAUUUUCUUAGUGAUACUACCUAUUUACCCUUCAAGUUUUAUUUUUAAAGCUUCUAAAUUCGCAUUUCUAAUAAGUUAUAUAACUUACUGGAUUCUAAUAUCCAAUAAGUUAAAAAAAAGGUUACAUUUAUGCUUAGAAAAAAAUAGUUCAGAGAAAAUAUCUUACAAAAUGUAUGAGAUUCUAAUAUCAUUUAUAAAAUUUAAUUCCUUUACUAAUCAUAUGUGAAAAUAUUGAAAUGUAUAAAAAUUAUUUCGUAUAUAUGAAAUUUAUGAAAUUAGAAGAUUUUUUUUUUGUGAAGUUCUCAGGAUUUAAACUUUAAACUACUAAAAAACUAAGAUUUUAGCAUUUUACUAAUAGACUAUACGGUUAUUGGCUUAUUGAAUUUUUAACUCAUAUGAUCUCUUUAAAAUAUAUUAACAAUAAAAAACUUAAAAAUGCAAAUGCAAUGAAAUCUAAUAGUAUAUUAGGAACAAAAACAUGAGAAGCAAGUUGCUUAAUCAACAAAUUGAUUGGCCAAAAAAAAUCAACAAAUUAAAAACUUGUGUUUUAGUUUUGUUGAAAAGUUUUUAAAAAAAUCUAAAAAAUACAUUCAUUCUCACUUUUCAAAUUUGUCUAUUUUGGAAAUUGUGAUUUUAUAAUGGUGGAAUAAGAAAGAAAAAUGAUAGAUACUAUAGGAAUGUAUUGGUCUAAGUCUUGGUCUUUGCUUUAUACUUAGUCUUGGCAUCAAGCAUGUAAAUGUGUUAGUCUUUUUACCCCAUCUUUACUUCACAAAAAUAAUAAUCUUAGCAAUUGCUUCAAUCUAUAUCAUUAAAAAUACUAAAAUAUAACAAUAAUAAUUAAUAGACUUAAAACCCAUUCUCAAUUUGCUAAUUUAAAUGGAAGACAAAAGACAGCCUUCAUUGAGAAAAUUGCUAUGUUUUUGUCUUUUUUAAAAGAUAAACUUGACUUAAGUAUGUAAUAAUAUAUAGAUCUGUAAAUCUAUAGCUAGAUACUGACUUGAGGAGUCGCCAUUAAUUUUUUUUUGUUUAGGUGCAAUCAGCCACUUAAUUGAAUCUAUCCCUUUUAAAGAGGAUUCCUAAGUUCGACUUAGGUAUCUCUAAAAGAUAAAUUCAAUGUCUGCGAAACCAAAACUAAGUCUGGGAAUACAGUUACGUGUGAGGAAGGUUAUAGCACCCUCACAACUCCCAUCGGAAGAUGGUACCAACUUGAUUUCGUGUUAUCCAUUAAGCUUAAAAAAUUUACCAAGUAAUUAAUUAUUAAAAAUUAUUCUUAAUUGACUCCAAUACUUUUGACAAAAAAUUAAGAAAAUUCCCUCACCUCAAGAGUAUACAAGAAAACUACUGUUUCUCUUGUAGAGGCUCCAUCGUCGGAUUAUUUAAUGUUUAAAAAUUUUUCAAAGAAAGAAAAAGAUAAAAGAAAUAAUAAUUCGACUUUUGACAUAGAUUUUUUUUUGUUGUUUUAUAAGAAACAAAAACUCAUGCUUUUAUACAAGAAAAAUUGAUACUUUCAACUUUUCCUUAAUGCAUUUUAAGGUUUUUUAUUUUCAAGGAAAAUUGAUACUUUCAAUUUUUCCUUAAGAAUAUUUUUUCGUCAAAUUUUAUUUUUAAGAAAAAUUGGUAUUUCCAACUUUUCCUCAAGAAAUGUUUUUUUGAAAAUUUUAUUUUCAAGGAAAAUUGAUACUUUCAACUUUUUCUUAAAAAUAUUUUUUGAAAAAUUUUAUUUUUAAGGGAAGUUGAUACUUUUAACUUUCCCUCAAAAAUAUUUUUAAAACAAUUUUUAUGUUCAAAGAAAAUUGAUACAUUCAACUUUCCUUCAAAAAUAUUUUUUCAAAAUUUUAUUUUAAAGAGAUUAUUUAAAAUUAAAGGAUAUUUAAUUAAAUAAAUAACUUAUUUUAAUUUAGUCAAUAAAUAAAUAAGGGAAAAAAUAAUAAUCAAUAAAUAAAUAAUAAAAUUAAAUGGAAAAGAAAAAAAAACCUUUCGUGUGGCUCAACUCAGCGGCUGAAACAACAUGGUUAUAGACACAAUAAGGGCUAGAAUGACAUUGCUUGGGGGUAUGACUCGGCUUAAGACAAAGACUGGAAAAAGUUGUUAAAUCUGGGAAUUUUCUAGAUUUUUUUUCAAAAAAAAAUUUAAAAACUCCAAAAAAUCUUAAAAAAAUUUUCUUGACUGCUUUCUCUAAUUUAUGCCUCUCUCCCUAAUUUUUUUUGUGUGUUUGUAUGAUCUGUGUGGGCAUGUAUUUAUAGGAUUCUGAAUUUGAGAAUUUCAAUCCAAAAAGGAAUCCCAAUUUCCUUUGAAUUCCAACCUCAAAUCCAACUCCAACUUUACAAACCAAUUCCAACAAUUUCACACAAACUCAACUACCUUUUUUUUUGUUUUUUUUAUUUUUUUAUUAGCAAAAAUCAAAAGUAAACUCUCGGACAGAUUGGGGUGUCUACAAAGCAAACUACUAAGAAAAUUAUUUUUCACUAAGUAAUGAUGGGGAAAGAAGACUUAGACAUUUAAAUGAUGAGAAGACUUAAAAGUAUAAAGCAAAGAAAAGAAUAAAUGCCAAUAAAAAAAAAUCUCAUAUUACCAUUUUCUUUGUGAGUCCAAAAUUAGAAUAUCAAUUUUUUUUAUAAAGUAUAAUUUUGUGAUAGGUGAUUCUAAAUACACCAUCAUUUUUUUUUCUCUACAUACUCUUUUUCUUAAUUUUUAAGUGAAAUCACUUAUUUAUCCAUCUCGUUUUAAUUUUAAAGCUUCUAGAUAUACAUUACUGAUAAAUUAUAUAACUUAUUGGAUAUUUAUAUUCAGUAAUUAUAAAAAAGUUACAUUUAGGUUUGGAAAAAAAAAUAGUUCAAAGAAAAUAUUUUACAAAAGCAUAGCAAUAUUCUCAAUGGAGGUUGUCUUUUGUCUUCCAAUUAAAUUAGCAAAAUGAAAGUAGAUUUUAAAUGUAUUAAUUAUUAUUAUUAUUAUUAUUAUUUUAAUGACUUAGAUUGAAGUAACUACUAAGAUUAUUAUUUUUGUGAAGUAAAGAUGAGGGCAAAAAAACUGACACAUUUGCAGGUUGAUGCCAAGACCAAGUAUAAAACGAAGGCUAAAACUUAGACCAAUACAUUUCCAUAGUAUCUAUCAUUUUCUAUUUUAUUCCACCAUUAUAAAAUUACAAUCUUCAGAAUAGACAAGUUUCAAAGGUGAGAAUGAAUGUGUUCUUCACAUUUUUGUUUCAAACUUUUCAACAAAAAUAAAACAUAGGAUUUUAAUUUGCUGGGUUUUUUUUUUUGGCCAAUCAAUUUGUUGAUUAAGCAACUUGUUUCUCAUGUUUUUGUUCCUAAUAUACUGUUAGAUGUCAUGGUAUCUGCAUUAUCUUAUUUUUUGGGUUCUUGGUUGUUAAUUUAUUUGAAAGAGAUCCUCUGAUUUAAAAAUUCAAUGAGCCAAUAACCAUGUAAUCUAUUAGUAAAAUAUUGAAUUCUUAGUUUUGAUAGUUUAAAGCUCAAAUUCUCACAACCUCACAUACAAAAAAAAAGAAAAAGAUAAUAUUCUGAUUUCACAAAUUUCAUGUAUAUGAGAUAAUUUAUAUACAUAUAUAUAUUUCUAUUUUUUCAUAUAUGAUUAAUAGAGGAUUUAAAUUUUAUAAAUGGUAUUAGAAUAUCAUACUUUCCAUAAGAUAUUUUGUUUAACUAUUUUUUUCUAAACCUAAAUGCAACUUUUUUUUAACUUAUUGGAUAUGAAAAUCCAAUAAGUUAUAUAACUUAUCAUAAAUGUAUGUCUAGAAGUUUUUAAAAUUAAAACAAGAUGGAUCAAUAAGUAAUUUCACUUAAAAAAAAAAUAGUAUAUGUAGAGAAAAAAAUGAUGGUGUAUUUAGAAUCACUCUUCACAACAUUAUACUUUUAAAAAAAUUGAUAUUCUAAUUUUGGACUUACAAGGAAAAUGAUAGUAUGAGAUUUUUUUUGUUUGUAUUUAUUCUAUUCUUUGCUUUAUACCUUUAAGUCUUCCCAUCAUGCAAAUGUAUAAGUCAUCUUGCCCCAUCAUUACCUUGUGAAAAAUAAUUUUCUUAACAGUUUACUUAAAUCCAAUCUGUCUUUUAAAAAAGAAAAAAAAAACAUAGCAAUUUUCUCAAUGGAACUUAUCUUUUAUUUUCUAGUUUAAUUAGUUGAUUGGGAAUGGAUUUUAAGUAUAAUAAUUAUUAUUGUUAUAUUUUAGUCUUUGUCAUGACUUAGACUAAAGCAACUGCUAAGAUUAUUACUUCUGUGAUGUAAAGAUGGGGCCAAAAAGAUUGACAUAUUUGCAUGUUUGAUGCCAAGACUAAGUAUAAAGCAAAGACUAAGACUUAAACCAACACAUUCCUAUAGUGUCUACCAUUUUCUUUCUUAUUGCAUCAUUAUAAAAUCACAAUUUCCAAAAUAGACAAGUUUGAAAAGUGAGAAUGAAUGUGUUCUUUAGAUUUUUUUUUCAAACUUUUCAGCAAAAAUAAAACACAAGUUUUUAAUUUGUUGAUUAAGCAGCUUGUUUCUUAAGCUUUUACUGCUAAUGUACUAUUAGAUUUCAUGGCAAAUGUAUUUUUUUCUUUCUUUAGUUCUUUCUAUUGUUAAUAUAUUUUAAAGAGAUUCUCUAAUUUAAAAAUUCAAUGAGCCAAUAAACAUGUAGUUUGUUAGUAAAAUGCUAAAUUUUUAAUCUCAAUAGUUUAAAGUUCAAAUCUUUACAACCUUACAUACAAAGGAAAAAAAGACAAUCUUAUGAUUUCACAAAUUUCAUGUAUACGAGAUAAUUUUUAUAUAUAUUUUGAUUUCUUCACAUAUGAUUAAUAGAGUUUUUAAAUUUUAUAAACGGCAUUAUAAUCUCAUAAUUUCUGUAAGGUAUUUUCUUUUUACUUUUUUUUCAAACCUAAAUGUAACCUUUUUAAAUUAUGGAAUAUGAAAUCUGAUAAGUUAUGUAACUUACUAUAAAUGCAUAUUUAUAAGCUUUAAAAUUAAAAUGAGAUGGGUAAAUAAGUAACAUCACUUAAAAAUUAAGAAAUAAAGUAAAUGUAGAGAAAAAAAAUGAUGGUGUAUUUAGAAUCACCCAUCACAAAAUUAUAUUUUAUUAAAAAAUUGAUAUUCUAAUUUUGGACUUACAAAGAAAAUGAUAGAAUGAGAAUUUUUUUUAUUGGUAUUUAGUCUUUUCUUUGCUUUAUACUUUUUAAUCUUCCCAUCAUGCAAAUGUCUAAGUUUUCUUGCCCCAUCAUUAUUAUUUUUCAUAGAGUAAUAAUAGGGUAAGAAGACUUAGACAUUUGCAUGAUGGGAAGACUUAAAAGAAUAAAGCAAAGAAAAGGCUAAAUACCAAUAAAAAAAAUCUCACACUAUCAUUUUCUUUGUGUCCAUAGUUAAAAUAUCAACUUUUUAUAAAAGUAUAAUUUUGUGAUGGGUAAUUCUAAAUACAUCAUCAUUUUUUUCUCUACAUCAACUUUUUUUUUAAUUUUUAAGUGAAAUUAUUUAUUUAUCCAUCUCAUUUUAAUUUUAAAACUUCUAGAUAUGCAUUUAUGAUAAGUUAUAGAACUUACCAGAUUUUCAUAUCUGGUAAGUUAAAACAAGUUACAUUUAGGUUUGGAAAAAAUAUAGUUAAGAGAAAAUAUCUUACAAAGAGCAAAAGAUUCUAAUACUAUUUAUAAAAUUUAAAUCCCUUAUAAAUCAUGUGUGAAGAAAUAGAAAUAUACAUGAAAAUUGUGAAAUCAAAAGUUUGGGUUUUUUUUUUUUGUGUGCGAGGUUGUGAAAAUUUGAACUUUAAACUAUUGAAACUAAGAGUUCAAUUUUUUACUAACAUAUUACAUGAUUAUUGGCCUAUUGAAUUUUUUAAUUAGAGGAUCUAUUUAAAAUAUAUUAAGAAUAAAAAAUAAAAAAAUGUACAUACCAUGAAAUCUAAUAGUACAUUAGGAACAAAAGCAUUAGAAAAAAGUUGCUUAAUCAACAAAUUGAUUGGCAAAAAAAAAAAAAGAAAUCAACAAAUUAAAAACCUAUGUUUUAUUUUUGUUGAAAAGUUUGAAAAAAAAAAAUCUAAAGAACACAUUCAUUCUCACUUCUCAAACUUGUCUAUUUUGGAGAUUGUGACUUUAUAAUGGUGAAAUAAGAAAGAAAUCGAUAGAUACUAUGGGAAUGUAUUGGUCCAAGUCUUAAUUUUCGCUUUAUACUUAGUUUGACAUCAAGCAUGCAAAUAUGUUAGUCUUUUUGCCCCAAUCUUUACUUCACAAAAAUAAUAAUCUCAGUAGUUGUUUCAAUCUAAGUAAUUAAAAAUACUAAAAUAUAAUAAUAAUAAUUAAUAUACUUAAAAUCCAUUCUCAGUUUACUAAUUUAACUGAAGGACAAAAGACAACCUCUAUUGAGAAAAUUGCUAUAUUUUUUUUGUUUUGUCUUUUAUAAAAGAUAGACUUGACUUAAGCAAAUUGUUAAAAAGAUUAUUUUUCAUAGAGUAAUGAUGGGCAAGAAGACUUAGACAUUUACAUGAUGAGAAGACUUAAAAGUAUAAAGCAAAGAAAAGAAUAAAUACCAGUAAAAAAUCUCAUACUAUCAUUUUCUUUAUGAGUCCAAAAUUAGAAUAAAAAGUUUUUUUAUAAAGUAUAAUUUGGUGAUGGGUGAUUCUGCAUACACCAUUUUUUCUCUACAUACACUUUUUUUUUUUAAUUUUUUAAAGUGAAAUCACUUAUUUAUCCAUCUCAUUUUAAUUUUAAAGCUUCUAGAUAUACAUUUUUUAUAAGUUAUAUAACUUACUGGAUUUUUAUAUUCGAUAAGUUAAAAAAGUUAUAUUUAGGUUUGAAAAAAAUAGUUAAGAGAAAAUAUCUUAUGUACAGAAAGUAUGAAUUCUAAUACCGUUUAUAAAGUUUAAAUCCUUUGUUGAUCAUACGUGAAGAAAUUGUUAUAUAUAUAUAUAUAUAUAUAACUUAUCUUGUAUACAUGAAAUUUGUGAAAUCAGAAGAUUGUCUUUUUUUUUUUUGUGAGAUUGUCAAUAUUUAAAUUUUAAACUAUUAAAACUAAGAGUUCAACAUUUUACUAAUAGACUAUAUAGUUAUUGGUUCAUUGAAUUUUUAAAUCAUAGGAUCUUUUGAAAAUAUAUUAACAAUAAAAACCAAAAAAAAAAAAAGUGCAUACCAUGAAUAUAAUAGUACAUUAGGAACAAUAGCAUGAGAAACAAGUUGCUUAAUAUUGGCAAAAAAUAAUCAACAAAAUAAAAACCUAUGUUUCAUUUUUAUGAAAAAAUUUGAAAAAAAAAAUCUAAAGAACGCAUUUAUUCUUACUUCUCAAACUUAUCUAUUUUGGAAAUUAUGAUUUUAUAAUGGUGGAAUAAGAAAGAAAAUAAUAGAUACUGUAGGAAUGUAUUGGUCUAAGUCUUAGUCUUUGCUUUAUACUUAGUCUUGGCAUCAAGCAUGCAAAUGUUAGUCUUUUUGUCCCCAUCUUUACUUCACAAAAAUAAAAAUUUUAGCAAUUGCUUCAAUCUAGGUCAUUAAAAAGACUAAAAUAUUAUUAUAAUAAUGAUAAUAAUAAUAAUAAUAAUAAUAAUAAUAAUAAUAAUAAUUAAUAUACUUAAAAUCUAUUCUCAAUAUGCCAAUUUAACUAGAAAAGAAAAGAUAGCCUCCAUUAAGAAAAUUAUUAUUUUUUUGUCUUUUUAAAAAAAGUAGACUUAACCUAAGCAAAUUGUUAAGAAUUUUUUUUUUGCAGAGUAAUGAUGGGACAAAAAGACUUAGAGAUUUGCAAGAUGGGAAGACUUAAAAAUAUAAAACAAAGAAAAGACUAAAUACCAAUAAAAAAAAUUUCAUACUAUCAUUUUCUUUGUGAGUCCAAAAUUAGAAUAUCAAUUUUUUCAUAAAGUAUAAUUUUGUGAUGGGUGAUUUUAAAUGCUAUGUCAUUUUUUCUCUACAUCCAUUUUUUUUUUAACUUUUUAAGUGAAAUUACUUAUUUAUCCAUCUCGUUUUAAUUUUAAACCUUCUAGAUAUGUAUUUCUAAUAAAUUCUAUAACUUACCAGAUUUUAAUAUCCGAUAAAAAAAGUUACAUUUAGAUUUUGAAAAAAAAAUAGUUAAGAGAAAAUAUCUUAUCAAAAUUUUUAAGCUUCCAGAUAUGCAAAUUUAGAAACUUUUAAAAGCUUUUGGAUAUGCAUUCUAGAGACUUUUAAGUGCUUCUAGAUUUACAAAUUUGAAAACUUUUAAAAGUUUUCAAAUUUUGUAAAUCCAAAAGCUUAAAAGUAAAAGGAGUGUGAAGAGAAAAAAGAAAGAGUAUUUAAAUAAUUUCAUUUAAAAUAAUUUUGAAAAAAAAAAAGAGGUGUGGAGAGACAAAAUGGGAGUAUAUUUAGAAUUUUCUUUAGUGAUUCACAUAUAGCAUAUAUUAUUUAUAAAUUAACAACGUAUCAAAUAUAAAAUUUUUCUUUUGAAAAUAGAAUGUGAUGAAAGUUUGAAAAAUAAUCAUAUUUUCUAUUUAUGUCCAUUAAUCACUUAAUCCCAUUAAUAUGUAGAGAAUUUUUUAAAAAAAUUUAUUUGAUUUAUAUAUUGUUUAUAAUUAAUUUUAAAAAUUAUAAAAAUUAUUUAUAAUAUUUACUAUAUGAUAUGAUACUCAAUAUUAGAUUCUCAAAUUACAAUGCAUAUUUUCACUUUAACAAUUGUGCUACUUUUUUUGUUUUUUGAACUUUUACAUCGUGACUUAUAACUGUCCAAAGUUCGACAUAUAUGUAACUCUUUUUAAGUUUAUCCUUUCAUUUAUAAUUAGAUUUAUAAUAAAGUUUUAUCAUCAUUUGCAAUAGAGAACUUAUUAAUGAUUCUGAUGGUAAUGUCUAGAUGUAGUAUUCCCACCGUCUCUUUUUUUUUUUUUUAGAUAUCUCAAAAUUAUGUCAUCUUUUUUUUUAUUGGAAUAUCUCAAACUCUUUUUUUUUUAUAUUUUAAAAUUAUUUUUGUGUCUUUUUAACUUUUUGACAUUAAAAAUCAUGAAAUUUUAAUCUUAUAAAAAAAUUAAAUUUUAAUAUUAAAAAUAUUAAAGUUAAAGUUUUUUUCUUAAACUCCAUAAAAAUUAAUAACCCAGAAAAAUGCUCACAUGCAUAAAUAUUAAUGCGUAUAUUUGCAGCAACAAUGAUGUAUAAGUCUCGUUCAAUUAAGCAUUAUAUCUACCUUGGUUUCCACAAUUAGAACAUACUUCAUUUAUUAAAUGCUCCAGUUAUAUGAGGUAGUAAAAAUUUAAUUUAAUUUGGAAGUGGUAAGGUCGUCGGAUCAUUGGAAAUGUCAAAAUAAAUGUGCGCAUCGUCAAGUGGUAGGAUUUUUUUUUUUGGUUAAUUUUCUUUACAUAGAAAUAUUUUGUUUAUUAUGAUAAAACAUUGUGUCCGUACAAAUGAAAAUAAAUGGCAAGAAAACAAGACUUUAAGGAAGAAAUUUUUCAAUAAUCCAUCUUUGAAAGAUGUGCGUGAUAAUAUAUCAAGAUAAGUUUUCAAGUAAUAAACAACAUAUAUUAUAUAUUAAAAAUUAUAAAAAAUAAAACAUGUGACAAUAUAUAUUAAUAAUAUAUACAAAUAUAUAUAUAUAUAAAUAUCUAUAAAUUAUGUGAAAUUUAUGAGGUCGGAGGAUUGUUAUAUAUCCCAAUAUGUUAGAAAGUAAAAAAUUAAUAUAAUUAAAAAAAUACAAUUGCCAUUAAAUCUAAUAGUAUAUUACAAACAAAAGCAAGAGAAACAAGUUGCCUAAUCAACAAAUUGAAAAGCAUGUUUUACUUUUGCUGAAAAUUUUGAAGAAAAAAUCUAAAGAACACAACUUUUUUUUCUGACGUUUCAAUUGAUUCAAGGACUUUGAAAAAAAAAUAAAGACAAUCUUCAAAUUCUAAAGUUUUUCUUUCAUCCUAUUAUUUUCAAAUAAUUGGAAAUUUGAGUAUUUGAUUGAAUUUGAAAAAAAAAUAAAGACAAUCUUCAAAUUCUAAAUUUUUCUUUCAUCCUAUUAUUUUCAAAUAAUUGGAAAUUUGAGUAUUUGAUUGAAUACUACCAUCAAUGUUUUAACUUUUUUCGCUGUACUUUCUCAAUUUUUGUAGAUAAGAUUCCACCAAGCAAUUAGUUGCUAAUUAUUUAAGAUGAUUAAUUAUAAUUAGAUUUCAUUUGGUUUGUAUUUUUUUCGUUUACUAUUUGUUUUUUGUUUUCAAUUCAUUUAUUAAAAAAAAUAAAAACCCUAAACUGAAAAAUAUAAUUUAGAUUUCAUUUGGUUUGUAUUUUUUUUCUUUUACUAUUUGUUUUUGUUCUCAGUUCAUUUAUUAAAAAAAUAAAAACCAAAAGCAUCCAUUAAUUGGAGGAUUAAAAGGUGAGAAAAUUAUGUAAUUUCAUUGGUUAAUUUCCUUUUUUUUUUUGUUAAAAAAUUUAUUGAGUUUAAAACAAUAUAAAGUAAGAGUGUAUUUGAUACCAUGGAUAAAAUUUCUAAAAUUCUAUUUAUUUUUUUAAUUUCAUUAGGGUUUCAGAUUUCUAUUAAUUAUUAGUGUAUUUUAUAUUAAAAACUUAAAUUUAUUAUAUAAAAUUUAUAUUUUGAGGUUUUAAAUAUUAAAAUGUAAUUUAAAAAAUAAAAAUGAUUUUGGAAUACACUUGUACAGAAAAGUAAUAGCAUUUUGUGUUGAAAAAAACGAAGAUUAUAAUUUUAAAAUAUCCAAAUAGGGAAUGAUAGAUAAAAAAAUAAAAGGAGAUAGUAGGUACAAAAUUAAUUGCUAAUUAGAAAAUGAAUUGAAAAUAAGAAACAAAUAACAAAAAAUAAAAAAACUUAGAAGUGAUGACUGAAGACAUUUGGAAAGAUAAGUAUAAUUACGUAAAAAUGGUAAUAUAUAGUCUGAUUAGAUAUUGAAGUUGAACACUUAUUAUUUAAUUUUGAAUAAUUUAAAUUAAAUUUCUUUUUAAACAAUUAAAAAAAAAAAGAAAAGUUACUAUUAAUUUCUUGUGUAGCUUGACAAUGGGAUUGAAACAAAGAUUCACCCAUUGAGGUCCUUUUUCUGACUUAACCGGCAAAGAAAAGCCCAUGCAUGAUGAAUUGAAGACUAAUUCAUUAAUAGAAAAUCCCAUUAAUUUUUGUUCUAUGGAAACACAAUCAUGUUGUCCCUUUUAUAUUUGUAAUGUUCACGUUUAUAACGUUCACUUAUUCAUUAAAAUUAAGGUUCAUUAUCAUUAAAAAUAAUAUUGGUUAAUAUUUUUAUUUGAAGUAUUGUAAAAUAUAAAAAUAUGAAUCUAUACAUUCUAAGUUCUUACUGCACAAAUCAAUAUUCUUUAACAAUAUUAAAAACAAAAAUAAUAAAAAGGACUAUAUAUAUAUAUAUGAUAAAUUCAAUAUUAAAUUAUUAAUACGUUGUUUUGAAUUCUCAAAGAUUAAUAAAAUGAUUUCACAAACAAUGCUCUAAAAGCUUACUCUAAGGUUAUUACAUAAAAUAAUAUCUUCAUCCAAUACAUUAAAAAUAAUAAAAAUGAAAAUUAUUAAGCAUCACCUAUUGCAUUUAAUAUAAAAUUAUUACAAUAAAUAAUAGAUUAACUAAUUUUAGAGAGUGAAAAACUCUUUAACGAAUUUGUUUUAUUUACGUGUAAGAAUGGAGAAGUAAAAAUGACAACACAGUGAAUAUCCGUUAUUGUUUAGAUAUUUGUAGUUAAAUCUAUUUAAUUUUCAUGGUCUUCAAAUUCAUUUAAAUAUUCGAUUAAAUUUAAUAUCAUUAUCUGAAUAUGAAACCAUUUAAAUAAACAUCAUCUGUUUCAUAUUUGAAUCCAUUAAAAUAUCCAAUUACUUAAAUUUAAUUUUUUACUAAAAUAUAAAUUCAACAAGAAUUAAAUUUAAAUUUAAAAUUUACUCUUGAUUAAUAAUAAGUAAAGGUUGUUUGUUAAGAUUCGAAAAUAAAAUUUUGCAUAUUUUACAUAUGUAAAUAGAUAAUAUAUUCAAAUAAUUGAUACCAUAUGGUUUAAAACUUAAACGAGUUUGAAUAUCCAAAUGGUACUAUCUAAAUUCUAUCUCAAUCUAUUCAAUAUCUAUUUAUAAAUAUUUGAAUUAGACAUAAACAGAUCAGAUAAUUUAUCAAAUAUUCAAUUAUUUACUGUCCAUCAUCAUUCCUAAACGGAAUAUCAAGAGAGAACCAAUCAAUCAAAUCUAAUUGAAUGGAGAGGAUUCCUCCCUACUAUAUACACGUGCCACCAUUAUCUAACUUUGAGAAAAUUAAUUUUUUAUUUUUUUUUACAAAUACAAAAUAUGAAAUAAAAAAGGGGAAUAAAAGAAAGAAUAUAGUGAUAAAGAUUAAUUUACAAAAGCAAAACUAUUAGCCUUAUCAUCAUUGAAACCCAUUAUUCAUUCUUUAAAAUUCAAAAUUGACAAGUAAUAACCAUGUUUGUCUUCCAUCUAGUUUGAUUCAACUCAUACAAAAAAGGUUCAAACUCAUGAUUUGUACAAACACGUGGUUGGAAAAACACAUUUGAACCUAUCUCUUGAGAUCAAGGGAGAUAUAUAGCUACAAUAACAGUAUGAAAUAUGAAGUACUUGUCUAUAAUAUCGUGUAUGCAAAUCUCAAACUCCACAAUCUUCCCUUCAUUUUUUUUUUUUUUAUAGAAAGCCAACAAAACAUGAAGAAUUUUCAUGUCCUAAUGUCACUCAUUUUCCCUACCUUGUUUCUCUUCUCAUGCUCUGUAUCUCUUGUGUUAUCGUUUUCCCCUACUCAUACUGAUCUCCAAAACCAGUGCCUUGAUGAUCAGAAAUCUGCUCUAUUGCAAUUGCACCGUGAUCUGUACUAUGCCCCAAAUUUUACUUUCUCUUCCAAAGUUGAGUUUUGGGAUCCCAACACUGAUUGUUGCUCUUUGAAAGGAAUUACAUGUGAUGCUGUGGGUCAUGUGAUUGAGCUUGAUCUCAGUUACAAAAACCUUUCGGGCAGCUUUCACUCCAUUUUCAAUCUCCAUCAUCUUCAACGCCUUAAUCUUGCUGGAAAUAAUUUUAAUACUACUCUGUUUCAAUAUGAGUUUGAUAGAUUCUCAAAUUUAACUCAUCUCAACCUUUCAAACUCAUGUUUCCUUGGCCAAAUUCCAGUGGGGAUUUCAUACUUAACAAGGUUAGUCUCUCUUGAUCUAUCUAAUCAAGAUUCUUGCUAUCAACGGUAUAACCAAAUGCUCCAUCCAUACAACUACGUCUUCUACUACUAUCCGCUGCCUUUUGACCUUCAACAACCUCUUAAACUAGAAAACCCAAACUUUAAGACAUUAAUCCAAAAUUUAAGAUCUCUUACGGAGCUCUACUUGGAUAGUGUGAACAUUUCAACUCAAAGUACUAAAUGGUGUGAAACCACCUCUGUAGUACUUCCUAACUUGCAUGUGUUAAGUUUGUCGAAUUGUGGUUUGACAGGUCCAUUUUGUUCUUCACUCUCAAGACUUUCUUUUCUUUCCAAACUUUUCCUUGGUGGGAAUUCAAUCUCUUAGUUGCCUCCCAAUUUCUUAGAAAAUUCCUCUCGUUUGGUUUCCCUCAGUUUAGUGAAUUGCAAUUUGAGUGGGCAUUUUCCAAUAGAAGUUUUCUUAUUGCAAAUACAAAGCAUCGACAUUUCAGAAAAUGACAAUCUUGAAGGUCAGUUGCCAGAAUUUUCAUUAAACAAUACUUUACGUGUCUUAAAGAUUUCUUUUACAAAUUUCAGUGGAAAACUGCCAGAAUCAAUUGGUAAUCUCAAGUUCUUGACAACUUUAGAUCUCCAUGGUUGUAAGUUCUUUGGACAAAUUCCAUCAUCAAUUGCAAAUCUUACUAACCUUGUGGAACUGGGUCUAUCCUAUAACAAUUUCAGUGGUUUUAUCCCCGCGUUUCAUAGAUCUGGAGUUCCAAAUCUUGCAUAUCUUUUUUUGUGGAGCAACCACCUCUCUGGAUCAAUACAUUCUUCUUUAUUUGCUCUCCCAUCAUUGCAGGCCUUGGAUCUCAGUGAAAAUGAAUUGUUUGGUGAAAUUGAUGAGUGCCUCAAUGCAUCUUCUUCAUUGAUUGAAACAUUGUAUUUAGGCUACAAUAGCUUUAGUUCCAUUAAGCUUGACAUGUUCUCCCAAAUUAAGAACUUAAGGGUUCUUGACCUUUCUAAUAUGAGCUUAUCAAUUGAAAGCAACAUCACAAGCCUGCUUUUCCCCAAUUAGAGAAGCUAUACCUAAGUUCAUGCAACUUUACUGAAUUUCCAGAAUUCAUCAAAACACAAGACAAGUUGGCUUCUCUAGAUCUUUCUAACAACCAAAUCCAUGGUUUUGUGCCGAAUUGGUUGUGGAAGACCACUCUUUUGAGGUUAGACCUUUCUUUCAAUGCGAUUGAUUUUUCAAAAGAGGUUCCUUUUGGUGAUGCAAACUCCUGUUUUCCAAUGUUGAUUAUCUUGUAUUUACAAUUCUGUAACCUAAGUAUGUUUCCAGAGUUUUUAAAGAGUCAAACUAGUUUAGAAGAGUUUGACCUUUCAAAUAACAAAGUAAGUGUGCAGUACCAAACUGGGUGUGGAAGAAAAGUUUGCGGUAUCUGGAUCUUUCUAACAAUUCUCUCUCAUCUUUGGACCAAUUUUCUCUCAACCAAUCUCUAACUUCUUCACAAGGCUCUUUAUCAAGACCUAUUUGCAAUUUGAGUCAACUUGAGACCUUUAAUGCAUCCUUAACAAAUUAAGCGGGCUAAUCCCUAGUUGCUUGGGCAAUAUCAGUUUUCUCAGGUAUUUGGAUCUACAAAAAAAUAAUUUCAACGGUAGCAUACCAGAUUUUGCAAAAGCGACCCAAUUAUAUUGGCUUCAACUCAAUGAUAAUAAAUUGGAAGGGAAGUUGCCAAGGUCAUUAGCCAAUUUGCACAAUGCUCCGAGUUUUAAACCUUGGAAAUAAUACUCUGCAUGACACAUUCCCUUUGUGGUUGGGAAAAUUGCAUGAGUUGAUGGUCCUUGUAGUGCGAGCAAAUAGGUUUUAUGGUCUAAUUAAACAUGUGAAAAAUUAUUUUCAGCAUUUGGAUGUACUAGACAUUGCGUUCAAUAAUUUUUCUGGUCAAUUGCUGAUAGAAUUCUUUCAAGCCCCUCGACUAAGGUCAUUCAAAAUUGGUGGGAAUAAACUGGAAGGAAAGUUGCCGAGGUCAUUAGCCCAUUGCAAAAUGCUUGAAGUUUUGGACGUUGGAAAAAAUAUGACACAAGACAUUUCCUUUUUGGUUGGUGAAAUUGCCUUCUUUAAAGGUUCUUAUACUAAGAGCAAAUAGAUUUUAUGGUCCAAUUAAAAUUUCUGAGGAUGAAAAUGCUUUCCUAGAGUUACACAUACUGGAUCUUGCUUCCAAUAACUUUUCAGGUGAGUUACCUGUUGGAUUUUUUCAAUCUUUAAGGCAAUGAAGUAGAUGAUUGAUGGCAACAAAGCUAAACCAGAUUAUAUUGGAGAUGAUUACUACCAGGACUCUGUGACAAUUGUGAAUAAGGGGUUUGAACUUUUUUACCAGAAAAUUUUAACCAUCUUUGUUUGUCUUGACCUUUCCAAUAAUAGUUUCCAUGGGAAAAUACCGGAAGAAAUACAAAACCUCAAAUCACUCAAAGUGCUAAACUUGUCCUACAACAGCUUCCUUGGCCCAAUUCCUUUAGCACUUAGAAACUUAACUCAACUUGAGUCGUUGGACCUCUCCCAGAACAAACUCUCCGGAAAGAUUCCUCUACAGCUUACAAGCCUAACUUUUCUUGCAGUAUUGAAUCUCUCUUACAACCAACUUGAGGGAAGCAUACCACAAAUCUACCAAUUCAAUACAUUUUCAAACGAUUCUUACAAAGGGAAACCCAAGAUUGUGUGGGCCGCCUUUGACAAAGAAAUGCAAAGAAGUUGGUCUUGGAGUGCCACCCUCUAAGGAAGAUGAAGAUUCAUGGGUAGAUGGUAUAUCUGUUUGGAAAAUCGUACUGAUUGGGUAUGGAUGUGACUUGAUGAUUGGGUUAUCUAUUGGAUAUACAGUGCUGAAUGAGAUGGGAAACAAAUGGAUGGAUAGAUUUACAUGGAAUCGGAAUCAAAAAUGGAGAAGAUCUUCUAGGUGACUCCGUCGAAAUUCAAGCUUCAAAUUCAUUUGGUAAGCAUUCUAGAAUACUUAAUAACUCAAAAGUUUUCUUCUUGAUUCUUUGAGCUGUAUUUAAUUGCCUAAACAAAUAAAAUUAUUUAAAUAUUCUCUUGCAUUAUAAGUGUGAUAAAUAUAUCUGCAGUAACUGAAAUUUGACUAAAGUGAUUACAUUUGAAAUUUAAUUAAAGAAGGUUUCAACUUUGGACAUCUCAUUCCCUUUUUAAACUCGGCAUUGCUUUUAAAACUAAAAGCAAAAAUUGCCUGCAAACUAGGAUAUGUCCUUUGAAUUCCUAACCUCAUUUUAUAAAUGACAAUCAUAAGUUUCCAAGUUAGUAAUUUGUAAAAGACAUGUGGGUGACUGGUAUUUUGAGUUAGAUUGGGCUGUCAGCCAUCUUAAGAGCAAAGCAAAGCUUUGGCAUCUAUUGUCCUUAAUUAGAUUGGCUUGGGAUGCUCAUAUAUAUUCUAUUUGGCAGGAGCACAAUCAAAGGAAGUUUGGCAGGCCAUCUAAAGAUAUAGAAGCUAUUGUUUCAACUAUCAGAAGUUCCUUUUGGCUUAGUUCAAUAACAAGAUUGCAGUCUCCAGUUCCACUCUUCCUCUUCAACAACAGAAAUUGUGUCUGAAUGUUUUUGGCUUGGUGUUACGGUACCUGUGUCUCAGUUCUUUCUCUUCUGCUCGCCAAAGAUGAUUGGCGGUAUGUCUGGUUGUAGUGUGCUUGUCAUCUGUUUUGUCUAUGGGGUGGUGUUUUACUGCUGAGUUAUGGGGUUCCCCUGUUGUUCACCCUAUUGAGUAACUCUGUUUUUAUUAAUAAUUUCUGGCUUAGCAAAAGAAAAAUGUGUCUGAAUUGGGGACUGGUUCCUUAAUGUUGCUUAGUUUGAUUGCUUUGCAAAAGUUAGAUUGUUCUUGGACAUUUGUAAUGUUUUGAUAGCUUACUGUUUACUUGUAGCAGGUCUACUGCUUUCUUUGGAUUAAUAAAAAUCAUUUAUCCAAAGAAAUUCUUAACAAAAAUCUUAUUUUUUUUAAACUCUUCAUUAUUGUUAUACCUAAGUGAUCAUGUCAGCAGCCACAAAGUAGGUCUUACACAUGAAAGCCCAGUUUGCCACAUCGUCAUCUAAGAGGUAUAAAAAGUAGAACCAGAUAAGACAGGUGAUUCACUACUGAAUUCUCUUUGCUCUCUUUAACUGCUUCCUACUCUCUCUCAUUUACUUGCUUCUGGUAUACCUUACUAACUUGAGUGUCGGGGAAUGCCUCAAAAUAACAUUUUUGGCACACUGACUUUCUACUUUGUGACAGGUCACACAAACUCUCCUUCUCACCCUCCAGUAAAACUUUAGACUAUCAGACCAGGAAUUACAUCAACAAUAUCAAUUAUUCACCUCAACUAUUUGCAGUGAAGGAAUUUGAUAUAAGCCAUGGCAUGUACAACAAUGACUACGCCUACCACUUUAACUGCCAAAACUAGAAGUUACAUCUCCUAACACAGAAAAAUCUUCACAGACCAAGCUAAAGCUAAGAUGCCUUAUUCCUGUAUUAACUGCUACAUCACUACAGAGAAAAAAACAACGAAAAGAAAAGAACAAAGCUUCAAGUUCCAGGUAUCAAGCUUGAAUAACUUCGAUAAUAUUUUAUUGUCCCUAACAACUAUAGAUUUGACUAUGGCGAGAAAGAUUGAAAUAUUUCCUUUAUUAUUUUCUUCAACUUUAAUCCCAUAUCAUCCUUUGUUUCUUUGCUUCAGCACUUCCACAGACAAAAACAAAUGGUUUGUUGUAACUCUAUUGCUAUUUGAUUGAUUUGCAUGUAGAAUAGACCUUGACUAAACAAAAACAUGAGGGCAAUACAUUCAGUAACUUAUAUAUACUCACUUCGCUAGAAUUCCAGUGAAUCCUUUCAGUAACUUAUUCUCUAUCUAAUAGAAAUAAAGCGUCAUAACUAAAUAGCCAAUAUUCACAUUGAUGCGCUAAGUGUUCUGAUAUAGCCACUAAUCCAUCAUUAAAAGAUGAAGUUAUAGAAGAUAUGCUAUGUUUCAAUCACUGGUCAUUUUAUAGGUAGUUUUUUCUCUAGUAGUCAGCUUGAUGCUGUAAACCAGGAAGGUUGUCAAGCCUUCUGAUAUUUAGCCUAUUUUGAGUAUUAGCUCAGAAUUUAUGUUUAGAAGAUUUUGUAGGUGAAAAGAUAUUUGAUGACUUUGGGGUUGACAAAAGCCACAUUGGACAGAGUGAUUGUGCAUAUAUGAAGACUUUGCCGCUAGAGGCUUUCUCCUACAACUGUCCUUCUCAUGCAGCCCUAAGAUCUUGCUCUUUUGAAUCCAUCUCUAACUAGAAAUGUAGGUAUCAACUAGAAAAAUACUUUAUUCUCAUGAAUUUCGUCAUUUGGGAAUUUUACAGGGAAAAAAGAAAACAAAAGCUCAUGCUAAAAAAGAAAAUUUUAGAGGGAAAAAAGGAAACAAAAAAUAUUACUAUUUCCUGAGUUUAAGUUUAGGUUUGCUAGCUAAUUUAACUUUUUUUUUUGUCAUGAAUGCAGGAAUCGUAUUUUUCCAGGAAGAAAACUUAUCAUUAAUGUUUUCUAUGCUUUGGUCUUGGACAGCAUAAAAAAUCACAGCUUCCAUAUGCCGUCCCUACCCAAUUGAAACCACCUGCAAUCCAAUAUUCUUAAACUCUUGGAAGUAACAUCCUAGAUCCUGCCAGUAUGUGUCAUCGAGACUAGGAUUCUGAUCUGAUCAAGCUGAAUUCUUGGCCAUUAUGAAGGUUGUGAAGUUGGAUGCCGAUUCUUGGAAAGUUAAUACUGGAUUGCACAGCUAUCUCUAGGUACAAGAAAUGCUACUUCAUGGGUAAAAGGCAGCAAUAGGGUUUGUUGGCAUCUUAGGAACGCCAAUUUUGUAUAUACAUUACAAGUUUUACAAUUGUCUACUCAUUCAGUUGUUUUCGACGACUCUUGGAAGUUCAUGUAAAAACCUAAUUCUUACUCUGCUUAAUACUAUCACUCAACUCACAAGUCUGUUGUGGACUGACACAAAAAAUGCUUACCUAAAUACUAAAGCACAUGCCUGCAGCAACAAUGAUUUUAAAGAGCUCAUCAUUGCAUAAUCCAAAAUUCCCCCAAGCUCAAGCGGGGAAAUGAUUUCGUUUAAUAAGGUAUUCAGACAAGGGAAAUGAUUUUAAAGGGCAAUGAAUCGUCAGUGUUAUCAUCAUUCUGGCCUAGCCCUGCCUCAUCAUCAUCAUAAUCGCCACCCAAAGCCAGCUAUCUCUUCCUUGCUUUCUCUGCAUCUUCCCAGUCCUUCUCUAAUUGCUAUCCAGACUUGUAAUCUCCAAGAUCAUGCAUAAACUUACAUGAAUCCUGUAACCACAGUAACCAGUUUCUUUGUAGUCUUUACAGAUGUCAGGUUGAUAAUCGAAUCUCUCUGAAACCCUGAGGUGGGCAGAAGCCCUAAGAGGUCCAUGUGAGCCACCAGCUUUCUUACUGGCAACUGUCGGCUCUCUUCAAACCCACCCUGAUGAUCCACAUAGCCAUGCAUUCCUUUAUACAACUUCUCUCCCACAGAGCUUGUGUUUUCCCCUUCAAAGCCUCCUCUGCUCGUUUGAGAACUUUCUUACCUAUAGCUCGAGCAUCUUAUAUAAACUCAGUCUCAGUUUCUAAGGUUGCCGUAGCUCUGCUAUCAUUUUGAACUUGAAGUUCCUUCGAAGACUCAAAUUGAAAAAUCGGUUUGUCAAAUUCUGUAUUUGAUUCAUUGACAGCAGCACUCCUGGAGGAUCCAGUCGAAAAGUAUAACUUAUUGUCAGGCUUGAAAGCCGUUUUCUGAUUGUGUAACGGAGAUGUGCCAUUUCUGGAGUCUUCAUCUUCAUCUUCAUUUAUUGUCCUUUUCCUGACGUUUUUGCCCUUUGUUAGCUUCCUAAAGAAAUUGCAGACUGAAAAAUCAAAAUAAUUUGAGUUAACAUACACAGUUAUUAAGAUAAUGAUCUUAAUUUGAUGCAGAAAAUACAUUAAACAGAAGGAAUAGUUCUUCUUUCUUAUUAUUUUUUUAAAAUAAAAUGUCAAUAAGUGGCAAUGGAGGAGAAUCAUUAAUCCCUCAGUGAGUACUUCCCCCUUUUAUUUGGACAUCUAUACGAGUUUCAAGUUAUUCCUUUUCUUCUAUUUAUUUGAUCGUCUUCCGCGUCUUUCUUUAUUUCAUGUUAAAAAAAUUUCUUUUGAUAGUGCUGAUUGAUCAGUUAUUAAAUAUUAGAUCUGAUCAAAUUAUUAAGAAUAAGGCAUUUUUAAUUACUGCUAGAUUACUUUUUUUAUCUUUUUUGUUCUUGAUCAUUUAUUAGGCUUAGGCACUUAUAUUUCUUUUCUCUCAUGUAAAUUUGAGGUCUUUCUCGCUUUCAUUGGAGAUUAACGUUUCUCUUUUGUAUGCUGUUUUUCUUUUGAUAUAUGCUAAAAGUUUAGUGGGUUUGUCAUGCAGGGUUUGAAAGGGCUUUAUGCAGGCUUCUUUCCUGCAGUUUUAGCGUCCUCUUUUCAUGGGGCUUAUAUUUCUUCAUGUAAGUGCCAUCAUCAAUUUACAUGUUACAACCUUUCCUUUGAUUACAGUACAUUUGUUGUCAAAUAUGUGUGCACAUUUGAAUUAUUAGCUGCAGCGGAAACGACUUAUUUGCUGAUUUUUUUUAAUGUAAAUAGAUUGAUUUUAGUAUGCAAUGGGGAAUACAAAGAGUUAAUGUGUUUUGAUUUGUUGGAAAAUGUAGUGUGACAAUCAAUUAAUCUAAAGUGUCUGCUACUACUGUCUUAAUUUGAUGCAAGUUGCAAAUUAUCUCUGUUGAAACCCAGUUUUGAUGUUUAGAAACCAAAAUUCUUAGUAGAGUUUGAUAUGCAAUCAAACGGAAAAAUGGAAAAAAACUCAACAAAAGAAAUGUGCUUCUGCAAUCUGCAAAAUUGGCUCGAAGAUCUUUCCUGAUUGAAGUGAAGCUUCAGAGAUGGAAAAUUAGCAAGUAAUAAUAAGCAAACAGAUAUUAAUUACCUGCUUAAUCCAUUAAAUAAGAGAAAAAAACCUUAAUGACUUCAUAUCAAUAAUGAAAUGGGCGUACUGCAACGAUUCAGAAAAUGGAAUCAUACUUCAAAAACCUUCCAUUUGCUACAAUAUUGAUUGUACUGGUGACAAUGUCUAACCCAUAAGCAUGAGCUCCAUGACCAAAAGUCCCUGCAAAUAGCUUCCACCAAUGCCGAGGAUUCAAAAGCUGUACAUAGCAAUUUGGUUGAAAGCAGAUUUGUGAAGCUUUCAUUUCAUAUAACUUGGCAGCAAGAAAAUGAUUGGGAGAAGCUAGUGAGUAUGGAGAAACUAUAUGGACAGGAUCACUAUCUUCAAUUUUGGACAGGAUGUUUUGAAGUCAAGAUCAGCUUGACGGGGUAAAGCAAAGACUUGGUGACUGGUGAGGAACUAAAUAAAAACUGAAAUAAUACCUUCAAUUUCCUUAAAAAUAUAAAUAAAACUCAAUGACAAUGAAGUUGAUGUAUUUUCAAAUUGUUCAAUGUUUAAAAACUGAAAACAAAAGAAGUAAUAGCAUCUUAUGUUGGCUGUUGGGUUAAGAAUAAUUUGUUGCUUACUUAACAUUAAAUCAUCUAUAAAGAAACUAUUUAGUCCCUUUUAGAUGCCAUCACUGACUCACUGUGAUAGAAUUCAAGUCAAAAUAUGGAUUCAUCAUCAUUUAUAUAUUUGUAUCUCACAUAUAUUUCAUUAUUGAUUUUAAUCUCUAUGCUAUUAUAUCUAAUCUCACCAUAAUAAUAAUUAGUUUUUUUAUUAUCGUUAUUUUUAAUUUCACGGAAACUAAUUUUGCUUCUCGUCUAAAUUGUUAUCGAAAAAAAAAAGAGAUCUAGCACAAUACUUAUUACCCUUUUCAUUAUAUUAUAUAUAAAAAAAAACCUACAUAAUGCACAAUAGAUGGCACACUUUUUAUGUAUAAAUAAGAACUCAUGAAUUUAAGUAUAAUCAUAUUUUGUUUUUAUUUUUUUAAAAAAUUUAUAUUAACAUUUGAAAUUUAUAUCCCUUUCUUUUGAAUUCAAAUUUCUAAACACAAAUUUAAUUAACAAAAGAAAUUCCUCUUUCAUUGAUCAAACAACAAAAAUUAAGAAACAAUCAUUGAGGAAAGAAAAACUAAUACCUCGAAAAAAAAAAUAAGAAUUUAGGGCUUUAAUAAUGUUUGUUUUUCAAAAAAAAAAAGAUUGUAAAAAAAAUUCAUACAUAUAAAUAAAAUUAAUAAUCAGCCAAAAAGAGCAAAAUUAAUUACCCGAAUUAGUAUGGAUAAGCCUAUGGGUCAAAAGACUCUUUUUUUUACAUGGGCUGGCCCAUUAAUACCGAAAUCGUGCUUCCCUUUGACUUCUUGCACUAAAAAUACAAUGAUGGAUUCCGAAUUUGGCAAUUUUUGUGAAUCAUAAAGUGUUUGAAGAAAAAUACGAAAAGCAAUUAACUGAGAAAAGCAAAAUUUUAAAAAAAUGUUGUCAAAAGGGGUUUAAAGUUAGGGCGUUUUAAUCGAAUUUUCCUUUCCUUUUUUCAUUUUCCUGGUAAAAACUUCCUCAUGCCCAGUUUUAUUUUCAAUCUUAAAAUUUUUUUAAUUGAUUUUAUCUCCUGUUUUUGCAGUGACACUGUAAUUCAAGAGCUGGAGUCAUUGCAGCUAAUUUUUGGAAGCCCCACAUUGGCAAAGGCAGAGUAUUUGAUUUUUUUUUUAAUUUCUUUUUUCUGUGAUCUUUUUUAGACUUUCACUGUGUAGAAAGGUUCUAUUUUUUGCUAAGCAUAAAUUUUUUUUUCUUAUUUGUGUUUCUCAGGCUUUAUUGUAUGUUGGUUUUGUUCUGUUUUAUCCAUAUUUCAUUUAUUUUUAUGAUUUGAAUUGAACUACUAUGUGAAAAGGAAUAUUGAGUAUUGCCAAGUAGUAUUUUCUUUGACUAUUACUGUACAUAAUUGUCAAUUCUGUUAUUCAAUUGCUGGCUGUUAAAUUUGCUGCAAAAGAAUGAUUAUUGCAGUUUGAAUCUCUUGUUAUUAUGGGGAAGAGUGUGAGGGUUGAAAAAAGGGAAAGCAAAAUAAAAUGAAAUAGUUGGGUGGAAAGUGUUACCUUUUAUGGAGUUCUAGCUUGCAAUCAUCAUUUGUUUAAUUGUACAUUUUGCAUUUUCCAACAAUUGAAUGGAGCGAGUUUUUCGGAUUUCCAUUUCAUUGCUUUCAAGUAUCUUGGUUUAGAUAAGUUUCGUCAGUGUUUUCUGUUUUCAAAAUGAAUUAAUAUACAUGACAUAACAGGUUCUUCUUGCAAAUCGGGAAUUGAAUGCUUAUGUGAAAAGGUGUUUAAAAUCUGAUCUUUUCUUUGUGGCAUCCAUAUUCUGCAAAGAUCUUUUGCCCUGUCUUUGUUCACCUCCUAGGUAUCAGUAUUUUGUCGGUUUGCUUAUGGUAGAGUUUGAUCUCCUUCUCUCCCAUUUUCCCUUUGCCCCCGCUAUUCCUCUUCUUCCUCUUUAGCCUUUGAAAUUGCUUUUUAGAGCCUUGGUUGUUAUAGUGGAUUACAAGCAUACAUAACACUAUGUUCAAGCUGUUGAAUUUUAGGUUCAACUUUCAAGUGUUAAGAGUUUUAUUAAAGUUUUGAUUUCUUGUGUAAGCCUUGUUUUACCCCCUUUUUUAGAGGGAGAGGAGGUUUGGGAGAGAUAAAAAUAGCACUUAUUUUAGUGUAUAUGGAUGUAUGUAUGUAUGUAUGUAUGUAUAUGUAUACAUAAACAUAGGUUUAAAAAAUAUGCUACAUACGAUGUUUCUAUAAUACAAAAUUGUGUAAUUGCAAAUAAAAUGUAAAUUUCAAGUACUGUGCACACUUAAAUUAUUUCUUAAAAAUUCUAAAAAUUAAAUUCAAUAAAAUUAGAGUUAUAACUUAAUGACCAAAUAACAAAUAAAACUAAAAAGGGAACCAUCAAGAACAUAAAAUUACUUGUGCAAAAUUAAUGCAUUAGCGAACCAUAUGAGGUUUCUUGGUUGUUUUGCCUUAUUUAGAGGCUGUUUGAUUGGGUUUUUGCUAUUUGCUUUUUGCUUCCGAAAGUAAAAAAGCAAAAAUUGCAUUCCCAUAAGCAAUAAAAUAUUGAAGAGUUUAAACACAAAUAUGUAAAUUUUUUAUGAUUAACUACAUGAUUCUACUUCUAUAUAUACUAAUUGUGUUAUAACUGAUUUUAUAUUUUAAUUAUUUUUUCUGUUUCAGAUCAGUUAUGAUAUAUUUAUUGUUUACCUUUUGCUUUUCCUUUCUAGUAAAAUAUAUACGUUUUAUUCAUGUUCAUUUGUAACUUACCAAACUUCUUGACCAUGUUCUAGAAAUGCUAGUAUGUAACGAGUUUGCUUUGAAUAUGGCAGCUAACAAUAUCAGUGAAUCUUAGGUUUGUUGAUGCAAAUCAUGGCUAAUAGAUUCACUUGAAGCCUACUUAUCUAAAGAUCUUUAGAUUUUUGGAGGAUGAAAUACAGAGGUGGUGCUGAUGUUAAUAAUAUUGGACAUUGAACACUGUCAAACAACAUAGAGGUGGAAAUAUACUGACUUUUUCAGGAUUCAGGGUUGGUUUUAUUUGUUGACUUCAUUCUAAUACUUUUGUUUUUGGAAAGAUAUAUACCCGACAUCUUCUGUAAAUAUGCAACUUGAUGUAGAUAAUUUGUAAUUUUGGGAAGAGAGAAGGAAUGAAAUUGAGAAGAUAGUGGUUUUUCUUUGAAAUUUUGCCAUGAUAUGAAGUUGUUUUAGUCAGAUUUUCUUGAUGUUAUGAUGCUUAAGAAAUCCAGAUGCUACUGAAAUCUUGCCCCAAUAUAGUUCAUUCUUCAACUCCA
rnacentral:lncRNA from 1 species